rnacentral:lncRNA from 1 species
AGAAAUUGAAAGUAAAAUGGGAAAAAACACAUGAUAUAAGAAUAUGGAUAAUGCUUCAAAAUAACAAAUAUCACCUUUCAUUGUUGAAGGAACUUUUAUAGAAAUGGAAAAAAGUUACUUGUACACCUGCUUCUUCAAACCUGGGCCAAAAAAACUGCAAAUAUCAUGUUUAACAUUGUCUGGAACAUGAUUCAACCAUAUAAAAGAUUUAUUGUGAACAAUGUUUAACAGGAAACCAAAUGUCAUAGCUAUGGGCCUAAGGUAAAGAUAAAACACGAUACUGUAACCUUCAAGAAUGGUUAUUACGGUAAGGGGAGAAAAUCUGAACGAUCCUGGAUUCCUAGUUAACAUAUUUUGGCUGAAUACAAGGCAUGCAAGCCUUUUGUCCAGCUCAUAUGGAAACGCAUAAAACGUACAUUGAUUUGCUUCAAAAGAUACUACUGUUAGCUAGUAAUUUGAGCAUAAGGCUAGAGUAACUGAAUGAAAAUGACAAAAAGAGUAAGGGCGUGAGCCACAAAUGGGAAAAGAAAACAAGGAAAUUUGAACCAGAAACCAAAAAAUUCCAACAACACUUUUAAAAAAAAAACAUGCAUAUGAAAUAAAAAAUGCACCUUUUGUUUUUGGGGUCGAGACCAUGCCCCAUUACUCCAAUCCCAAUGAAACCUCAAAUCUUUAGAGAGAAACUGAAAUUGUUCGGGUGGGUUUUCAAACACAACAGUGUACUUCUUUGAGUUGGUCUUACCAUCCUCAAAAACAUCAACUUUAGUGACGAUACCCUUCCACCAGCCAUCACGGUGAAAGGCGUCAACGACAUCAAGUGGUUCAAAGGCAGGGAUAGUACUAGGAACCGGAGGCAAAGGCCUAAUGAAGGAAAAAUCAACGUACUCCGUCAAUGGCUUCUUCUCAUCUGUAUCUGAAAGUAGAUUACGAUACUGAACCAAGGCCUCGGCUUUUCUUUUAGAGUAACAGCUUCUUGAAGAAGAGAGUGAUUUGAGGAUCGUGGCCACGUACCAUGCGCCUCUAAACCCUUUUUCAUCGCUGCUCACCUCCCCACCAGGUCUCCUAUGCUAAAAUUCCGUCCGCUAUUUUGCCUGCUGGAGCGCCCCCCUCCCAUGCCAGCCUAAAGGAAUCAGUGUGAAAAAAAGUCAACGCGGAAAGCCAGACGUCAGUCAAAUGCUUUUCUAUUCUAUUUCUAUUUCUGUUGCCUUUGCAUUUGGAUACUAUUUGUUUAUAUCUCAGGCCCUGAUUCUGGACUCGACUAAAAAAAGCGUUAAGCCCAAUUGAUGGAUGGAUACACUGGCGAAGUGCUAGUCCGAUGAAAUUGAAAUAGAGAGUAAAUUGGUUUAAUCCAACCAACUCAAAAAUUUGGUGAAAAAGAAAAUACAUAUUGAGUUUAAAUUGUUUUGGUUCUGGAAAUGAUUUGAAAAUGUCUAUAAUUGAGUAAGACUCAAUUUUAGACUUAAAACAUAUAAUAAAACCCUACUUAAUCUAUUGUAAAGUUAAAAAUUAAAAGUCAUACAUAGGACAUGACUUGUAUGAAAUUACAUCAUUUUAAUAUUAUAACUCUAAAACUUUAGACAAUGAUUUCUCCCCUCUCAAAAGCUUAAAAUUAUUUCUUAAUUUUAAUUUCUCUCAUAAAAAAUAUUAAAUCUUUAAUCUUUAUUUAUUAAUUCUAUAUAUUCAUCCAGUCUAACUAUAUUUUUUUACUUUUCUUCUUAAACUUUAUUAUUUUUAUACAAAUAAAAUUUUAUUUAUGGAUUAUACUUUUUGGAAAAAGAAUUCAGAUUUUUUAGAUUCGAUUUUAAAUAAGUACAACUAGAUAAUAACCUCUAGACCGAUCAACCGACCCAUUGAGACUCCUAAUACAAGCAAAAGUCUUCCCUCCUCUUUUUCCUGAAUUUGAUCAGGAAAUUGUCACGUCCGGUCGCAUCAGUCUUUGGAUUCUCAUCUCUAAUCAAGAGCCGGUAGUUGAAAGAUGAAUAAGCUGAACCAGCACAUGUAUUUCUUUAACUACCCAAAAAGGAAGCAACAUAGUGAUCUAAGUGCUAAUUAAUGCCAAAGUUCCUUUUGUAGGUGGUUAGUUGCCGCUUGCCUGCCAGUUGUUUCAGCCUUUCAGGGUUUCUAUGUAAAAUUAAAAUGUAUCCAAGUUAGGUUUAAUAUAUAUCUUAUAGUGUUAUUUUAAUGUGACUAUUAACUUCUAUGAAAUAAAAAUGUGAAUUUUAAGAGAGAAUCUUCAAAUUAACUUAAAAGGAAAAAGAACCACCAAUAAGAUUUGGCCUUUAAUUUGAGGUUAAAAGGUGAGCCAAUUGUAUACUGCAGAAUUAGGCAAAACCAAGUUUGAAGAGCAAAGUCUUUUUGUAGUUUGGAAGUGAAGAUUCAUUUAAAGUGGUUAAGAGUCAUCCAUAUAUUUUUAUAUGUAUAUGUAAGCGUAUCUCACUUUUGGCUACACCUUGAAAAGUUGUAGCUUUUACAUGGUAUUGGUGUGUGAAUGUGCAUGGAAGCGGUAAUUAUAGGCAUCGAUCCAAUGCUUCAACGAAUGUGAAGAAAGAAAAUUAGUUGAUCGUGUAUUGAUAUCAUUCUCCGACUAAUUGCGAAGGAAUCUUUUAGAUGAAAGAAGGAACACUGAAAAUCGAGGCAUGUCCAAAUAUUUUGACUCAGGCUUUGCACCAUUAGGAUCUCCAUCCUUCCUUGUUGCUCUGGGCACGAGGACUCCUAAUGACGCAAGGUUGGGCAUAAGCACAUGAGAACGCAAUUAACAAGCUUGACUAGUGGCUUGGGGCUUAGUUUGAAGAUCAAGCAGGAGAGACGUAAAUCCAUAAGUGUAUGGAGAAAUAAGGUUAUUUUCGAUUAAUUCAAGCAUAAUACAAGCCGAAAUUUUAGUACUUUGAUGUUUGAUAUGCAUAUAAUGAAGUAGUUUGGGUAGGGGUGUUUUUAGGUAGGCUUACCUGAAUUUACCCUUAUUUUUAUUAAGUUGGCACAUAAAAUUUAGGGCUACGAGAGUUAUUGCCUAGUCAACUCCUCUCUAGUUCUUAAUUUGACUUUAGUUUAUUAAUAUCUAUUUAUUUAUAUAUUCAUAUUUAGCUUCUAGUCUCUUCUUAUAGAAUGAAGGCUUUUGCACUAUAAAAACCGCAUGCAACUGAAUACUUGAAGCUAAUGAGGAUAAUAUUUCAGUUUUCUACUUUGUAAGAAAUCAAGUUAUGUAUUCUUUCAAGAAACUUGUGCACUUAUCAACAUCCGGACUAGCAAGCAUAAACUUAUCCCUCAUGUCCUUCCUUUCGCUUGUGUUCUUUGUCUACGCUUGUGUUUAAAUCAAUUCGAUUUGAUCCUUACACUUAGCCUUAUGGAAGAAAAUAAAAAACUUGUGAUUUCUUUCCUUAUUAGAUCAGAAAUCCUACCUAUAUUUUGUUUGUCUCUUUUGUGUCUCUCUUUCUAAUCUCUAUGUAGUAUGUUAGUUUGGUUUUAUAUAGGAAGCACAAACACGACUGUUGGGUGAAAGCGCAUGGACAUGGCAAUCAUAGACACCGACCUAAUGCUUAGAGGAAUCUGGAGAAAUAAAAUUAGUUAAUCGAAGGUUGAAAUCAUUCUCCAAAUGAUCAUAGAUGAAUCUUUUGGAGGAAAGAGGGAAAGAUAAAAAUCGAGUCAUGAACAAAUAUUCUGAUUUAGGAUUUACACCAUUAGGAUCUCCAUCAUUCCUUAUUCCUCUAGGCACGACGACACAUGAUGAAACAGGGAUUGGCGUAAGGAAUCAUGGAAAUGCAAUUGAUAAGCUUUCCUGGUGGCAUUGGGACUUAGCUUUAAGAUAAAGCAGAACAAGAUAUAAAUCCACUUGCAUAAGGGAGAAAUCAUAAUCUUAUCAAUGAACCCAAGCAUAAUAUAAUCAGGAUUGUGAGCCUUUUUAUCUUUAGUAUACAUAUAAUUAAGUAAUUUGGUUUGGAGUAUCCUUAUGUAGGCCCACAUGAAUUUCCCCUUCUUUCUGUUAAAUUGGUUCAUAAAAUUUGGAAUCUCCAUCAUUCCUUAUUCCUCACGGCACGAGGACUCCUGAUGACACAAGGAUUACUAUAAGAAUUGGUUAACCACUCUUGUAGUCCCAAAUUUUAUGAGUCAGCUUAAUAAAAAUAAGGAAAAAUUCGUGUUGACCUACCUAAUAACACUCCGACCCAGACUACUUGAUUAUAUGUGUUCCAAACAUCAAAACGCUUACAUUUCCACUUGUAUUACGCUUAGAUUUAUUGAAAACAACAUGAUUUCUCGCUUACGCACUUGGAUUUACAUCUUGUCCUACUUGAUCAUCAAACCAAUCCCCAUGCCACUAGUUAGAAUUUUUAAUUGCAGUCACAUAAUUCCUUUUGCCAAUCCUUGUGUCAUGAGGAGUUCUCGUGCAUAGAGGAACAAGGAAUGAUGUAGAUCCUAUUGGUGUAAACCAUGAAUUAGAAUAUUUGGGCGUGUCUCAAUUCUCAAUGUUCCUUCUUUCCCCAAAGAUUCAUUUGCAAUCAUUUGAAGAAUGAUAUCAAUACUCGAUCAACUAAUUUUCUUUCAUUGCAUUUGUCCAAACAAUAGAUUAGUGCUUAUGAUUUUUGCUUCCACGUGAUUUAACUCAACACUCCUAUUUAUGCUCGCCAAAUAAAACCAAACCAUCAUAUAAGACAUCGAUUAGAAAGAAACGAACAAAAGAAACAAAACAAAUGAGAACAUAGGUAGGAUUUCAGAUCCGAUAAGGAAAAAAACACAAUUUCUUUAUUCUCUUCUAUGGCUAAGCGUAAGUAUCAAAUUGAAUUGAUCUAAACACAAGGGUAGACAAAGAACACAAGAAAAAGGAUGGACAUGAGGAAUAAGUCUAGGUUCGCUGGUGCGGAUCUUCAUAAGUAUGCAAGUUCUUGAAAGUACCCAUACCUUAAUUCUUUACAAGGUAGCAAAUUGAAAUAAUAUGGUCACUAGCCUCAAAUAUUCGAUUACAUGCAAUUUUUAUAGUGUGAAAUCCCUUAUUCCAUAAGAAGAAGAAAAUAGAAGUUAAAUAUGAGUAAAUAAAUAAAGAAAGAGGAAUAAACUAAAGUCAAAUCAAGAACUAGAGAGGAGUUGACUGGUUACCAACUCUCGUAGUCCUAAAUUUUAUGAGCCAGCUUAACGAAAACAAGGAAAAAUUCGCGUGAGGGUACCUAAUAACACUCCGACCAAAAAUACUUCAUUAUAUCCAUCCUAAACAUUAAAGCGCUUGAAUUCCCGCUCAUAUUACACUUGGAUUAAUCGAAAACAACAUAAUGUCUCCCUUACGCGCAUGGAUUUAUAUCUCAUCCUACUUGACCAUCAAGCAAAGACUCAAUGCCACCAAUCAACCUUGUCAAUUGCACUCCCAUGAUUGCUUACGCCAAUCCUUGUGUCAUCAGGAGUCCUCAUCCUUAAUGGAGCAAGUAAUAAAGGAGAUCCCAAUGGUGUAAAUCAUGAAUAAGAAUAAUUAGGCGUGCCUCAAUUCUCAUCCUUUCUCUUGUGUUCUUUGUCUAUCCUUGUGUUUACAUCAAUUUGAUUUGAGCCUUACGCUUAGCCGUAUGGAAGAGGACAAAGAACUUGUGAUUUCUUUCCUUAUGGGAUAUGAAAUCCUACCUAUAUUCUCAUUUUGUUUGUUUCUUUUAUGUCUCUCAUUCUAAUCUCUAUCUACUAUGAUGGUUUAGUUUUAUUUGGGGAGCAUAAACACGACUGUUUGAGUGAAAGCGCAUGAAAAUAGUAAUCUUAGGCACCGAUCUAAUGCUUCGAUGAACGCGAAGGAAGAAAAUUAGUUGAUCGAGUGUUGACAUCAUUAGCUGAUGAUCAAGCAGGACGAGACGUAAAUCCACGCUCGUAAGGGAGAAAUCAUUUCUUUUUUUAUUAAUCCAAGCACGGAUGAGCGUGUUUUGAUGUUUUGGAGACAUAUAAUGAUGUAUAUUGGGUCGAAAUGUUAUUAUGUACGUCCAUACAAUUUCCUCUUAUUUUCAUUAAGGAAUCAUAGGAACGCAAUUGAUAAUCUUGACUGGCGGCAUUGGAGCAUGACUUGAUGAUUAAGUAGCAUGAGACACAAAUCGACAAGUGUAAAGGACAAACUAUAUUGCUUUAGAUUAAUACAAGUCAGAAUGCAGACAUUUUGAUAUUUGGGAUGCAUAUAAUGAAUAAUUUGGGUCAGAGUGUGAUUAGAUAUACCCACAGGAAUUUUCCUUUGUUUCCGUUAAGCUGGCUCAUAAAUUUUAGAAAUAUCACAGUUGUUGCCCACUCAACUCCUCUCUGGUUCUUGAUUUGACCUUAGUUUAUUCAUCUUUCUCUAUUUAUUUAUUUAUAUUUAGCUUCUUAUUUCUUCUUUUUAUGGAAUGAGGGCUUUGACACUAUGUAAACCGCAUGCAAUUGAAUAUUUGAGUCUAGUGUGCAUAUUAUUUCAGUUUUCUACCUUGCGGAGAAUUAAGUUGUAGGUUCUUUCAUGAACUUUGUGGAUUUAUAAAGACCCGCACUAGCAAACUUAGACUUAUCGCUCAUGUCCUUCCUUCCAUUUAUGUUCUUUUGUUCGUCUCUUUCUAAUCUAUGUCUUGUAUAAUUAUUUGAUUUUAUUUGGCGAGCAUAAAUAAGAGUGUUGAGUUAAAGCGUGUGAAAGCGACAAUCAUAGGGACUCAUCCAAUGCUUGGACAAAUGCAUAGAAAGAAAAUUAGUUGAUCGAGUAUUGACAUCAUUCUUUGAAUGAUCGCGGAUGAAUCUUUUGAAGGAGAGAGGGAAUGAUGUAAAUUGAGGCACACCCAAAUAUUUACGAUUCAGGAUUAUUACCAUUAGGAUCUCUGUCAUUCUAUGUUUCUCUAGGCACGAGGACUCCCUGAUGACACAAGGAUUGGCAUAAUGGAACAUUGGAACGCAAUUGACAAGCUUGACUAGUGACAUUGGGACUUAGCUUGAUGACCAAGCAAGAUGAGAUGCAAAUCCAUUUGCGUAAGGGAGAAAUCAUGUUAUUUUCGAUUAAUCCAAGCGUAAUACAAGCAGCAAUUUAACCAUUUUGAUGUUUAUGAUGCAUAUAAUGAAUUAAUUUUGGUCGGAGUGUUGUUAUGUUGGCCAUUGCAAAUUUUCAAUUAUUUUUAUUAAGCUGCCUCACAGAAUUUGGGCACAAGAGUUGUUGACCAGUCCAGUACUAUCUGCUUCUUAAUUUAACUUUGGCUUAUUCAUCCUUUUUUAUUAUGUAUUCAUAUUUAGCUUCAAGUUUCUUCUUCUAAUAGAAUAAGGGCUUUGACACUAUACAAACUGCAUGCAACCAAAUACUUGAGGCUACUGAGAAUAUUGUUCUAGUUUUCUAUAGUGCAGGAAAUCAAGAUGUGGGUUCUUUCAAGAACUUUUUUGGACUUAUCAAGACUCGCGCUAGCAAACUUUGACCUAUUACUUUUGUCCUUCCCUUCUUUUAUGUUCUCUGUCUACCCUUGUGUUUAAAUCUAUUAGAUUUGAUCCUUACACUUAGUCAUAUGGAAGAGAACAAAAAAAUUAUGAUCUUUUCCUUAUCGGAUCCAAAAUUCUGCCUAUGUUCUCAUUUUUUUCAUCUCCUUGGUGCCUCUCUUUCUAAUUUUUGUUUAGUUUGAGGGUUUGGUUUUACUUGGGGAGUAUAAACAUUAGUGUUGAGAGAAAACUCAUUGAAGCGGCAAUCAUAGGCACUGAUCCAAUGCUUUGACAAAUGCAAAUAAACAAAAUUAGUUGAUCGAGUAUUGAUAUCAUUCUCAGAAUGAUCCGGACAAAUCUUUUGGAGGAGAUAGGGAAUAGCGAGAAUCGAGCCCUGCUUAAAUAUUCCAAUUAAGGAUUUGCACCAUUGGGAUCUUCGUCGUUCCUUGUUUUUAUAGGCACGAGGACUCCUUAUGACACAAGGAUUUGAAAUAAAAUCAAUUUGAUCCUUAUGCUUAGCCAUUUGAAAGAGUACAAAGAAGUUUUGAUUUCUUUUCUUAUCAGACUCAAAUCCCACCUAUGUAAUUAUUUUAUUCUUUUCUUUUUGCCCCGCUUUCUAAUCUCUGUCUAGUAUGAUAGUGUCACGACCCCACCCGUGGACCCAUGACCGGCACUAGGGAAUGGGUAGGCUUAAGGCCACCGAAUCCCGUAGUAAGCCUGAAACUCACUAACUCAAUCAAAUCUCAUCUCAAAUUAAUAUUAUUAAAGCCACAAAUUAUCUUAACAUUAAAUGUUACACAAUUGAAUCGGUCUGCCGGAACAAUUAGGCGAGACCCAAAACUAUAAAAAAUUUACAACUGAUACAUCUAUUAUUAUUACCGCGGAGAAUCUAAGAUUUACCAAUUUACAUACCAAAUCAAAUACAUCACCCGAUGAUGAAGGAGUCGGGUUACUGAAUAAGAGUCGCGGGAAGACUAACAGUCACGAAUCUGAAAAACAGUAAAUGGAGACUGUUAGUCUCGAGAAUGAGCUAAAAUCAUAUAUCUAAAACAGUUUCAAACAUUUCAAUAUCACAUUCAUUUAAUUUUAAAAUAAUUAAUAAAUCACGCGAACCAUACGUGUCAUGUUAAGACAUAUAUGUCAUGCCAUGCUUAAACAAAAAUUAUUCCACAUACAACGGGACGGAGUACUUCAGUAUAACCCUAAUCCCAACUCUAACAUCUCGAUUUAUUUCAACACUUAUGUCUCAACUAACCUCAACUCUAACAUCUCAAACCUCUCAUUCCAAUAGGACUGGCGCCCAGAGAGCAAAGCUAGACCAGGGACCUUACCUCCAGUCCGGUCACUUAACUCUCAGCCUUAGCCUUUCGGCUCUCUUAUCCAAUAAGACUGGCGCCCAGAGAGCAUAGCUCGACCAGGGACCUUACCUCCAAUCUGGUCACUUAAAUUUCCAAAUAAGCCGGCGCCCAGAGAGCAAUGCUCGACUAGGGACCUUUACUCCGACAACCACACUCUACUAAGCCCAGAGAGCGAUGCUCGACCAGGGUAGGUCCUAAUCUUUUUUUCUCAAAAUUUUUACCUCUUUACCCUUUUCCUAUCUCUCUCAGAUUAUAUUGGAACACUCAUCCAACUCCUAUGUUCUACUGCCGUCCCAUCCUGAGUCAUCAUGCAAUAUUAAAAUUGGUGAUAAAGGAAAAACAUAUUUAAAUAGUAAUUAAAAGCAUCAUGAAAAUAAUGAUAAUAAUUAAAUGAAAAAUUAAAAUUGCAAAUGAAUAAUCACAGUAGCAAAUCAAAUUUUAUGCAUGACACGUGCAUAAGCGAUAUAUGACUUUAACUCACAGAAUUGGGCGACCUCCUAGCUCUGCUCCGGUGCCUCGGUUGGAGCGAGCCGAACAAACGGACAAUCUAGUCAUGGAAAACAAUUUAUCAAAACGCUGAAACAAUAGAUCAUUAAUCCUAGGUUUAGACUCCUAGGACUCACUGACUAAGAAUCUCGACUCGGGAGAAUUCUACCGAAAAUUCUGCAGAACCUCCCCUACAACACGGACAUUAGCCCCCGUAGAAACGGGUCCAGGACCUGCCAGAAAAACACUUCAAAUACUUAACAAUUCAAACAACAGGAGUCGAGUCCCCAAACUUCACUAUUUCCCGACUCCGCCACAUAGCAUAAAAACACGACUAUGGCAGGCAAACUGACAAUUAUUUAUGACUCACAAAUAUCAUCAAAUACUCAAUACAAUCAAUAGACACACAAAAAAAAUCAAAGAAUUUCUAAAAUUAACGGGCCAGAGAAAAUUACUGAGACGCUCGAUCGCUCGUCAACUCGCCUCCGGCCGCUGAAGUCCGAUCGACGAUUUGAACACACCAUCGAACUCACAACGACGCACUGAUGACGAUCGCCGCUACCGAUUUUUUGAUCCGACACCCGAUCAUCCGAAGAGAUUUGGGAACGAUCUCGGCCGUCGAUUUGCAAACGAAGCCCGAUCGCCACGAAACCGGUGCCAAUGCGAAGCUUGAGCUUAUGAGAGUCGGGAUACGUCCUCCGAUUAUCCAUCCUCCGCCGGAGCUCGCCGGAAAAGCUGAAAAACGCAGUUGCCCCCUACUUUCUCUCUUUACCGGAUCUUCCGUCUCCGGCCACCACAGGCGUUGCCGCUGCUGCCAAAAGAGAGCCCUUGCCGAGAGGAGCCGAUCGCCACUCGACUCGGCCGCCAACACCGCCGGAAACGGCCUCCGAAAGCCGCUGCUCCUACGCGCGAUUCCCGCUGCCAGACGCUGUCGUUCUCCGCCGCACGCUCGCGCCCGCUGCCUACUGCUCCGACGGCCAGCCCGCGCACUUCUGAAGCCGCCACCGACGAUGCACGCCGCCGCCUUCCUCUUCUUCUUCUUCGGCCAUCACCCUCUCUCUCUCUCUCUCCCGAUCUACUUUCUCUCUCCCCGAUCCCACUCCUUUCAAUAUCGACAUUAGGCCCCCGAACGUUUCCUUAUUACAAUUUGGUCCCUCAACUUCCUUAAUUACUUACAAUUUCAUCCUGCAGAAUUCCAAUUUAACCCCUAGACUUUCCUUUAUCCUUUCAAUUAAGCCCUUAACUAAUUAAUUUGGGCCAAAACCGAAUUAUUGAAAAUACACAAUUAUAAAAAUACCCCUGACCGACAUAUUUAUUUACGAAAAUACCAAACUCACAAAUUUCCAUUAAACCCUCACAAAAAUAAAAUUAUACUUUUAAUCCUUAAAUCCUACACACAAUUAAAUUAAAUAAUCAAUUUACUAAUUAUUUUUCCAAUUAAAUUUAAUACCAGUAGUUAAUUAAAAUACCAAUUUCUCUAAAAUUCUUUUAUAAAAACAUCCUUUACAAUUUCUGCCAUAAUUUUCUAAUAUAUAAUUUUAUUUAUAUAUAUACAUAUACAUUGGAGAAAAAUUAGCAUAACUAAAAAUAUAAUUUACCCUUAAAGUAAUUUACUUGAUUAAUUUUUAAAAUUUCAAACUUUGCAUUUAACUCAUUCCAACUAGACCAAAUAAAGAUAAAAUAAAAUUAAUUUAAAUAAAAACUCAUUAUUACAUAUAUAAAAUCUCCGGGUGUUACAGAUGGUUUGGUUUGAUAUGGGGAGUAUAAACACAAGUGUAGAGUGAAAGUGCGUGGAAGCAGCAAUCAUAGGCACUGAUCUAAUGCUUGGACAAAUGCGAAGAAAGGAAAUUAGUUGAUUGAGUACAGGCACCAUUGAGGUCUCCAUCUUUCAUUAUUCCUCUAACUCUCGAUGACAUAAGAAUUGGCUUAAGGAAUCAUGGGAAUGCAAUUCACAAGCUUGACUGGUGGCAUUGGAGUGUGACUUGAUGAUUAAGUAGGACGAGGUACAAAUCCAAGUGCGAGUUUUGAUGUUUGGGAUGCAUAUAAUGAUGUAAUUUUUGCCGAAUUGUUAAUAGGUAGGCCCUUGCAAAUUCUCCCUUAUUUUGUUAGGCUGGCUCAUAAAAUUUGGAACUACAAAUGGUGUUGACUAGUCAACUCCUCUCCGAUUCUUGAUUUGACUUUAGUUUAUUCAUCUUUCUUUAUUUAUUUAUUCAUAUUUAGCUUGUAGUUUCUUCUUUUUAUUGAAUGAGGGUUUUCGCACCAUGAAAAUGCAUGCAACUAAAUAUUUGAGGCUAUUUUGAGCAUAUUAUUUCAGUCUUCUAUGUUUCAAGACAUCAAGUUAUGGGUUCUUUCAAGAACUUUGUAGACUUGUGAAGACUCGUGGUGAACCUAGACUUAUCUCCCAUGUCCUUUCUUUUGUGUUCUUUAUCUACCAUUGUCUUUAAAUCAUUUCGAUUUGAUCCUUACAUUUGCCAUAUGGAAGAGAAUAAAGAACUAGUGAUUUCUUUCCUUAUCAAAUCUGAAAUCCUAGUUAUAUUCUCAUUUUGUUCAUUUAUUUUUUCUCUUUUGAGUCAUAAAUCCACGUGUAUAAUGGAGUAGUCAUGUUGUUUUCGAUCAAUCCAAGCAUAAUACAAGUGGAAAUGCAAGUGUUUUGAUGUUUAGGACGCAUAUAAUGAAGUAAUUUGGGUCGAAGUGCUAUUAGUUAGGCCAAACAAGAUUUCUCUUAUUUUUGUUAAGCUGGCUCUUAAAAUUUAGGACUGCGAGAGUGUUUGACCAGUCAACUCAUGUCUGGUCCUUGAUAUGACUUUAGUUUAUUCAUCUUUCUUUAUUUAUAUAAUUAUAUUUAGCUUCUAGUUUUUUCUUCUUAUGUAANNNGCUAUAGAAACAACAUGCAGCCAAAUACUUGAGGCUAGUGAGCAUAUUAUUUUAUUUUUAUACCUUAUGGAAAAUCAAGUUAUUGAUUCUUUCAAGAACUUCGCGGACUUAUCAAGACACAUACUUAUGAACAGAGACUUAUUCCUCAAGUCCUUCCUUUCUUUUAUAUCCUUUAUCUACCUUUGUGUUUACAGAAGUUCUAUUUGAUCCUUACGCUUAGCCGCAUGGAAGAGAAUAAAAAACUUGUGAUUUCUUUGUUGGAAAAACACACGCAGUAGCGCAGCAGAAGCUCUUAAAAAUUUCAUAUAUCAUAGAAAUUUAGAUUACAAGCUGCAAUUGAGGAUUUAAGUUGAAAAAGUAAAUAACUUUUCUUUUAUGAACAUGAAGAACACAACUUUUCUUGAUUGUUGAUGAUGUUUAUGUUAGAGAAUUAAAUAGAGAUUCACAAUUGCGAACCUUCUAGAUUAUCUCACAUAAUCAAUUUUAAGGAAAGCUAUUCAAUCAUUAAAGGUGAAGAACUCCUCUUCUUUCAAGUUUUCUACUAUGAUAACCUUAUUAUAAUCAUAAGUAUGUCGAAUUAUAUCACUAUGUAUGAUAAUGGGAGUAAGAAACUCUCUUAUAUAGUGUUAAGGAUUUAUAAUCCUUAAUACAGUUGUACAAACACAUGUCACUAUAAAACUCUUUUGUGAUGACAUGUGUCAAGCAGUAUUAACACAUGUCAUCAUAAAACUCUUUUAUGAUGACAAAUGUCAAGCUAUAUUAACACAUGUCAUUAUAAAACUCUUUUGUAAUGACACAUGUCAGGUUACUUUCUUGACAUAUGUCAUUAAAAAACCCUCUUAGUGAUGAUAAUCGUCUAGUUGCUUUCUCUACAUAUGUCACCAUAAAUGCUUUUAUGAUGACACAUCUCAAGCUACUUUCUUAAUACGUGUCAUCAUAAACCCUUCUAUGAUGACACGUGUCAAGCUACUGUACAAAUACAUGUCACUAUAAACUCUUUAUGAUGACAUGUGUCAAGCUUCUUCAAUAUAUAACACUUAUAUAUUAUACAUUAUUUAGACAUUUACGGACUUUAACUUCGGAAGAUACUAGUGUCCCUACUUAAGGUACAAGUUAAGUCCAUCGCUGUGCUUGAGUUGAUCUUAACGUAUGUGAAUUUCUAGGUCCAUUAUUAAUUAGUAACGGGAGUUUAAUAUUAAACUCUUUAAUUUUAAUUAGAACACUUUAACCAACUAAUGGAACAAUCAAUUGUCCCUUAAUCAUUCCCAUAAAUUAUAAGUGACCUCUAGCAACAUAAAGGAAGGACGCGAGUGAUAAGUCUAGGUUCGCUAGUACGGGUCUUCAAAAGUCCGCAAAGUUCUUGAAAUAACCCAUAAAUUGAUUUUCUGCAAGGUAGAGAACUAAAAUAAUCUACCCACUAGCCUCAAGUAUUCAGUUGCAUGCAGUUUUUAUAGUGCGAAAGCCCUCUUUCCAUAAGAAGAAGGAACUAGAGGCUAAAUAUGAAUAAAUUGAAGUCAAAUUAAGAACGAGAGAGGGAUUGAUUGGUCAACAACUCUCGUGGUUCCAAAUUUUAUGAGCCAGCUUAAUAAAAACAAGGUGAAAUUCAUAUGAAUCUACCUAAUAACACUUCGACUCAAAUUACUUUAAAUGAAUUUGAUUUGAUCCUUACACUUAGUUGUAUAGAAGAGAACAAAGAACUGGUGAUUCUUUCAUUAUUGGAUCCAAAAUCUUACCUAUGUUAUCAUUUUGCUCGUUUGUUUUGUGCCUCUCUUUCUAAUCUCUAUCUACUAUGAUGGUUUGGUUUUAUCUAGGGAGCAUAAACACAAGUGUUAAGUGAAAGCGGCAAUCAUAGGCACCAAUCCAAUGCUCAGACAAAUGCAAAGAAAUAAAAUUAGUUGAUGGAUCAUUUAGGCUUGGAACUUGAUCUCCUCAACUUAGUUAGCUACUUGGCUCCUUAGGCUUGGGUUUGCAUCAGUUCCUCUAGGCACGAUGACUUUUAAUGGCACAAGCAUUAGAGUAAGGAAUCAUAGAAACACAACUGACAAGCUUGACCGGUGGCAUUGAGGCUUAGCUUGAUGAUGAAACAAGAUAAGACAUAAAUCCACACGCGUAAGGGAGAAGUCAUGUUGCUUUUUAUUAAUCCAAGCAUAACAACAAGCAGCAAUGGGAGCAUUUUAAUGUUUGGAAGGCAUACAAUGAAGUAAUUUAUAUCAAAGUAUUAUUAGGUAGGCACACACGAAAAUGAAGAGUGAAAUGGAGUAUAAUGAACAUCAAUGAGGCGAUGGAGAAGAUGCACUUAUAUAUGGCAGCCAACUAAAAGCCAUAUUAGAGCAAAUCAAUGCUAAUGCUAGUGCAGGAAACAAUAGGCAGAACUUGGUAGGCAAUGAGAAAGAUUUAGACUUGGUAUAUGAUUGUAAUACCCCGAAUUUUUAUAUAUUUAAUAAAUGAGUUAUUUUCUAUACCCAAUUAGUUUGAAAUUUUAAGAAAUUAUUCAAGUAAAUUAUUUGAGAAAUGAUUAUAUUUUGGUUAUUCAAAUUUUCCCCAAAUGCAUAUUUAUAUAAGUAAAAUUAUAUAUUGGAAAAUUAUGGAAGAAAUUAUAAAGGAUGUUUUUAUAAAAGAAUUUUGGGAAAAUUGGUAUUAUAAUUGAUUAGUAGUAUUAAAUUUUAAGUUGGAAAUUGAUUAUUUAAUUUAAUUGUGUGUUAGGACUAAAUUGGAAAUUUAUUUUGGAAUAAGGAUUGAAAGUAUAAUAUUAUUUUUAUGGGGUUUUAAUGGAAAUUUGUGAGCUUGGUAUUUUUGUAAAUAAAUAUGUCGGUCAGGGGUAUUUUUGUAAUUGUGUAUUUUCAAUAAUUUGGAUUUGGCCCAAAUUAAUUAGUUAAGGGCUUAAUUGAAAGGCUAAAGGAAAGUUUAGGGGUUAAAUUGGAAUUUUGCUGGAUGAAAUUGUAAGUAAUUAAGAAAGUUGAGGGACCAAAUUGUAAUAAGGAAAAGUUCAGGGGUCAAAUGUCGAUAUAGAAGAAAGGAAGAGGAGAGAAUUGUCGGGGAGAGAGUGAGGCGCGUCGAAAGAGAGAGAAAUGGGGACGCUGCAGGCGUUGGUGGCGACCGCCGGGGGCGCGGAGCGUUGGCCGACGGAGUGGCGUGCGCUGGCGAGCGCAGCGGCGGCGGCAGCAGCGGCUCCAGCGGCGGCGGGGAGCGGUAGAAGAGCGUGAAGGCAGCGGAUUCCAGGCGUGUUUCCGGCGUUGUUGGCGGACGAGUUGGGUGGCGAUCGGCUCCUCUCGGCGAGGGCUCUCUUCUGGCAGCAGUGGCGACGCCUGGGGUGGCCGGAGUUGCAAGAUCCGGCAAAGUGAAACUUAGAGUGGCACCCGCAUUUUUGGGCUUUUCCGGCGAGCUCCGGCGGAGGAUGGAUGAUCGGAGGACGUAUCCCGACUCUCCUCAUCUCAAGCUUCGCAUUGGCACUGGUUUCGUGGCAAUCGGGCUCUGUUUGCAAAUCGACGGCCGUGAUCGUCUGCAAAUUUCUCUGGAUGAUCGGGUGUCAGAUCGAAAAAUCGGAAGCAGGGAUCGUCAUCAGCGCGUCGUUGUGAGUCCGAUGGUGUGUCCAGAUCAUCGAUCGGACUCCGGCAGCCGGAGGCGAGUCGACCGAGCGUCUCGGUAAUUUUCUCUAGCCGUUGAUCUUAGAAAUCCUUUGAUUUUAAAUUUGUGUUUAUUGGAUUAUAUUGAGUAUUUGAUGAUAUUUGUGAGUCAAAAAUAAUUGUCUCUCAGUUUGCCUGCCUCGUAUUUUGUGCUGUGUGGCGGAGUCGGGAAAUAGUGAAGUUUGGGGACCCGACUCCCGUUGUUUAAAUUGUUGGAUAUUUGAAGUGUUCUUCUGGCAGGUCCUGAACCCAUUUUUAUGGGGGGUAAUGUCCGUGUUGUAGGGGAGGUUCUGCCGAAUUUUCGGUAGAAUUUUCCCGAGUCGAGAUUCUUAGACAGUCAGUCCUAGGAGUCUAGACCUAGGAUUAAUGAUCGAUUGUUUCAGCGUUUUGAUAAAUUGUUUUCCGUGAUUAGAUGAUCCGUUUGUUCGGCUCGCUCCAACUGAGGCACCGGAGCAGAGCUAGGAGGUCGCCCAAUUCUGUGAGUUAAAGUCAUUUAAUCAUUGCGCUAUUGCUAAGUUUGAUUUUAAUAUGCUAUUUUGAAAGUUCAUGCUUAAUAUGGUUAUUAGUAUCGCAACGUAAAUAAUUUCACUGAAUUAUUCAUUAUUAAAGGUAAUAUAAGUAUUAUUAUAGUAAUGUUAUGAUAAUACCAAAUAUAAUCAGUUUUCCAUAUGAGUUGCCUGAUGUCUUACUCUUAAUUGUUAAUUGUUAUUUUGAUAUGGUUGAAUGAUUUCAUUAUACAAUGAUAUUUAUUAUAUGUGAUGAUUUCGAUUUGGGGAUGUGGCUUUCGUAGAACAUGCCGCCUGAUGGGUUACAUCAAGACCGCGUGCACACCGGUAAUGAUCAUGGACAUGUAAUAAGAUAUUUAUGGGUUUGCCCUGGUCGAGCAUGGCUCUCUGGGCUGAUUUGUGUAAAUUGCCGGAGGUAAGGUCCCUGGUCGAGCAUUGCUCUCGGGGCGCCGACUUAUUUGGAUACUUAAGUGACCAGACUGGAGGUAAGGUCCCUGGUCGAGCAUUGCUCUCGGGGCGCCAGUCUUAUUGGAUUAAGAGAGCCGAAUGGCUACUAGAUUUCUUAUUUGGAUACUUAAGUGACCAGACUGGAGGUAAGGUCCCUGGUUGAGCAUUGCUCUCGGGGCGCCAGUCUUAUUGGAUUAAGAGAGCCAAAAUGGCUGUUAGAAUUUGGGGUUAGGGUUCUACUGAGCCACUCGUCCCGUAAAAGUAAAAAUAUAUUUUUAUUUAUUCAUUUAUUUAUUUAUUAUGGUAUGAUUAUAAUAUGGAUUAUAUUUACGUGCAUGGUUGAUAUAUUGAUUCGAAUGAUUAAUAUUUUCUGUGAAGAAAGUAAUAGGGUAUGAUUAUAGUAUGAUUGGUAUUUAUGUGCAUGGUUUGAUAUACUGAUUUGAACAAUCUAUGUUUUCUGAGAAGAAUGCAAUAGUUCCCAGAUUAUUUGAUUUUAACUCACUCUCGAGACUGACAGUCUCAUUUUUACUGUUUUUCAGAUUCGUGACUGUUAGUCCUCUCAUGACUCUUAUUCAGUAACCCGACUCCUUCAUCAUCGGGUGAUGUAUUUGAUUUGGUAUGUAAAUUGGUGAAUCUUAUAUUCUCCGCAGUAGUAAUAGUAGAUGUAUCAGUUGUAAAUUUUCUGAGUUUCAGGUCUCGCCUAGUUUUUCUGGCAGACCGAAGUAUUUAUGUAGAAUGUAACUAUUAAGAUAAUUUGUGGUUUUAAUAAUAUAAAUUUGAGAUGAGAUUUGUUUAAGUCAGUGAGUGUCAGGCUUACUACGGGUUUCGGUGGCCUUACGCCUACCCAUUCCCUAGUGCCGGUCACGGGCCCACGGGUGGGGUCGUGACAAUGAUGAUGAUGAUAAUGCCACAACUCUGGAUGUUCGCCAUGGCAUGGGUUGAGGAGCUAAAGGAGGCUGAAACAAUGCAAUGGGUAGAGGGAAGUGGAGGUGAGUUUGGUGGUUACUAUUGGUAUAAUGAUGAUGUGGAUAGAAACUUGGAUAGCAUCAAACUUAGGAUUCCUACUUUUUAGGAAAAUCAUAUCCGGAGGCAUAUUUGGAGUAUGAAAAGCAAGUAAACCUUAUCUUUGAUUGUCCUAAUUUUUAUAAGGAAAAGAAGGUAAAGUUAGUGGUUACUCAAUUUUCUGAGUAUAUGAUAGUGUGAUGUGAUCAAUUGGUGGCGAGUAGGAGAAGAAACAUGGAAGCGCCUAUUGAUACUUGGCAUGCUCUCAAAACCAUCAUGAAAAGACAUUUUGUACCUAGACAUUACCAUAGGGAAUUACAUCAAAGACUCCAAGCUUUGAAGAAAGGUAUUAGGAAGGUAGAUGAUUAUUAUAAAGAAAUGGAGAUGCUCAUGACAAGGACUGAUUUUGAUGAAGAUAGGGAAGCUACCAUAGGAAAUGGCAUGUUUUAUUAUUGGGCUUAAUAAGGAGAUUGUGAAUAGGGUUGAAUUACAACAUUAUAUAGAACUUGAGGAGUUAGUUCAUCUUGCAAUUAAGAUUGAAAAGUAAUUAAAACCAAGGGGCACAACAAGGUUGGAACAAAAAGGCACUUCAAGCAAUAGGCCUAAUUGGUCUACUCAAUAGAAAGAAAAUAAAAGAGGAGAUGAUAUGGUUGUUUUUUAUGGGAAAAGAGUAAGAAUGUUUUAGGCAACAAGGUGAUAUGGAACCUCCAUGAAGCUUGAGGACUCCUUUUGAAUUGCGGACCCCCAACAGAUUAACAUGAAAACUCGAAGAACCAAUUCGGUUCAACCCCUAAGAAAGGUUAGAAAACAUAUUACUUAGAAAGAUGAUCAAGAAUUAGAACCUAAGGAAAACUAAGUCCUUUAAACCCUAAUUCUAAGUACACCACAAGGAUAGAUUAAGUCCUUGAUAAGUAAGAUUUGCGUUCAAACAAGACCACAAAGACAAAGCAAAAGCUUUAAGGUUUACAAACCAAUUAUCAUUCAACUUCAACUUCAACUUAAUUUUUUUGUUAAAUCAAAAUUCGUACUAGCCUUAUAUAGGCCUUAGAAAAUCCUAAAUCAUAACUUAUAAGAAUUUACAUCACAUAUAGGAUAAAGAUAACCUUCAUAACUAAAAGAGAUAACUUAAAAAAAGUCCUAAUUAGGUUAAAAAAACAUGUGUAGCCCCCUAUAAUAAGCCAUAAAACCCUAAUUUACAUAAGUCAUGUAGAUGGGACUCAUAACAUAAGCCAAGUUAGGCCUAGAGUCUUCAAAUGCUCCAAUUUAGCUUCUUUAGUCUUUUUAACCCCAAUUAGAUUCAUUCAAGCCUAAUAAACUGAAUUAGAUUAAUGAGCCUUGAAGCAUUGUAAGUGAUAGGGAUGUUAAAUUCUUAAGUCAUUUUUUUGGCGUGUGUUAUGGGUAAGUUAGGCACUAAAUUAUUAUUUUAUACUACUUGCCAUUCAUAAACAUAUGGACAAAUCAAAGUUGUUAAUAGAACUUUGGUUCAACUUCUUUGUUCUUUAAUUUCUAGGAAUUUUAAAUCUUGGCAGGAUCUUUUGCCAUAUGUGGGGUUUUCAUACAAUAGGGUUGUUCAUAGCAUUACACAUUAUUCUCCAUUUGAAAUUGUUUAUGGUUUUAACCCAUUAACUCCUAUUGAUCUAGUUCCUUUGCCUCUUAACAAGCUUGUUAAUGUUGAUGGUUCUUCUAAGGUAGAUUUGGUUAAAAGGCUACAUGAAUAAAUUAAAGAAAGGAUUGAGUAGCAAAAUACUAGAGUAAUCGAAAGACUUAACAAAGGAAGAAAGCCAAUGGUGUUCCAACCUAGUGAUUGGAACUAAGGUUUUCGCAAGGAAAAGUUCCCAAAUCAAAGGAAGCCAAAUCUAAGUCCAAGGGAUGAUGGACCAUUUCAAGUACUUGAGAGGAUAUACGACAAUGCUUACAAAAUUGAUUUAUAAGGUAAGUAUAAUGUGAGUGGCAGAUUUAAUGUUGCUGAUUUGAGUCCUUAUGAUAUAGGUGAUAAGUUUGAUUCAAGGACAAAUCAUCCUAAAGAAGGAGGGAAUGAUAUAGAUCGGCCAAGGCUUAAAUAUGUUGAUUUGGUUGGGCUUGAUGAUAAGGGCAGCAAGAAAGAAUCAAGGAAGGAUCCAUUAAGUUUAUUAUAAAGUCCAAUUAUAAGAUCAAAGGCUACUUCAAAAGCCCUUAAAUAGCUAUAUGCAAGAGUGGGCUAACAAUGGAAGUCCAAUAGAAAAAUGCCCAAAUGAAAUUCAUAAAUAAUGGACUUUGUUUAAUGUUCUUAAAGUCCAAGUUUAUGAAGGAUUUAUUUAACUCGUAGUAUCCUAUUUGGUUAAAUGUUAAAGUUUCCUAAGUUUGUGAAGAAACUUAUAUUAGAUCAUAUUAGUUAAGUAAGAGUUCUUGAUGCAAAUCCUACAAGCACAAGGAAUCCUACUCUGACUAGGAAUCCUACUCCAACUAGGAAUCCUACCUGAAUUAGGAGUCCUAAUCCUACGAGGAGUCCUACUCGAACUAAGAGUCCUACUUCCACUAGGAAUCUUAGUCUGAUGAGGAGUCCUACUCUAGUUAGAAAUCCCAAUCCAACUAGGAUUAUACACGAGCCACUCAAAUAUGAUGGACCAUUACUAAAGCUCAUAUGAAGAAGUUCAAGGAUGCUUUAGGAAUGUUCCUGAAGCAAGAGUUGAAGCUUAGGUUGGAGAUCCAAAGUCCAAGUGAGAUUGGGCUUAAUUAAGACAAUUGGCCUCAAGAUACUCAUAUAAACUUAAUUCUAUAUAUGGAGACAUGAACUAGUCAAAAUAGGCCCAAAAUAAACAAGUCAAGCUAAUACUCAAGAAUUGGUCGCUUAUUACAUGUUACUUAAGCCCAAAUGUCAUGUUUAUUAUAUGGGCUAGGGUUGGACGAAUUUCAGGAGUAUUUUUUUCAUUUAACGAAGUCUUUUAAUAGUUCAGAAUCUUAUUUUAAGUUAUUCUUUUAGUUAGGAGUUCUAUUCCUAGUUGUUAUUGUUAUUGGCUUCCUUAUUAUUAUAGAAUUAGGUUUUUCUAAGGCCUAUAUAAGCUCGUACGAAUUUCUAUGUAAAGUUUGGUUGAAUAUUGUUUAUUUUAGAGUUAAUUCUCUUAUUCUUUUCUUUAUAAACCUGGUGAAUUUGUGAAUUUAUCAAGUGAAUGCUUGAUAUUUUACAAAUUUAGUUUAAUCUAAACUUUUGUUUAUAUUAAACAGUCUUUAAUUCUUUAUAAUUAAGGUUCUUAAGUACAAGUUAUUUAAGGGUCUGGUUGGGAGUUAUAGUUUCUUUGCUUAAUUAAGUGAACGAUCCUUAGUAAAGACAUCAAUAUUGAAUAUAGGUUAGGCAUAAGUUAGCCAUGUUUAUAUCAAUUCUAUUCUUUUUAGGACUUUAGAAAUGUCUUUAAAACAUAUCAAAUUGGUAUGCCAUUUUUCAAAUUAUGAUCAAUUAAAUUUUUUACUUUCUUUCAAGCCAAAACUUACUUGUCAAGGAGUUGAUAUGUCCUUGAGGUAUACUUGGAAUUGGGGUUUAAGGAACUUAACUUUCCUUAGGUUCUAAUUCUUGAUCAUCUUACAUGCUGAUUAGACGAUCCUAGGGUUUAAUUUCAAGUUGCUCUUUGGAUUUUCAAGUUAGUGACUCAUAGAUUUAUAAGGAUUAGAGUUCUUGGAGGUUCUUUAACUUUUGGUAUCAGAGCUUUUAGCUCUUGAAUCAGGUUACUUAUCCUUCUUUAAUGUUAUUUCAUUGUGUUCUUUAAGUUUCCAAGUGGUUUUAUUCAUUUCUUGAUAACAAUCUUGAUUACUACUUCCACGCGCUUUCUCCCAAUAGUGGUGUUUAUGCUCUCCAAAUAAAACCAAACCAUCAUAUUAGACAAAAAGGAGUUGACUGGUUAACAACUCUCGUAGUCCUAAAUUUAAUGAGCCAGAAUAAUAAAAACAAGGGAAAAUUCGUGUGGGCAACACUUAAUUAAACCUCAGCCCAAAUUAUAUAAUUAUAUGCAUCCCAAACACUAAAACGCGUGCAUUCCCUAUUAAAUUAAUCUAAAACAAUAUUAUUUCUCCUUUAAGCAUGUAGAUUUGCGUCUCAUCCUACUAGAUCAUCACAUCACACCCCAUUUCUUUACUAUUUAGAUAUCCCAAGUUUUUAUUUAGUGCAUUAACACAAUCAUAUCAUGGUGAAACGAAGUCAACAUACUAUUUAAGCAUAUAAAAGAUCAUAAAGUUUUUAUUCAUAUAAUACAUGUGAAGUACAUUUACAAAUAUAACACAAAACAUAUGUCUUUAUCAUGUGGAUGCUUAUGAUACAAGGAGAGAGAGAGUGAGGGUUCGGCCGGUAACCUUUGCUUUAUACUUUAUUUUCUAAUGCUAUAUGCUUCAAAUAGUCACACCUCAAGCUUCAUUAUCUCGAAAAAAUAAUUGCAAUUUGGUGAGUCAUGACUCAAUGAAUAUUUAUAUAAAUAUCAAUUAAAUUCUAAAGGCACAAAUACAAACAAUUGAUGUCAGAUCAAUACAAAAAUAUGAUUCAUUCAAAUGCAAGUGCUAAUAUAUUGCUCAUUUAUUUUUUUGUUGUGGCGUGGGAAGACAAAUAUUGCUCCCGGGAUUCAUGUGAAACAAUUGCCAUUUGAUUUUGCUGGACUGCAUAUAACAUGUGAAUCAUGUGAUUUCCUUUGAUCAUUUGCAUUUUCCAUAUGAUUGUGCAAAUAUUUGCCAAGCCGGUUACAACAUCCUUUUAUAUUCGUAUGCAAGUGCUCAAAUGUAGAAUUUGCAUUGAACUUAUAAACACUUGUAUAUAAACAUAACCAUCAAUAAACAAACUACAUACAUUUAAAUAAUCAAAAGAAUUCACCUCAAUCACAUAAUUUCACCAUAUGUUCACACUAAUCUCAAUCACACAAUUUCACCAAAGAAGUCAAUCAAUAUUUAUACUCACCUUUUAGAUAUUAAUUACAUUAUGGACAACUUGUAUUUCCUUCUCGAACUUCACCGAUGCCUUGAGAUCCUAAAAUAUAACAUAUAUUUGGUCAAAAACAUACCUACAAUAGUGUUUACACUUGGUAUAUAAUUAGUAUAUUUUCAGGAUAUGCUAUUUAUAUAUGUAAGCUUAACAUUUAUGCACAAUUCUUUCCUAUUUGACAGCUUGACCUUGCUAGACCUGAGAGUGAGUAACUUUCACCACACAAUUCUAAAUUAGUUGACUCCUUUUUUUUAUAAAACUAGACACACAAGACUAUAACAUAUCCAAAAGUUAUCACAAUAUAAGCUCUUCAUAAUUAAUGGUGAAUUUUUGAAUCCAAAUUUAUGCUCUGCACAAAAACAUUUUGAGCAAGUCUCAUUCAGUUUAGAAUUUCUCAAGUUACACAAGUCCAAUUGAAAAAUCCUAUUCUAAAAACUUCAAUAACAUAUAAAGGAACAACUUUCAUGUUUUAAAGUUCAUCUAGUUUAGCCUCUAAAGUCCUCAUAGUAUUUGAGAAACACCGGACUGCCUGCAGACAAAGCAAACAGAACCAACCUCACUCCAAGGGCGAUUUCUCAUUACACACAUAUUAUUUCAUUAAACUGCAUCAGAUGGUUAAAAAGGAACAAAACUCAUGGUUAACAAUUUGUCUAAUUCAACCCCUAAGGGUCUCAUAUUUUAUUAAAUAAAGGAAAACCCCAUGCAGUAUGUCACAACCAAAUUUAUUUAUUUUUUUUAUUAAUAAUUAAUAUUCAUUAGCAUGUCAUUAAACAUGUCAUUUGCAUCAUGAUUAUAUAUGAUCUAUUUUAUUAUAUUAUGUGGUAGAUAAAUAAAUUAUUUAGUUACAUAUUGAUUUAAUUGAAAAGUAAUGAUUUUGGACUAAAUUGAAAAGUUAGAAAGAAAGAGGAUUAAAUUGUAAUUUGCCUAUUUCCACACCAAUAUACCACCUCUUUCAUUUGUUCUUAUCUACGUAUGCUUUCCAAUUUCCUUUUCUUCUUUGUCUCUCUCAUUUUUCUCCUUUCCUUCUUCAACUUUGAUUUUCCAAAUCAAACUCUACAAAACUUUUAGUAAGUGAAAAUCAAAUUCUUCUUUUAAGCUUGAAAGAUUUGGGCUUUCUUAAUCAAGGAAAACAAAGGUGAAUAAUUUUAAUUGCUUGAUUUUGCUGUAAAUUAGGGUUAAUGAUAUGAAAUUGUUGAUGAUUAUGUGUUUUGGAAUUGUUUAAUCAAGAGUAAACAUGCUUUUACUUGUGAUCUUGAAGCUGAAAUUUCUGGGCAGAUUUUUCACUUAUGAUUUCGUGACCUUAGAGGCUUUAUCUCGAAAAUUUUCAAACAUGAAAGUUGUAGGUAUAUGUCUCAAGAAUAUCUCUGUAAAAUGGUUUUGCAGAUUGUUGAGUGAGUAGGAACUUAUGAGGUUCGAUUUUGCUGCUGCUCUGUUUUUGGUUCAGCAGGUGACCUGGUUUUUGUGCUGACAUUUUGAGGCAUUUAGAGGCUGAACCAAGCAGAGAGUAAACAUGAAAGUUGUUUAUUUAUAUAUUUAGUAUAUUUCUGAAAAAUUUCAUAAUUUUUGGUUGAGUAUAACGUGAGAUAUGUUGAACUUAAUAUGGCCUGCCCGAAACUGUUUUAAGCAGAAAUCGGGCUUAGGAUUCAGAAAUUUGUUGCUAAUUGUGUGUUUCACAACUUGAGCUAGAAAAGUCCAAAUUGAGUAAAAUUAGUGUCUAUAGAAACUUUAGUAUGUUAAAUUUNNNNNNNNNNNNNNNNNNNNNNNNNNNNNNNNNNNNNNNNNNNNNNNNNNNNNNNNNNNNNNNNNNNNNNNNNNNNNNNNNNNNNNNNNNNNNNNNNNNNNNNNNNNNNNNNNNNNNNNNNNNNNNNNNNNNNNNNNNNNNCUAUUUCUAUACCAAUGAUUUUGAGGUGGUUCUUUCUGCUAUGGUUUCUAUAAAAAUGGAAGUGUAAUUCUGGAAAAUAUAAGAUUUUUAUUAAUUGUACAUAAGUUUUGGUGUAAUUUCUAAGUCAGUACCUACAAGCUGCCUUCAUUAACAAAUAUGUUGAUUUGUUGUCAUUCAUCUCAUGCAUCAUAUUAAUAUCUAGAAUAUAUGUUAUUUUGUUGAAAUGUGAUAUUUUAUUGAUAGUAAAUAUAUAUAUAUAUAUUUAUGCCUUGUGAUUGAAUUGUAUUUGUAUUGAAUAUGUGAAUAGGUUCAUCCAAAGGCAAGGAAGUGGUAAGAGAAAAAGAAUAGGAUUACUUUGUUAUCCUAUAACUUUUGGUAAGUAUUUAAUAGACUAAACUUUGUAUAUAUUGAGUAGGGACUGCUGUUUGAUUACUUGAUAAUUUCUUGGUUGACUGAGUUGAUAUUAGUUAUGUUUUUGGCUUGUUAUAAAGUGAAUUGAUUGUGAUGUGUUGUGAAGUGAAUUGAUUGUGAUGUGUUGUGAAGUGAAAUGAUUGUGAUUAAGGAUUGAUGACUUUUGUAUGGAUAUUGUGUGAUCGGGAAAGCUGAGCCGGGCGGAUAGCUACCCGAGUAUGUGAGAUGGCAAGACUGAGCCAGGCGGAUAGUCUUGUCAAGUGGUUACUGAAAUUUAAAAAUGUGAGGAAAUGUAAGGAUGAGUCAUCUGAUCCUAAUUUGAUAGAAAUAAUGUGGAAUUGAAUUAUUUGACUUGGUUGAGUUUGAGAUUAUUUGCAUUACGUGAGAUGAAAUUAUAUGUUUAUGAGAAUAACUGAAAUGGUUGAUUUUGUGAUUGUUAGUUAAGUGUUGGUAUAAUUUUCUGUAUUGAUAAAGAUUUGAUAAUUCUAGCCUAAUAUACUAUAGUUUAGUAAAUUAAAUGCUUAUUAAGUCGCUAGCUCAUUCCUUAGCAAUUUUUUUUUCAGGUUAGUGCAGUUGUAGAUUGCCUUAGCUGUGCAUUGCUCUUUUUGCAUCAGUCAAUAUUAUCAGGUGGGCCAGAGGAGUUAUCUAAAGCAUUGGGGCAUUUUGGGAACUUGUGUGAAUUAAACUACUGUAUAAAUAUUUCUUAUAUAUAUUAAGUAUGUCAUGCCACUUAAAUUGUAUGAAUGUAUAUUGUAACUAAGUAGUAAAUUAUGUUUAUAAAGUUAUAUAUAUAUAUAUAUUGCUAUUCAAUGGGAAGUUUGAGUUGGGGUGUUACACAGUAGAUACAAUUUAACCAGUCCCAAUCAAAGAAGAAUUUCUCAUCACACACAGCAAAUCUCGUGAAAAAAUUUUAUUGGCAUGAAGAUGAGACAUAAAUUUACAAGUUUCAUGUUUUAUGUUUCUCCUAAUUCUUCUUCUAUGGCUAUGAAAACAAGGGUACAAAAUUCUGCUCUGAAAUAGAAUUUAAGGACUAUGAAAUCACUUCACACCAUAAUCAUAUAAUUGCAAUUAUAAUAUAGAAUAAAAAUAAGUAACUUGCCCAAAUCAAUAGUGAAAUUAACAAGAUUUACGUUUAGGAAUUUGAGAGAAGAAAGGAAAGAAAUUAGAUAUAGAUAUUUUUUUUGAUACCGGAAUUAUAGCUUAAUGAGGAGAUAAACUAGAGUUUUCUAGUUUUUUUUACAAGAUAAGGACACUCCCAUACACAUCCACUGCCUCCAUAUACAUCCUUUAUCUUAUCUUUAUUAUUAUUAUUAUUAUUAUUAUUAUUAUUAUUAUUAUUAUUAUUAUUAUUAUUAUUAUUAUCAUUAUCAUCAAUCUUUUUGUUAUAUUUUAAUCAAUUAUCAAAUAGAAGUCCAAAUCAAUCUAUAUAAAUAAGUCAACUAGAUUCAAUUUCUUACAUAUUUAUUUAUUGACUCAAAUUUCAAUUUUAUAAUACCUCAAAUACAUCCUAUAUUACGCAUACUAAAAUAUGCCACUACAAUGCACUUUGACAAAUACAAAACAAAUGAAAGAUGUGGAAUUCACAUAAUGAAAUGGAAUGAUUUGAGAUGCAUAUGUUUAAGUUAUUUUAUGCAAUACAUGCAAAUUUAAAUGAAAUGCUUGUGGUUAAAGUCAAUGAAGUUACAUUCAAUGCCUGCGAAUAAAUAGGGAUAUUGUCGCUUCAUAUUCUCCUCAGUUUCCCAAAUAGCUUCUUUCUAUGAAUGGUUCCUCCACAACACUUUACUCAAGAAAAUUUCUUGAUUCCGUAACUGUGCUGUCUUAUAACCAAUGAUCUUUACCGAUUCUUCAACAUAAUUCAAAUUAUCGGCAAUUUCCACUUCUUGAUUUUUAAGUAUAUAUGUAGGAUCAGAUCGAUAUCUUCUAAGCAUACUCACGUGAAACACAUCAUGGAUCUAGGCCAAUUCUGGUGGUAGUGCUAACCUAUAAGCUAAUGGACCAAUUAUUUCAAGAAUUUCAUUUGGCCCUAUAUAUUGAGGACUCGACUUGCCUUUUUUGCCAAAUAUGAUUGCUCCUUUCCAUGGUGAAACUCAAAGAAACACUUUAUCACCCACUUCAUAUUCCAUUUCUCUCCUAUGCUGGUCUGCAUAGCUUUUUUUGUCUAUCUCGUGCUGCUUUGAGUCUACUUCUGAUUAGUUUUACUUUAUCCACUGUAUCUUACACUAUUUUAGGGUCUUCUAAUACACGCAUACCUUCUUCAUUCCAAGAAAUAGGAUUAUGACACUUUCUUCCAUAUAAUGCCUCGUAUGGUGCCAUUUGGAUACUGUUGUUGAUCGGAAAUCAUCAUCUUAGCAACCACACACCCCAAUAACUAAUAAGUUAUGAUCUAUAUGGAAUGCAAGAAAACACCCUCCAAUCAAGAUGAUUCCAAAACCCAAGGAUCUCCUCAAGUGAAGUUAGGAAAAACUAGUUCCAACAAUGAAACUAGCACUUGAAUUCAACUCCAAAUGCCACAAACCAAGUAUGAUUUGAUAUGUUAUGAAUCAAACACAAGAUUUUGGUUAGAGAACGCCACAAACUAAAAAUAGUUUGAUAAGUUUAAAGUUCAUGCAAGAACUUAAGCAAAAACACUCACAAAGAGCAAACAAAGAUUAUCAUUCAAAAUUCUACAUUUACAAAUGAAUUUGGCUUUGGUAUUUAUAGCCAAAACAAGACAAAGAAAACCUAAAUGGAUGUCUUUUGAACUUUCCCACGUUUUCUCCUUUAAUUUCCCUUAAAACUCAUUAAAAUGGCUAUUUUUUUUACAUUGAUAGCACUCAUUUUGUAACUCCCAAAUGACAACUAAAUAUGUGCACUCAUUUGUAACUCCACACAACACACAUAUAACUCACACCUAAUAAAGUAAUCCUUAAUUAAGUAAAAAUAAAACUAAAAUAAUUACUUAAGCUAAAACCCAAAAGAUAAGAACCCAUAUAAAUAUGAAUUAAGCCCAAAGGCCUAAUCAUAGCCAAAUGGCUUUUAUUCUUGAAAAUGGACUGAAUGCUUCAUUAUAAGGUUGGACUCUUGUUUUCAUACAUGAGUUGCAUUUCCAUUUUGGACCUUUUGGUGCAUGCCUUUACAAUGGAAUCUCAUGGCAGCCUUGAUUCAUAUAUUCCCCCUUUCUUGAAAGAAAAUUCGUCCUCGAAUUUUACCCAAAUAUUGCGAAAGAAAUAAACAUAUAAUAUCAAACGGUAAUAGAAUGUCAUCAUCAACCUGAAAUUCCUUCGCAAUAGUGAUUAGAGGAUCUUUAAAACAAAUAAUAUUUUUAGUACCAAUAAAUCCAACAUGCUCAAAAGGUUUAACAGCUUCAUUAUUCACUAAUUGAAUCUUUGCUUCUUCAUUAACAACAAACUCUUCAUUGUUGAAUUUAUUUAGAGGUAGCAAAUCAUUGUCUUCCUCGCCAUCUUCAAUUAUCACGUCUUUACAAUCUAUAUUGACUUCAGUAGAGCAAUUUGCCUCAUCUACUCCAUUGAUGUUAGUCUUCAAUGAUGACUUAGAAUCUUCUUUAUCUUUGAGAUGCUUAAGAAAGGUGUUAGUCAACAUUUUGAACUCUUCAAGCCCAUGCUUAAAUGCUUCAAAACUGAUUCUUAAAGAUUUGUUCUCCGUUGAAAAUUCAUCAAUAAAAACUUGACUUGGUUGUCUAUCUAACCUCUUAGGUUUAGGCUUAAAAGAAUAAAAAUUUUGUCUACACUCUUCAUAACGAUUAUUUCUUUGACCCCACAUCUUAUCAUAAGAUUGAUAAUGAAGAUUUCGACAUUGUCUAAUGAACUCAGCUUCAUGAAACAUUCUUCUUUUUGUGUCUAUGGAUGAAAUAAAGAUAAAAAUAAAGAACCACAAAGAAGUUUGAAGGAAAGAACAAAAGAUAUAAUACGAAAUUCGAAGGAAAAGAAAAAGAAAAACUACAUAAAGAGAUUGACAAGAAGGGAAAACAAAAUUUAUUUAGUAAACACAAAGGUGUAAACUUUAAAACAGAGAGUACUUAAAAGGAAAAAUUGAAACAAGAAGAAUUCGGCACUAAAAAAAAUCAAAGAAGAUGAGAAACUCUAAUAACACACAAAACACAAAGAUUAGCAAACCUCAACUUGAAGCAAGCUCUGAUACCAAAUGAUAGGAAAUCAUCAUCUUAGCAACCACACACCCCAAUAACUAAUGAGUUAUGAUCCAUAUGGAAUGCAAGAAAACACCCUCCAAUUAAGAUGAUUCCAAAACCUAAGGAUCUCCUCAAGUGAAGUUAGGAAAAACUAGUUCCAAUAAUGAAACUAGUACUUGAAUUCAACUCCAAACGCCAUAAACCAAGUAUGAUUUGAUAAGUUAUGAAUCAAACACAAGAUUUUGGUUAGAGAACGCCACAAACUAAAGAUAGUUUGAUAAGUUCAAAGUUCAUGCAAGAACUUAAGCAAAAACACUCACAAAGAGCAAACAAAGAUUAUCAUUCAAAAUUCUAUAUUUAUAAAUGAAUUUGGCUUUGGUAUUUAUAGCCAAAACAAGACAAAGAAAACCUAAAUGGAUGUCUUUUGAACUUUCCCACGUUUUCUCCUUUAAUUCCCCUUAAAACUCAUUAAAAUGACUAUUUUUUUUACAUUGAUAGCACUCAUUUUGUAACUCCCAAAUGACAACUAAACAUGUGCACUCAUUUGUAACUCCACACAACACACAUAUAACUCACACCUAAUAAAAUAAUCCUUAAUUAAGUAAAAAUAAACUAAAAUAAUUACUUAAGCUAAGACCCAAAAGAUAAGAACCCAUAUAAAUAUGAAUUAAGCCCAAAGGCCUAAUCAUAACCAAAUGGCUUUUAUUCUUGAAAAUGGACUGAAUGCUUCAUUAUAAGGUUGGACUCUUAUUUUUAUACAUGAGUUGCAUUUCCAUUUUGGACCUUUUGGUGCAUGCCUUUGCAAUGGAAUCUCACGGCAGCCCUGAUUCAUAUCAGUCGUGAUACUGACUGUUAUAAGCAAACUCCAUUAAACCAAUAUGUUCAUCCCAUGCACCUUUAAAUUCUAAUACACAAGCUCGGAGCAUAUCUUCAAGUGUUUGAAUUGUUCUUUCUGAUUGCCCAUCUGUCUGAGGAUGAAAAGCAGUGCUGGAAUUUAAUUUAGUACCCAAAGCCUCAUUUAAACUCUCACAAAAGCGAGAUGUAAACCAUGGAUCCCUGUUUGAUACAAUGGACACUUUGAACUCUAUGCCAUCUAAAAAUUUCAUUCACAUAUUGUUUGGCUAAAAAUUCAAGUGAACUACUCCAUUUGAUAGGCAAAAGGUGAGCUGUCUUAGUUAAUCGAUCGACAAUCACCCAUAUAGCAUCAUUCUUUCUUGGAGUUUUUAGUAAUCCACAUACAAAAUCCAUCGUUAUUCUUUCCCAUUUCCAUACCGGAAUUGACAAAGGUAUCAACUUUCCAACUGGAGCUUGGUUUUCUGCUUUAACUUGUUGACAUGUUAAACAUUUUGAAACAUACUUUGCCACAUCUUUCUUCAUUUUAGGCCACCAAUAAUGGGGUCGUAAGGUGUUGUACAUUUUGGUCAUCCCUAGGUGCAUAGCAUAUGGAGCAUUAUGUGCCUCCUCCAAAAUUUCUCGGCGUAGGUUAUCAACAUCAGGUACACAAAUACGGGAUCCUAUCAUCAAGGUAUCAUUCUGAACAUUAAACUCUUUAUUUUCCCCUUGCUUCACUUUGUCAAUCUUUUCUUGUAAUUGUGGAUCCUUGCUCUGUGCUUCCUUAAUUCUGUUAUGCAAUAUUGGUCUAACUUGCAAAUUAGCAAUCAACACUCCAUUUUCUUGUAAAUUUAAUUUGACAUUCAUAGCUCGCAACUGAACCAAAGAAGAGAAUGGAAAUACUUAUAAAUAAGCUACACUGCUUCUUGUCUUCCUACUCAAAGCAUCAGCUACUACAUUUGCUUUUCCUGGAUGAUACUCAAUUGUGUAGUCAUAAUCCUUCAACAAUUCUUUUGUCUCAUAUUUAACUCUCUUUGGCUCAAUAAGUACCUCAGACUCUUAUGAUUAGUAAAUAUCUGAAAUAUUUCUCCAUAUAAAUAAUGCCGUCAUAUUUUCAAAGCGAACACAAUAACAGCAAGUUCUAGAUCAUGUAUUGGAUAAGAUAACUCAUAUGGCCUUAGCUGUCUAGAUGCAUAUGCAAUCACCUACCAUGUUGCAUUAAUACACAUCCCAAACCUGAUGAGAAGCAUCACUAUAAACUACAAAUCCUCCAUUACCUGUAGGAAUUGUUAACACUGGAGUGUUGUCAACUUGGCUUUCAAUUCAUCGAAACUCUUCUGACAUGCUUCAGACUAUUCAAAUACAACAUUUUUUCGAAGUAACUUUGUCAAAGGGCUGACUAUCAAUGAAAAUGCCUCAACAAACCGACGAUAAUACCCAGCUAAUCUUAAGAAACUUCGAACUUCUACAACAUUCUAUCACUACUGCUUCUAUUUUCUUUGGAUCCACUUCUAUGCCCUGUCUAAAAAUAACAUGUCCCAAAAAUACUACCUCAUCUACCCAAAACUCACAUUUACUCAAUUUAGCAAACAAUUGUUUCUCUCUCAAGGUUUGUAACACAAUUCUUAAAUGAUGUUCAUGUUCCUCCCUACUUCUUGAAUAGACAAGUAUGUCAUCAAUGAACAAAAUCAUAAAUUUUUCUAAGUAGCACUGAAACACCUUGCUCAUAAGAGCUAUAAAUGCAAUUGGUGCAUUAGUUAAACCAAACGGCAUCACUAAAAAUUCAUAGUGCCCGUACUUGGUUCGAAAAGCAAUCUUUGGUACGUCUGGGUCUGAAAUUUUAAGGUGAUAGUAGCCUGAUUUCAAAUCAAUCUUGGAAAACACUUGAGGUCCCUGCAAUUGACCGAACAGAUCAUCUAUUCUAGGCAAAGAAUAUUUUUUCUUCAUAGUGACCUGAUUUAACUGCCUAUAAUCGAUACACAACCUCAUUGCCCCAUCUUUCUUUUUCACAAAUAGCACUAGGGCACCCCAAGGUGACACACUAGGCCUAAUGAACCCCCUGUCAAAUAGUUCGUGCAACUGAGUUUUCAAUUCUUUCAAUUCAACUCAUGCCAUCCUAUAAGGUGAAAUAGUUAUUGGUGCUACUCUUGGUACUAGUUCAAUUGUGAAUUCCACUUCUCUAUCAAGUGGCACACCCGGUAAAUCAUCUAGAAACAUAUCUGGAUAAUCAUUUACUACUGGGAUAUUUUCAAUUGUAUUAUUUGUAGUUCUGGUAUCUAUCACAUGUGCUAGAUAAGCUUCACAACUGCUUUUAACCAUUCGGAGAGCCUUUACAGCAUAAAUUAAACAUGUAGGCACAAUUUGUCUUUCCUCUAGAAACAUAACCCUCGGUUGAUUUGGAGAUUCUAAAAUAACCUCCUUGGUAAAACAAUUCAUUAUGGUAUGAUGUUUGGUCAACCAAUCCACUCGGGACGACAGCAAAACCACAUUUAGGCGAACUCGCUUACGAAAAGGGAAAGCUGUACUACCACCAUCGAAAUCCAAAUUGAUUGGGUUUUUGAAAUUCACUACCAAAGCUCGAAAGGACAGAUAUGCAGAUGUACGAACGCGAGCGAUUAACCCAGCUAAGUAUGUCGAUACUCAUUCUCUAGAAAAACUAGAUAUAAAGGAGGAUUUCGAUGCUACGACAACUAGUAUGUGGUGGAAAACCUUAGUGACUGUUAGAUACCCCACAUUUGUUGAGUUGAUUAGAGAAUUCUACACAACCUUUCAGUUUGAAAUACUCGAGAGUUUCACAUUUGAUAGUCCUGAAGUUGUGCGAUAUCGACUCCUAGGCAAUGAAUUUAAGCAAUCAAUUACUGAAUUCAAUUUGGCCCUAGGAUUUGUUGACACUGAAUUUUCUCUAACCAAUCAAUACAAGAGCUCUGCUAUAGAUUUUGUUGAUAAUCUUGAUCAGACAAAGCUCUGGAAGACCAUGUCUUCUGACCCUAUGCAUUACGAUCCUAGCAACUCUAAAGGUGUGUAUCUUAAUAAACCUGAAUGGGUUUACAUGCAACGAUUUUUAGCAUUCAGCUUCUCUGGUAGAAAAGACACAGCAAAUGUAUGUACAAAAACUUAACUUUAUUUUAUUUGGUCCAUGUUGCAUGAAAACACAAUCAAUUUGGGUUUUUGGUUGGUUCGCAAUUCAAAUUUGUGUUAACUCGUAAGAAGCAUUUAUAUUUAGGCUUUUUAAUUAAUCAUUUGGCUGUUUGCCUUCGAUUACUCGAUCUCGAUAAUACUAACUUACAUAUUGCUUGUGAGAUGGAACCAUUGGACAUCGCCUGUUUGAUGAAGAUGCACGUGCUUGUGGAGAAUAAUGGGGUGUACUCUUUCUAAAAGCCUUCUCCGCACGGCCAAGGCGAUCCCCCAAGAUCUAGGAAACGAUCUUGCCCAACAAGCAAUCUUCGUGAUCCAAAGGACUCAACUAAACCAGAUUUUGAAAAUCGUUUAGAAAAGAUGGAACGAAAAAUUUCAAAGAUGGAGAGAAAUUUAGAUGCCUUGAUGAAACACUGGGGAGUUCUACCCCCUUGCCCACCGUCACCAUAGACUACUCAAUCCAAGUGGCUCACAAAAUAGGGGAGAAUCACAUCUCUUUUCAUUUAUUUUGAGAACCGUUUUCUUUUUGAUACAUCGAGGACAGUGUAUAGUAUAGGUGUGGGGAGGAUAAUUACAUGAUUUUCUUUUGAAAAUAUCUUUUUAUGCUUAUAAUUAUGUAUGCUUUAAUUCAUAUGUGUUACUUUUUCUUUUGCAACCUUGAGUUUUAUUUUGAUAACCUAGAAUACUAUGUAAGUUAGAAAUACAUUUGUGGUUUGAAUUUUAAUGCAUGAAAGGGAUAAGCAUGCUUAGUGUUUCUUUAAAAUUAUUUGAUGGUAUCUCAUUAAUUUAUUAAUCGAAAAAUGCACAAGACUUGAUACAAAUUUGAACAUUCAAGUGAACUUUUGAGCCUAAGAACAGUUCAUUAUAUUUUACUCUAAUUGUUUUUUAUGAGUGUUAUCAAACUAGUAUGAUUAUUCUAGAACUUGCUUCUGAAUGCAUGUUGAGACCACAUCCUUGGAUUGAUGCUUUAAUAUGAAAAGGGCAAUUAGGAUUAACCUAUUCUUAGACUCUUAAAAUACCUACCCUGUUGAUUUCCCUUUUAGUUAGCCACUUUGAGCCUAUUUUCCAUUUUUUUCAACACAUGUUGUUUAACCCAAGACCUUUCAUUUGCUACCUCUAUUUUUUUUACCCUUGUCAAGACAAGAAGGGAAGUGUUGCAUGAUACAAAUGAAACACACAAAAAAGAGACAAAACAAAAAAAAGAGAAAGAGAAGGGGGAAAGAAAAAGAAGAAAAAGAGAAAAAGAAAGUUGAUAUCUAUUCCUUUCAUGAAAGAGGAGAAUUGAAGAAGUAUUUAUCAAGUAUACUGAAUUAAAUUGUUACUCUUCACAAGUUCUUAGUAUUCAUAUAAAAUGUGAGAAUAAAUAUCAACUUUUAAGAUUUUUUGUAGUAUGUUUCAUGGCGAUGUGGCAUAAGUUAUCAUGCAAGAAUCUAACCUUUUUUUCUUGAUAAGGAAACAUUUCAGUUCUUCCUUUUAUCACACCCUUUCCUAAACCCCGUUACAACCCUCGUGAAGUCCCUUUGAUUUUUGCGUCUAAUUCAUGUGUAGUGGUGGAGACUUGAUUCAUUAGCAACCUUAUGGUAAUAACAUGCUAUGUUUUGAUCCUGAGAGCAAAUGCGCCCUAAACACUUUGAGAGUAUUAAGUGAAAUCAUGUUAGGGUGUUAAGUCUUGUUGCUUUGAUUUUGACAAAUUAUUGAGAUGCCUGUUCUUUUUACAAAAUUUAUCCUAUAAGUUCUAAUCUCUUGAUUGUCAUUAUUACUCAGCUCAUUGAUGCAUGUUUAACUUAUUUGGUAUUUGAGGAGAUUAAAAGAGAUAAAAGGAAGGUUAAAAGGAGAAUUGGUAUGUUGAAUUGAGGUAUGCUUGAGGACAAACAUAAAUUAGGUGUGGGGAAAUUUGAUAGGUCAUAAAUAGUUAUACUUAUUGUAUUUGAUUGAAUAAUGUACUUAAUUAUGUAAAUUCUGUUUAUUCUGACUUAGGUGAUGAAAUAUCAAGGAUUGAGCAAAUUCAGCCUAAAGACAUAUUUGAAGUCAUCACUUAUUAAAAACCAAUUCUUUUGGAGGAAAUGCAGAAAUCUGCAUAGAAGAUCAUUAUCGAUAAGGCGUGACCACGCCUUACAACCCAUGAGCUCCGCAGAAAUCUGUACAGAAGACCAUUGUCGAUAAGGCGUGACCACGCCUUACAACCCAUGAGCUCCGCAGAAAUCUGUACAGAAGACCAUUAUUGAUAAGGCGUGACCACGCCGUGCAACCCAUGAGCUGCUGAAACUUGCAAAAGAGAGCUUCGAAUUUUUUAGAGAUAAAUUUAUGGUGGACCCAUCUUUAGUUAAUUUCCUUUAUUUUUGGAAGUGUUGGAUAAAGAUAACUUUAGGAUUUUAAUUUGUUUAGAUUACUCUUUAUCUUAUCCUUCCUUAUGGGGAUAAAAUCAUAUAGGAAGCUUAUUUCUUUUUUAUAAGGAUUCUCUUAUUAGGGUUUAGGGUUUUACUUCCUAUAUAAGAACGGUUGAAAGUACUAUUAAUUAUUCUUAUUAUUCUUCUUCUUCUAUUUGCUACAAUUAUUUUCUUGUGAAUUCAUACUCCACUAUGUAUGGCUAAGUUUCUAGUUUCUAAUUCAAUGGUGAAUAAAUUCCAAUUGUGAUUUUGUGAGGUUUUGUGCUUAACAGAAUUUUUCUUUAAUUCAAGUAUUCUUUAUUUCUUAUUUUUAUUAUUUAUGAAUUAUUGAUAUUGAUUGAACUGACGACUCAACUUUGAUAUUGAUUUUUCUAUAGCUGAACUUUGAGUUUGUGAUCCGUAAUUGUCAUGAACGAUUGACACAAGUAGCAAGGAGUUGGCUCAUGUGUGUGCGAUUGCGGCUUAUUCGAAUUACAUAGCUUGCAUGAUAGGCUCUAGGGAAAUAAAUGAACAAGGUUAAUUCAAUUGCAGUUAUCUCAAUUAAUUAAUGUUGGUUUAGUCAUUCUCAUUAUUCUUAAUGCUAUCAUUAAGUUGAUAUGGAACGCUAUCGUGCCCAGUUGACUAAUGGUAAGUUUUGAAUUGGAUGUUAGGUUUGAGUCAAUUAUAUUAGGAGAAUUACACUUGUUGCAGCUUUUUUGAAUAAGUAGACUAAGUAUUUGAAUAGAAGAAUUGAUAUUUUAGCCUAUGAUCAUGAUUACAAUUGGAUGGAAUUAGCACUCUUGAAUUGGAAAUUUUUUAAGAUUGAUUUUUAUUUACUUUAAUAUUCAACCUUUAUCAUUUUCUGUUUAUUUAUAGUUUUGAUUCAAACAUUCAAAAUCUCCCUAUUUUUAUUUUACCUUGAGAAGCUAUCCACAUUAGUUCCCUUGGGAUUCGACCUGGUUUCACUAUCUCUACAAGUUAGUUUAGAAAAAUCAGUAAUUUAUUUUAAAGGGCUUCGACAACCCGUUCACUUUCACUUGUCAAAUUUGGUAGACAAUAUUCUUGUCAUAGCGACCCAAAUUAUAAUCUCAAUCCAUCUUUUCUCACAUAAUUGAGUCCUGAGGAGUCUGAAGAUGUUCUUUUCAAGGAGGUAGUUGCAUUUCUUCUUCAUUAUCAAUAUUCUGUUCUUAAUUAUUUUUUACUAUUUUUAUAAAAUCCUUUGCAAGGGUUGAACCUGCUCAAUGAAAUUUGUGAUAUUUUAUGCAUAUGCUGUGGUUCUGGACCUUAAGAUUGAAGCUUGUGGUGGAUUGCUAAUGAAUUCGACCUAGAUCAUCCCGAAUAUAUUUACUAUCACUAGGCUGUUAUAUGUACCUUGUGUUAAAUCUCAAUUAGUGAUGACCUUCUAUAAAUGCAAUUGGAACAGCUUCCAGGCUUGUAAGAGAAUUUUGUAGUUGUUCUUCAUACCAUUUAAUUUUUUCAUUUUCUUAUUUCAUCUUUGACUUAAUUUACCUCCUUCAAGAGACUAGGCUGUGCCAGUUUGUAAUGAGCAGGUGCUUUUGUCAUGCUGAAACCAAUUUAUUUUGGGUAUUUUACUCGCACAGGCUUGGCUUACAUAUUUUUGGAGCACAGCCAAAGCUAAUGGUAUAGAGGAGGCCAUUGCUAAAGAACGACUGCACGAGUUCCUAUGAUGCUGUUGAUGGUAAGCUUCAUAAUUUCCUGCUGCCAAGAUUUUCAAAAACCAUAAUAUGGUCAGUGUUUACUAGAUAACCACUUGGUGCAAUUCCAAUAAAUAUCCACUCAGCAACUCUUGUGGGUUUUGUUAUCUUCAAACGAAUGGAUAUUUUUUUGAAUAAGGAUGUAAUAAUGAUAUUGCGCUUGGAUGUCUCCUGUUUAGUCGUGCAAGGUCUGAUAGAGCUGAGGGAGCUAAGGAUAGAACAUCGGUUAUUAGAAGCAUGUCGCAAAGAAAUUGAGCAAGACUCUUCCACUAACAUCACACAAAAAUUUGCUGCAUAAUAAGGGCUCUGGCCCUGAGAUGUCUAUUUGCUUAGUACAAAUUUUUUCUUCUGUUUGGAAGAUGUGAGAAUCUAUACUUAAAAUUCUUUUAGUGAUGUAUGGCCUCUAAUUUUAUAGUCCAGAACAGUAACACGAUACAAAACCAAACCAAGGAGUAGGCGCCCUCCCUUCCCUGUGAGGGACAAAUAUAAAUGUCAAUUUUAACUGACAGUUGAAAUUAAAGAUUCAUACAAUUCUGAUUGGAGGCGAUUGGUCUUUCAUGGAUGUACAAGCAAUAGCUAUUGUUUUGUUCUAUUUGUUCCUCGUCUAUGCUUAAUACUACAAGCGAGCCUUUAACUUUUAAUUAAUUAUAAUGGGGCAGUUGCACUUGCAAGUGCGGCUUCAAUUAGAAACCAACAAGUUAUGUCUUAUGUAAAAAUGUAGAGAAGAAAAUUUUGUGAUAUAUUAAGUGAUAAUUCGCCCUCUUAUCAAAUUACAGAAUUGCAAAUGAGCCAUCUUCAUUUUAAUCCCAAAGGAGUUGGCAAUAGCAUAAGAAUUAAAGGAAGAUUUGUCCAGCCCAUAAUAACUCAAUUAACAAAGUAGCCAAACCACAAUAAACACUUUUUUUAUGUUUGGAGGAGAAUAUAAACAUCCGAUUCUGAUGGUUGUAUCUAGCGAAAAAUCACUUCACUUGGGGCCAAGGAUCAUUUAGGAAACGACGUCAGUUACCAAGGUGCAGCAGCUACGUUUUCAAAUUCAUGCUCCAUAUUCACAAUAUCUUCAUUCACAGCAUUAGCGUUCACCUGCAGAGUGAUGAGUUCAGAAUCUUUCAUCAUCUUCAUCGACACUUUCAUUGCCCGUUGCUCUUCUAACUGGCUUAUCCGCUCCUCAAUUUUAUCAAUAUCCUCUUCCAAUUUUAUUUUCUCAUUCUUACCCUCUGCCAUCCCAAUGUGGACCUUCUUCGCCUCAUCCUCUAGCCGUUUGCACCUAUCUUUGAUUGACAGCAACUUCUCAAGGCGCUCCGCUAUUGCCUUAACCUCAAAUCCAUGCAUUUCAAGCUCAGCAAGGACUUCCAUAUAGCUCUCGAAAACUUCUCUACCAUCAUCAACUCGCAACUUGGACAUCUUCUCUAUCAGAACUGCAAAGCUCAACAUAUGACCCAUAGCCAUUCCUUCGCGGCUCGCCUCUUUAUGUCCAAUCAGAGGACUGAAAUGUGGUUUUUGUGGCAGGACUUGGAAAACUUCUAGAGAUUCAAUGUUUUUCCAUAUAAGUGAGCUCUUAAGAAAUGGCAUCUCUAGAUCCUCCACAAGCUCAGUGGCUUCCGGAACAUUUAUCACUGAAGAUUGCUUGAAAUUUUCUACUUUUCUUUCUCUUUUACCUGGACAAUGAGCAUAUUCAAUCGGAAUAGUCGACAAAAUAGAUAAUGCAACCAAUCUUAUACUUCACUCAAGACAAACUCAGAGUGUACCUGGAAAGCAUGUUGAUAGAGCUUGAGUGUUACAGGAUUCCAUCACAGCAGCCAUGCUAACUUCUUUUGCCAUGUGAUUUUCCAAGGAAACUAUGGCUGACGAUCCGGUCAAGACAUCUUGGAAUUAUACAAAUCGAAUAAAGGGUUCAUAUAAAGACAAUAUUGAUCAAAUGAUAGAAUAAAACUUAAGUGCCAUUUGUUAUUCCAUUUCCAUUAGAGAACUUGUUUCAAGUGUAUGUUCAUCCUUCACCUUCCAUCUUAUAAUAAAAGCCAAUCAUUAGGGAUCAGAUUUUCUUUGAACAAGGACUUCCACAUUAAUUUUUUUUUGAAUGUGGUUUCAGAUUCUAUCAUCAGCAGACACUAAUUAAUAGAAACCAUAUCAGAAACUUCUACACUACAGAGACAAAUAUUGCAUUUGGAGAAAAGGCAACCAGAACAGAAUAGGUUGAAUUGGCACUAAAGUAUUUUUCCCUGUUUUGCAACUUCUGAAUUGUUAAAAGAGGUCAAUCAGUAAAACAAUAUGUCCAUGCACUUCUAAGUUGGUAUGAUCAGCAUGUAUCUUAUACAAUACAUGUUCACCAAACAAAUAAUCCUGGGCAUUCCUCACAGCACAGGCUGAGAUCAAACCAAAAUCAAGAUUCAUAAAUUGACAUUAACUUUCUAUCUUCUAUUUACCUCACUAUUUUUUUUAGGUUCUUUUUCUGUUAUUCACCUAUUUUUAAGGCUCCUAAAAGCAGAGGACUUUCAAGUUUCCAUAUGUACUAAAUGCUCCAUGCUGAUUACUGUAGACAAUUCAGCCUCUUCAGUUGCACAAUCUUGAAAGUCAAUUUCACUAUUACCAUUUCCAGCUAUAUUGCUCUGUUCACCUACAUGGAAGAAAUUAAUUAGAUUUUCUGUCUGUAUAAAUUAUUCAGCCAUUACUAAGGUAACAUCCUGCACCUUCUUUCUGCUGCCUGAUCACACUACUUUCUUUCUUCUGAUUAAUCACCUGUAUAAAAACUAGCACCAAUUAGGUUCAGUAGAUUAAAAAAAAUAGAUGGACAAGUUGAUUAAAUGCAUUUAUAAUUGAAUUAGCCACAUUUUAUUCUCAAAAUUAUACAGCGUUAUAGGCAAAAAGCAACAAGUAGCACAUUGUUCUCCCUUUUAAACGCCCCAGUUAUUGUGCCUAAAGCUGUUUUCCCCUAAUUAAUGUCAGUUUUCUUAUUUAAUUGGAAUACUCUUAUUACUUUUUCCUUUCCGUGCUGUUUUAUGUUUCUAGAUCAUGAAAGUGCGUCACCACAGAUAUUCGGACUUGCUUCAAUUAUACCUCAUCAGAAUGUUGGUAAGCGUUUUCUGCAUGGAGGCCCCUCCUCCCCUCAACUAAGGAAAAGGAGGAGUGAGCAUCUUUUUCCAUGUGCUCAAUUUCAACUAGGAUUUCAGCCAAGUCUCCUUUUGUCUUUUCCUCUCUGCCUGCAAAUCAUUUACAUUUGCUCUUAUUGAAAUAAGAUCCUAUUAUACAGGGAUAAAGAAAGGAGGCCUCUACCUACUGCUGGAACCCACUGGCUUGUAACUUUAGAACUCAUCUGUCUUUCCCUUUUCUCCAUGUAGCCUGUCACUUUAUUCUCCAGUAAAGCAUCUUGUGGACUAGGAUCCUGCAUUAGUAAGAAAAGCAUAGAACAUGGACUCAAGGAAAAGAGCAGUCAAUGGAAAAAAUUUACAAGAGUCUUAAAAAAGAAAUCACACAUUGAUCAGAGCAUAAGACUCGUUCACUUAAAGAAAGCGGGCUUACAACAUUAUUUCGGAGAUCGGUUGAGCAAUUGGUUUGCAUUUCUUGGUUUAUAGUCUUGAUUGGCGUCAACUCUGCAUGACAUGCUUGGGAAGACAAGGGUUUGACAGAGUUUGCUUUUUUCAACUUUUUGGAAGGGAAUGAAAGUGCAUCCUCACCUUUAGGUGGUGUCUUCCUUACUUUCUUACUUGGUGAUUGUGCAUUACAAGCCAUUGACUGCUUUAAUGGAUUCUUCCGUGACUUUUUGCAAAACAAUUUCUCUUCUCUGUAAUCCUUUGCUGUGCUUAAUUUUCUGCAAGAAGAUUUCUCUUCAAUCUCAUUCAUCGCUCUGAUUGAACUCUCAACACUUAUAGCUACCUCAUGGUCUUCUGCAUUGCUGUCAGCAUUUGUUAAUCUCUUCUCUUCAUAUUGUACAGCAAUACAUAUAUCCUGAAACAAAACCCAGUAAAUAAGCUACCACAGAGCAAUUUAGCUAUCUAAAGAUAAUUCCAGUUAAGAAACUUAAAUAAAAAAAUAAGUCUAGCAAAGACAAAAAGCUUACAGACCAUUCUGUUGUCAAAAAACCAGCAAUAACUACUCAAUUUGUUUACACCUCCAUUCACCCCAAGAAGUGUUGGGGUGAAUAGGGAGAAUUGAUAUCCUAGAUAUCCAAGUAACACUGAUUCUAGUUUAAAAUCUUCACAACAUACAAGUGGUUUUUAAAACCACAUAUCCUUGGCCCCCUUUGUUGACACAAAUUCACACAUUUGUUAACAGUUCAAAGCAAAAGAAAACAAUUUCCUAGUCAUUUAGUUAGGUCAAUUUGUCUCCAAGGAUCUAAUUAUUGUGUCCCACAACCAAUAAUGAAGAAAAAGAAACAUAUAUUUACCCCUCCUUAGACACAAUUCAAUGCCAAUGAUGGAUCAAAACAUAUGUCAUAGUAAUGUGAACAGACUUGCAGGCAUGCAAUUUUCCUACUAAGUCUCUCCAAAAGAGAGUGAGAAUAAUAGAGUAAAGAACAUUCAACAUCGAGUUGCAGCUUUAUGUAAAAGAACAUAGAAGGAAGAUGGAAUACCCUGGCAAGAUUAACCCAUACACCAUCCAUCACAGAGAGAUGUGGCCUUAUUUCAGAUUGACUCAGCUGCAUCUCCUUUUCUGCAUGCUUUAGAGCGACACUGUACCUUCCUUCUGUAAGAAUUUUGAUAAUGAGGGCUUCCCUCCAACUUGACUCAUGGAAAACAUCAACUGCUUCCAAGAUCUCAAAUUCUGUAAUAUCCAACUUAGGAGGGGGAGGGCGGAUGUGGAAGCAAUCAACAGUUUCUUUAAUAUGACCAUUUGAGCUGCCACAAUCUAGCAAGAAAGAAUUGAAGCCGACUUCCUCAAGAACAGUUGCUGGAAACCAAGCAUCUUCUAAGUUUUCUUUGUCAAGAUUCACCUCUACGGCCAUCCCUUUACUAAACCUUAAUCCUUCCAUUCUCUUUGAAGAGUCAGUAAACCAUAUCAGUCUUGUGUAUCAAAAUCAUAAGUAACAGUAUCAAGAAAUUGAAAGUAAAAUAGGAAAAAACACAUGGUAUAAAAAUAUGGAUAAUGCUUCAAAACAACAAAUAUCACCGUUCAUUGUUGAAGGAACUUUUAUAGAAAUGGAAAAAAGUUACUUGUACACCUGCUUCUUCAAACUUGGGCCAAAAAAACUGCAAAUAUCAUGUUUAACUUUGUCUGGAACAUGAUUCAACCAUAUAAAAGAUUUAUUGUGAACAAUGUUUAACAGGAAACCAAAUGUCAUGGCUAUGGGCCUAAGGCAAAGAUAAAACACGAUACUGUAACCUUCAAGAAUGGUUAUUACGGUAAGGGGAGAAAAUCUGAACGAUCCUGGAUUCCUAAUCAACAUAAUUUGGCUGAAUACAAGGCAUGCAAGCCUUUUGUCCGGCUCACAUGGAAACGCCUAAAACGUACAUUGAUUUGCUUCAAAAGAUACUACUGUUAGCUAGUAAUUUGAGCAUAAGGCUAAAGUAACUGAAUGAAAAUGACAAAAAGAGUAAGGGCGUGAGCCACAAAUGGGAAAAGAUAACAAGGAAAUUUGAACCAGAAACCAGAAAAUUCCAACAGCACUUUAAGAAAAAACAUGCAGAUGAAAUAAAAAAUGCACCUUUUGUUUUUGGGGUCGAGACCAUGCCCCAUUACUCCAAUCCCAAUAAAACCUCAAAUCUUUAGAGAGAAACUGAAAUUGUUCGGGUGGGUUUUCAAAAACAACAGUGUACUUCUUUGAGUUGGUCUUAUCAUCCUCAAAAACAUCAACUUUAGUGACGAUACCCUUCCACCAGCCAUCACGGUGAAAGGCGUCAACGACAUCAAGUGGUUCAAAGGCAGGUAUAGUACUAGGAACCGGAGGCAAAGGCCUAAUGAAGGAAAAAUCAACGUACUCCGUCAAUGGCUUCUUCUCAUCUGUAUCUGACAGUAGAUUACGAUACUGAACCAAGGCCUCGGCUUUUCUUUUAGAGUAACAGCUUCUUGAAGAAGAGAGUGAUUUGAGGAUCGUGGCCUCGUACCAUGCGCCUCUAAACCCUUCUUCAUCGCUGCUCACCUCCACCAGGUCUCCUAUGCUAAAAUUCCGUCCGCUAUUUUGCCUGCUGGGGCGCCCCCCUCCCAUGCCAGCCUAAAGCAAUCAGUGUGAGGAAAAGUCAAGGCGAAAAGCAAGACAUCAGUCAAAUGCUUUUCUAUUCUAUUUCUAUUUCUGUUGCCUUUGCAUUUGGGUAAUUUGUUUAUAUCUCAGGCCCUGAUUCUGGACUCCACUAAAAAAAGCGUUAAGCCCAAUUGAUGGAUGGAUACACUAGCGGAGUGCUAGUCCGAUGAAAUUGAAAUAGAGAGUAAAUUGGUUUAAUCCAACCAACUCAAAAAAUUUGGUGAAAAAGAAAAUACAUAUUGAGUUUAAAUUGUUUUGGUGCUGGAAAUGACUUGAAAAUGUUUAUAAUUGAGUAAGACUCAAUUUUAGACUUAAAACAUAUAAUAAAACCCUAUUUAAUCUAUUGUAAAGUUAAAAAUUAAAAAUCAUACAAAGGACAUAACUUCUAUGAAAUUACAUCAUUUUAGUAUUAUAACUCUAGAACUUUAGACAAUGAUUUCUUCCCUCUCAAAUCCUUAAAAUUAUUUCUUAAUUUUAACUUUUCUCACAAAAAAUAUUAAAUCUUUAAUCUUUAUUUAUUAAUUCUAUAUAUUCAUCGAGUGUAAUUAUAUUUUUUACUUUUCUUCUUAAACUUUAUUAUUUUUAUACAAAUAAAAUUUUAUUUAUGAAUUAUACUUUUUGGAAAAAGAAUUCAGAUUUCUUAGAUUCGAUUUUAAAUUACUACAACUAGAUAAUAACCUCUAGACCGUUCAACCGACCUAUUGAGACUCCUAAUACAAGCAAAAGUCUUCCCUCCUCUUUUCCCUGAAUUUGAUCAGAAAAUUGUCACGUCCGGUCGCAUUCAGUCUUUGGAUUCUCAUCUCUAAUCAAGAACCGUAGUUGAAAGAUAAAUAAGUUGAACCAGCACAUGUAUUUCUUUAACUACCCAAAAAGGAAGCAACAUAAUGAUCUAAGUGCUAAUUAAUGCCAAAGUUUCUUUUGUAGGUGGUUAGUUGCCGCUUGCCUGCUAGUUGUUUCAGCCUUUCAGGUUUUCUAUGUAAAAUUAAAACGUAUCCAAGUUAGGUUUAAUACAUAUCUUAUAGUGUUAUUUUAAUGUUACUAUUAACUUCUCGGAAAUAAAAAUGUGAAUUUUAAGAGAGAAUCUUCAAAUUAACUUAAAAGGAAAAAGAACCACCAAUAAGAUUUGGCCUUUAAUUUGAGGUUAAAAGGUGAGCCAAUUGUAUACUACAGAAUUAGGCAAAACCAAGUUUGAAGAGCAAAGUCUUUUUGUAGUUUGGAAGUGAAGAUUCGUUGAAAGUGGUUAAGAGUCAUCCAUAUAUUUUUAUAUGUAUAUGUAAGCGUAUCUCACUUUUGGCUACACCUUGAAAAGUUGUAGCUUUUACAUGGUAUUGGUGUGUGAAUGUGCAUGGAAGCGGUAAUCAUAGGCACCGAUCUAAUGCUUCAACGAAUGUGAAGAAAGAAAAUUAGUUGAUCGUGUAUUGAUAUCAUUCUCCGACUAAUUGCGAAGGAAUCUUUUAGAUGAAAGAAGGAACGCUGAAAAUCGAGGCAUGCCCAAAUAUUUUGACUCAGGCUUUGCACCAUUAGGAUCUCCAUCCUUCCUUGUUGCUCUGGGCACGAGGACUCCUGAUGACGCAAGGUUGGUCAUAAGAACAUGGGAACGCAAUUAACAAGCUUGACUAGUGGCUUUGGGCUUAGUUUGAAGAUCAAGCAGGAGAGACGUAACUCCACACGUGUAUGGAGAAAUAAGGUUAUUUUUUAUUAAUUCAAGCAUAAUACAAGCCGAAAUUCGAGUACUUUGAUGUUUGAUAUACAUAUAAUGAAGUAGUUUGGGUAGGAGUGUUUUUAGGUAGGCUUACCUGAAUUUACCCUUAUUUUUAUUAAGUUGGCACAUAAAAUUUAGGGCUACGAGAGUUAUUGCCUAGUCAACUCCUUUCUAGUUCUUAAUUUGACUUUAGUUUAUUAAUAUCUAUUUAUUUAUAUAUUCAUAUUUAGCUUCUAGUCUCUUAUUAUAGAAUGAGGGCUUUCGCACUAUAAAAACCGCACGCAACUGAAUACUUGAAGCUAAUGAGGAUAAUAUUUCAGUUUUCUAUUUUGUAAGAAAUCAAGUUAUGUGUUCUUUUAAGAAACUUGUGGACUUAUCAACAUCCGGACUAGCGAGCAUAAACUUAUCCCUCAUGUCCUUCCUUUCCCUUGUGUUCUUUGUCUACGCUUGUAUUUAAAUUAAUUCGAUUUGAUCCUUACACUUAGCCUUAUGGAAGAGAAUAAAGAACUUGUGAUUUCUUUCCUUAUUAGAUGAGAAAUCCUACCUAUAUUUUGUUUGUCUCUUUUGUGUCUCUCUUUCUAAUCUCUAUGUAGUAUGUUAGUUUGGUUUUAUAUAGGGAGCACAAACACGACUGUUGGGUGAAAGCGCAUGGACGCGGCAAUCAUAGACACCGACCUAAUGCUUAGAGGAAUCUGGAGAAAUAAAUUAGUUAAUCGAAGGUUGAAAUCAUUCUCCAAAUGAUCAUAGAUGAAUCUUUUGGAGGAAAGAGGGAAAGAUAAAAAUCGAGUCAUGAACAAAUAUUCUGAUUUAGGAUUUACACCAUUAGGAUCUCCAUCAUUCCUUAUUCCUCUAGGCAUGACGACACAUGAUGACACAGGGAUUGGCAUAAGGAAUCAUGAAAAUGCAAUUGAUAAGCUUUCUUAGUGGCAUUGGGACUUAGCUUUAAGAUAAAGCAGGACAAGAUAUAAAUCCACUUGCAUAAGGGAGAAAUCAUAAUCUUAUCAAUGAACCCAAGCAUAAUAUAAUCAGGAUUGCGGGCCUUUUUUAUCUUUGGUAUACAUAUAAUUAAGUAAUUUGGUUUGGAGUAUCCUUAUAUAGGCCCACAUGAAUUUCCCCUUCUUUCUAUUAAAUUGGUUCAUAAAAUUUGGGAUCUCCAUCAUUCCUUGCUCCUCACACGAGGACUCCUGAUGACACAAGGAUUACUAUAAGGAUUGGUUAACCACUCUCGUAGUCCCAAAUUUUAUGAGUCAGCUUAAUAAAAAUAAGGAGAAAUUCUUGUUGACCUACCUAAUAACACUUUGACCCAGACUACUUGAUUAUAUGUGUCCCAAACAUCAAAAUGCUUACAUUUCCACUUGUAUUACGCUUAGAUUUAUUAAAAACAACAUGAUAUCUCCCUUACGCACUUGGAUUUACAUCUUGUCCUACUUGAUCAUCAAACCAAUCCCCACGGCACUAGUUAGGCUUUUUAAUUGCAGUCGCAUGAUUCCUUUUGCCAAUCCUUGUGUCAUGAGGAGUUCUCAUGCAUAGAGGAACAAGGAAUGAUGUAGAUCCUAUUGGUGUAAACCAUGAAUCAGAAUAUUUGGGCGUGUCUCAAUUCUCAAUGUUCCCUCUUUCCCCCCAAAAGAUUCAUUUGCAAUCAUUUGAAGAAUGAUAUCAAUACUCGAUCAACUAAUUUUCUUUCAUUGCAUUUGUCCAAACAAUAGAUUAGUGCCUAUGAUUUUUGCUUCCACGUGAUUUAACUCACCACUCCUAUUUAUGCUCGCCAAAUAAAACCAAACCAUUAUAUAACACAUCGAUUAGAAAGAAACGAACAAAAGAAAAAAACAAAUGAGAACAUAGGUAGGAUUUCAGAUCCGAUAAGGAAAAAAAACACAAUUUCUUUAUUCUCUUCUAUGGCUAAGCGUAAGUAUCAAAUUGAAUUGAUCUAAACACAAGGGUAAACAAAGAACAUAAGAAAAAGGAUGGACGUGAGGAAUAAGUCUAGGUUCGCUGGUGUGGAUCUUCAUAAGUAUGCAAGUUCUUGAAAGUACCCAUACCUUAAUUCUUUAUAAGGUAGCAAAUUGAAAUAAUAUGCUCACUAGCCUCAAAUAUUCGAUUCCAUGCAAUUUGUAUAGUGUGAACUCCCUCAUUCCAUAAGAAGAAGAAACUAGAAACUAAAUAUGAGUAAAUAAAUAAAGAAAGAGGAAUAAACUAAAGUCAAAUCAAGAACUAGAGAGGAGUUGACUGGUUAUCAACUCUCAUAGUCCUAAAUUUUAUGAGCCAGCUUAACGAAAACAAGGAAAAAUUCGCAUGAGGGUACCUAAUAACACUCCAACCAAAAAUACUUCAUUAUAUCCAUCCCAAACAUUAAAGCGCUUGAAUUCCUGCUCAUAUUACACUUGGAUUAAUCGAAAACAACAUAAUGUCUCCCUUACGCGUAUGGAUUUAUAUCUCAUCCUACUUGACCAUCAAGCAAAGACUCAAUGCCACCGAUCAACCUUGUCAAUUGCACUCCCAUGAUUCCUUACGCCAAUCCUUGUGUCAUCAGGAGUCCUCAUCCUCAGUGGAGCAAGUAAUAAAGGAGACCCCAAUGGUGUAAAUCAUGAAUAAAAAUAUCUAGGCGUGCUUCGAUUCUCAUCCUUUCUCUUGUGUUCUUUGUCUAUCCUUGUGUUUACAUCAAUUUGAUUUGAGCCUUACACUUAGCCGUAUGGAAGAGGACAAAGAACUUGUGAUUUCUUUCCUUAUCGGAUAUGAAAUCCUACAUAUAUUCUCAUUUUGUUUGUUUCUUUUAUGUCUCUCGUUCUAAUCUCUGUCCACUAUGAUGGUUUAGUUUUAUUUGGGGAGCAUAAACAUGACUGUUGAGUGAAAGCGCAUGAAAAUGGUAAUCUUAGGCACCGAUUUAAUGCUUCGAUGAAUGCGAAGGAAGAAAAUUAGUUGAUCGAGUAUUGAUAUCAUUAGCUGAUGAUCAAGCAGGACGAGACGUAAAUCCACGCUCGUAAGGGAGAAAUCAUUUCUUUUUUUAUUAAUCCAAGCACGAAUGAGCGUGUUUUGAUGUUUUGGAGACAUAUAAUAAUGUAUAUUGGGUCGAAAUGUUAUUAUGUACGUCCAUACAAUUUCCUCUUAUUUUCAUUAAGGAAUCAUAGGAAAGCAAUUGAUAAUCUUGACUGGCGGCAUUGGAGCAUGACUUGAUGAUUAAGUAGCAUGAGACACAAAUCGACAAGUGUAAAGGAGAAAUUAUAUUGCUUUAGAUUAAUACAAGUCGGAAUGCAGACAUUUUAAUAUUUGGGAUGCAUAUAAUGAAUAAUUUGGUUCGGAGUAUGAUUAGGUAUACUCACAGGAAUUCUCCUUUAUUUUCGUUAAGCUGGCUCAUAAAAUUUAGAAAUAUCAUAGUUGUUGUCCACUCAACUCCUCUCUAGUUCUUGAUUUGACCUUAGUUUAUUCAUCUUUCUCUAUUUAUUUAUUCAUAUUUAGCUUCUUAUUUCUUCUUCUUAUGGAAUGAGGGCUUUCACACUAUGUAAACUGCAUGCAAUUGAAUAUUUGAGUCUAGUGUGCAUAUUAUUUCAGUUUUCUACCUUGCGGAGAAUUAAGUUGUAAGUUCUUUCAUGAACUUUGUGGAUUUAUAAAGACCUGCACUAGCGAACCUAGACUUAUCGCUCAUGUCCUUCCUUCCAUUUAUGUUCUUUUGUUCGUUUCUUUCUAAUCUAUAUCUUGUAUAAUUAUUUGAUUUUAUUUGGCGAGCAUAAACAAGAGUGUUGAGUUAAAGCGCGUGGAAGCGACAAUCAUAGGGACUGAUCCAAUGCUUGGACAAAUGCGUAGAAAGAAAAUUAGUUGAUCGAGUAUUGACAUCAUUCUUUGAAUGAUCGCAGAUGAAUCUUUUGAAGGAGAGAGGGAACGAUGUAAAUUGAGGCACACCCAAAUAUUUAUGAUUCAAGAUUUUCACCAUUAGGAUCUCUGUCAUUCCAUAUUUCUCUAAGCAUGAGGACUCCCUGAUGACACAAGGAUUGGCAUAAUGGAACAUUGGAAUGCAAUUAACAAGCUUGACUAGUGACAUUGGGACUUAGCUUGAUGACCAAGCAAGAUGAGAUGUAAAUCCAUUCGCGUAAGGGAGAAAUCAUGUUGUUUUCGAUUAAUCCAAGCGUAAUAUAAGCAGCAAUUUUACCAUUUUGAUGUUUAUGAUGCAUAUAAUGAAUUAAUAUUGGUCGGAGUGUUGUUAUGUUGGCCAUUGUAAAUUUUCAAUUAUUUUUAUUAAGCUGCCUCACAGAAUUUGGGCACGAGAGUUGUUGACCAGUCCACUACUAUCUGCUUCUUAAUUUAACUUUGGUUUAUUCAUCUUUUUUUAUUAUGUAUUCAUAUUUAGCUUCAAGUUUCUUCUUCUAAUAGAAUAAGGGCUUUCACACUAUACAAACUGCAUGCAACCGAAUACUUGAGGCUACUGAGCAUAUUGUUCUAGUUUUCUACAGUGUAGGAAAUCAAGUUGUGGGUUCUUUCAAGAACUUUUUUGGACUUAUCAAGACUCGUGCUAGCAAACUUUGACUUAUUACUUUUGUCCUUCCCUUCUUUUAUGUUCUCUAUCUACCCUUGUGUUUAAAUCUAUUAGAUUUUAUCCUUACACUUAGUCAUAUGGAAGAGAACAAAAAAAUUGUGAUCUUUUCCUUAUCGGAUCCAAAAUUCUACUUAUGUUCUUAUUUUUUUCAUCUCCUUGGUGCCUCUCUUUCUAAUUUUUGUUUAGUUUGAGGGUUUGGUUUUACUUGGGGAGUAUAAACAUUAGUGUUGAGAGAAAACUCAUUGAAGCGGCAAUCAUAGGCACUGAUCCAAUGCUUGGACAAAUGCAAAUAAAGAAAAUUAGUUGAUCGAGUAUUGAUAUCAUUCUCAGAAUGAUCCGGACAAAUCUUUUGGAGGAGAGAGGGAAUAGCGAGAAUCGAGCCAUGCUCAAAUAUUCCAAUUAAGAAUUUGCACCAUUAGGAUCUUCGUCAUUCCUUGUUUUUAUAGGCACGAGGACUCCUUAUGACACAAGGAUUUGAAAUAAAUUCAAUUUGAUCCUUAUGCUUAGCCAUUUGGAAGAGUAUAAAGAAGUUUUGAUUUCUUUCAUUAUCAGACUCAAAAUCCCACCUAUGUAAUUAUUUUAUUCUUUUCUUUUUGCCCCUCUUACUGAUCUCUGUCUAGUAUAAUGGUGUGGUUUCAUAUGAGGAGUAUAAACACAAGUGUAGAGUGAAAGUGCGUGGAAGCAGCAAUCAUAGGCACUGAUUUAAUACUUGGACAAAUGCGAAGAAAGAAAAUUAGUUGAUUGAGUACAGGCACCAUUAGGGUCUCCAUCAUUCAUUAUUCCUCUAGGCACGAGGACUCCCGAUGACAUAAGAAUUGGCUUAAGGAAUCAUGGGAAUGCAAUUCACAAGCUUGACUAGUGGUAUUGGAGUGUGACUUGAUGAUUAAGUAGGAUGAGUUACAAAUCCAAGCGCGAGUUUUGAUGUUUGGGAUGCAUAUAAUGAUGUAAUUUCUGCCAAAUUGUUAAUAGGUAGGCCCAUGCAAAUUUUCCCUUAUUUUGUUAGGCUGGCUCAUAAAAUUUGGAACUACAAAUGUUGUUGACUAGUUAACUCCUCUCCGGUUCUUGAUUUGACUUUAGUUUAUUCAUCUUUAUUUAUUUAUUUAUUUAUAUUUAGCUUGUAGUUUCUUCUUUUUAUUGAAUGAGGGUUCUCGCACCAUGAAAAUGCAUGCAACUAAAUAUUUGAGGCUAUUUUGAGCAUAUUAUUUCAGUCUUCUAUAUUUCAGAACAUCAAGUUAUGGGUUCUUUCAAGAACUUUACAGACUUGUGAAGACUCGUGGCGAACCUAGACUUAUCUCCCAUGUCCUUUCUUUUGUGUUCUUUAUCUACCAUUGUCUUUAAAUCAUUUCGAUUUGAUCCUUACAUUUGCCAUAUGGAAGAGAAUAAAGAACUGGUGAUUUCUUUCCUUAUCAAAUCUGAAAUCCUAGUUAUAUUCUUAUUUUGUUCAUUUAUUUAUUAUCUCUUUUGAGUCAUAAAUCCACGUGUAUAAUGGAGUAGUCAUGUUGUUUUCGAUCAAUCCAAGCAUAAUACAAGUGGAAAUGCAAGUGUUUUGAUAUUUAGGACGCAUAUAAUGAAGUAAUUUGGGUCGAAGUGCUAUUAGUUAGGCCAAAAAAAAUUUCUCUUAUUUUUGUUAAGCUGGCUCUUAAAAUUUAGGACUGCGACAGUGUUUGACCAGUCAACUCAUGUCUGGUCCUUGAUAUGACUUUAGUUUAUUCAUCUUUCUUUAUUUAUAUAAUCAUAUUUAGCUUCUAGUUUUUUCUUCUUAUGUAAUAAGGGCUUUCACGCUAUAAAAACAACAUGCAGCCAAAUACUUGAGGCUAGUGAGUAUAUUAUUUUAUUUUUAUACCUUGUGGAAAAUCAAGUUAUUGAUUCUUUCAAGAACUUCGCGGACUUAUCAAGACUCAUACUUGUGAACAGAGACUUAUUCCUCAAGUCCUUCCUUUCUUUUAUAUCCUUUGUCUACCUUUGUGUUUACAAAAGUUCUAUUUGAUCCUUACGCUUAGCCGCAUGGAAGAGAAUAAAAAACUUAUGAUUUCUUUGUUGAAAAAACACACGCAGUGGUGCAGCAGAAGCUCUUAAAAAUUUCAUAUCUUAUAGAAAUUAAGAUUACAAGCUGCAAUUGAGGAUUUAAGUUGAAAAAGUAAAUAACUUUUCUUUUAUGAACAUGAAGAACACAACUUUUUUGAUUGUUGAUGAUUUUUAUGUUAGAGAAUUAAAUAGAGAUUCACAAUUGCGAACCCUCUAGAUUAUCUCACAUAAUCAAUUUUAAGGAAAGCUAUUCAAUCAUUAAAGAUGAAGAACUCUUCUUCUUUCAAGUUUUCUACUAUGAUAACCUUAUUAUAAUCAUAAGUAUGUCGAAUUAUAUCACUAUAUAUGAUAAUAGGAGUAAGAAAGUCUCUUAUAUAGUGUAGAAACACAUGUCACUAUAAAACUCUUUUGUGAUGACAUGUGUCAACAAGUAUUAACACAUGCCAUCAUAAAACUCUUUAGUGAUGACACGUGUAUAGCUAUAUUGACACAUGUUAUCAUAAAACUCUUUUAUGAUGACAAAUGUCAAGCUAUAUUAACACAUGUCAUUAUAAAACUCUUUUGUAAUAACACAUGUCAAGUUGCUUUCUUGACAUAUGUCAUUAUAAAACCCUCUUAGUGAUGAUACUCGUCUAGUUGCUUUCUCUACAUAUGUCACCAUAAGUGCUUUUAUGAUGACACAUCUCAAGCUACUUUCUUAAUACGUGUCAUCAUAAACGCUUCUAUGAUGACACGUGUCAAGCUACUGUACAAGUACAUGUCACUAUAAACUCUUUUUGAUGACAUGUGUCGAGCUCCUUCAAUAUAUAAUACUUAUAUAUUAUACAUUAUUUAGACAUUUACGGACUUUAACUUUGGAAGAUACUAGUGUCCCUACUUGAGGUACAAGUUAAGUCCAUCGCUGUGCUUGAGUUGAUCUUAACGUAUGUGACUUUCUAGGUUCAUUAUUAAUUAGUAAUGGGAGUUUAAUAUUAAACUCCUUAAUUUUAAUUAGAACACUUUAACCAACUAAUGGAACAAUCAAUUGUCCCUUAAUCAUUCCCAUAAAUUAUAAGUGGCCUCUAGCAACAUAAAGGAAGGACGUGAGGGAUAAGUCUAGGUUCGCUAGUACGUGUCUUCAAAAGUUCUCAAAGUUCUUGAAAUAACCCAUAAAUUGAUUUUCCGCAAGGUAGAGAACUAAAAUAAUCUACCCACUAGCCUCAAGUAUUCGAUUGUAUGUAGUUUUUAAAGUGCGAAAGCCCUCUUUCCAUAAGAAGAAGGAACUAGAGGCUAAAUAUGAAUAAAUAAAUAAAGAAAGAUGAAUAAAUUAAAGUCAAAUUAAGAAUGGGAGAAGGAUUGAUUGGUCAACAACUCUCGUGGUUCCAAAUUUUAUGAGCCAGCUUAAUAAAAAUAAGGUAAAAUUCGCGUGGACCUACCUAAUAACACUUCGACUCAAAUUACUUUAAAUGAAUUCGAUUUGAUCCUUAUACUUAGUUGUAUAAAAGAGAACAAAGAACUGGUGAUUCUUUCAUUAUUGGAUCCAAAAUCUUACCUAUGUUAUCAUUUUGCUCGUUUAUUUUGUGCCUCUCUUUCUAAUCUCUAUCUACUAUGAUGGUUUGGUUUAAUCUAAGGAGCAUAAACACAAGUGUUAAGUGAAAGUGGCAAUCAUAGGCACCAAUCCAAUGCUCAGACAAAUGCAAAGAAAUAAAAUUAGUUGAUGGAUUAUUUAGGCUUGGAACUUGAUCUCCUCGACUUAGUUGGCAACUUGGCUCCUUAGGCUUGGGUUUGCAUCAGUUCCUCUAGGCACGAUGACUUUUAAUGGCACAAGCAUUAGAGUAAGGAAUCAUAGAAACUCAACUGAUAAGCUUGACCGAUGGCAUUGAGGCUUAACUUGAUGAUGAAGCAAGAUAAGAAAUAAAUCCACACGCGUAAGGGAGAAGUCAUGUUGCUUUUUAUUAAUCCAAGCGUAACAACAAGCAGCAAUGGGAGCAUUUUAAUGUUUAGAAGGCAUACAAUGAAGUAAUUUAUAUCGGAGUAUUAUUAGGUAGGCACACGCGAAAAUGAAAGAGUGAAAUGGAGUAUAAUGAACAUCAAUGAGGCUAUGGAGAAGAUGCACUUAUAUAUGACAGCCAACUAAAAGCCAUAUUAGAGCAAAUCAAUGCUAAUGCUAGUGCAGGAAACAAUAGGUAGAACUUGGUAGGCAAUGAGGAAGAUUUAGUCUUGGUCUAUGAUAAGGAUGAUAAUGCCACAACUGUGGAUGUUGGCCGUGGCAUGGGUUAAGGAGCUAAAGGAGGCUGAAACAAUGCAAUAGGUAGAGGGAAUAGUGGAGGUGAGUUUGGUGGUUACUAUUGGUAUAAUGAUGAUGUGGAUAGAAACUUGGAUAGCAUCAAACUUAGGAUUCCUACUUUUUAGGAAAAUCAUAUCCGGAGGCAUAUUUGGAGUAUGAAAACCAAGUAGACCUUAUCUUUGAUUGUCCUAAUUUUUAUGAGGAAAAGAAGGUAAAGUUAGUGGUUACUCAAUUUUCUGAGUAUGCAAUAGUGUGGUGUGAUCAAUUGGUGGCGAGUAGGAGAAGAAACAUGGAAGCGCCUAUUGAUACUUGGCAUGCUCUCAAAAUCAUCAUGAAAAGAUAUUUUGUACCUAGACAUUACCAUAGGAAAUUACAUCAAAGACUCCAAGCUUUGAAGAAAGGUACUAGGAAGGUAGAGGAUUAUUAUAAAGAAAUGGAGAUGCUCAUGACAAGGACUGAUUUUGAUGAAGAUAGGGAAGCUACCAUAGGAAAUGGCAUGUUUUAUUAUUGGGCUUAAUAAGGAGAUUGUGAAUAGGGUCGAAUUACAACAUUAUGUAGAACUUGAGGAGUUAGUUCAUCUUGCAAUUAAGAUUGAAAAGUAAUUAAAACCAAGGGGCGCAACAAGGUUGGAACAAAAAGGCACUUCAAGCAAUAGGCCUAAUUUGUCUAAUCAAUAGAAAGGAAAUAAAAGAGGAGAUGAUAUGGUUGUUUUUUAUGGGAAAAGAAUAAGAAUGUUUUAGGCAACAAGGUGAUAUGGAACCUCCAUGAAACUUGAGGACUCCUUUUGAAUUAUGGACCCCCAACACAUUAACAUGAAAACUCCAAGAACCAAUUCGGUUCAACCCCUAAGAAAGGUUAGAAAACAUAUUACUUAGAAAGAUGAUCAAGAAUUAGAACCUAAGGAAAACUAAGUCCUUUAAACCUCAAUUCCAAGUACACCACAAGGAUAGAUAAACUCCUUGAUAAGUAAGAUUUGCAUUCAAAUAAGAUCACAAAGACAAAGCAAAAGCUUUAAGGUUUACAAACCAAUUAUCAUUCAACUUCAACUUCAACUUAAUUUUUUUGUUAAAUCAAAAUUCAUACUAGCUUUAUAUAAGCCUUAGAAAAUCCUAAAUCAUAACUUAUAAGAAUUUACAUCUCAUAUAGGAUAAAGAUAACCUUCAUAACUAAAAGAGAUAACUUAAACAAAGUCCUAAUUAGGUUAAAAAAACUUGUGUAGCCGCCUAUAAUAAGCCAUAAAACCCUAAUUUACAUAAGUCAUGUAGAUGAGACUCAUAACAUAAGCCAAGUUAGGCCUAGAGUCUUCAUAUGCUCCAAUUUAGCUUCUUUAGUCUUUUUAACCCCAAUUAGAUUCAUUCAAGCCUAAAAAACUGAAUUAGAUUAAUGAGCCUUGAACCAUUGUAAGUGAUAGGGAUGUUAAAUUCUUAAGUCAUUUUUUAGCGUGUGUUAUGGGUAAGUUAGGCACUAAAUUAUUAUUUUAUACUACUUGCCAUUCAUAAACAUGUGGACAAAUCAAAGUUGUUAAUAGAACUUUGGUUCAAUUCCUUUGUUCUUUAAUUUCUAGGAAUUUUAAAUCUUGGCAGGAUCUUUUGCCAUAUGUGGAGUUUUCAUACAAUAGGGUUGUUCAUAGCAUUACACAUUAUUCUCCAUUUGAAAUUGUUUAUGGUUUUAACCCAUUAACUCCUAUUGAUUUAGUUCCUUUGCCUCUUAACAAGCUUGUUAAUGUUGAUGGUUCUUCUAAGGUAGAUUUGGUUAAAAGGAUACAUGAACAAAUUAAAGAGAGGAUUGAGUAGCAAAAUACUAGAGUAAUCGAAAGACUUAACAAAGGAAGAAGGCCAAUGGUGUUCCAACCUAGUGAUUGGAACCAAGGCUUUCACAAGGAAAAGUUCCCAAAUCAAAGAAAGCCAAAGCUAAGUCCAAGGGAUGAUGGACCAUUUCAAGUACUUGAGAGGAUCUACGACAAUGCUUACAAAAUUGAUUUAUAAGGUAAGUAUAAUGUGAGUGGCAGAUUUAAUGUUGCUGAUUUGAGUCCUUCUGAUAUAGGUGAUAAGUUUGAUUCAAGGACGAAUCAUCCGAAAGAAGGAGGGAAUGAUAUAGAUCGGCCAAGGCUUAAACAUGUUGAUUUGGUUGGGCUUGAUGAUAAGGGAAGCAAGAAAGAAUCAAGGAAGGAUCCAUUAAGUUUAUCAUAAGGUCUUAUUAUAAGGUUAAAGGCCAAGAAGCUUCAAAAGCCCUUAAAUAGCUAUAUGCAAGAGUGGGCUAACAAUGGAAGUCCAAUAGAAUAAUGCCCAAAUGAAAUUCAUAAAGAAUGGACUUUGUUUAAUGUUCUUAAAGUCCAAGUUUAUGAAAGAUUUGUUUAGCUCUUAGUAUCCUAUUUGGUUAAAUGUUAAAGUUUCCUAAGUUUGUGAAGAAACUCAUAUUAGAUCAUAUUAGUCAAGUAAGAGUUCUUGAUACGAAUCCUAUAAGCACAAGGAAUCCUACUCCGACUAGAAAUCCUACUCCAACUAGGAAUCCUACUUGAAUUAGGAGUCCUAAUCCCACGAGGAGUCCUACUUGAACUAAGAGUCUUACUUCCACUAGGAAUCUUAGUCUGAUGAGGAGUUCUACUCUAGUUAGAAAUCCUAAUCUAACUAGGAUUAUACACGAACCACUCAAAUAUGAUGGACCAAUUACUAGAGCUGAUAUGAAGAAGUUCAAGGAUGCUUUAGGAAUGUUCCUGAAGCAAGAGUUGAAGCUUAGGUUGGAGAUCUAAAGUCCAAAUGAGAUUGGGCUUAAUUAAGGCAAUUGGCCUCAAGACACUCAUAUAAACUUAAUUCAAUAUAUGGAGGCAUGAACUAGUCAAAAUAGGUCGAAAAUAAAUAAGUCAAGCUAAUACUCAAGAAUUGGUCGCUUAUUACAUGUUACUUAAGCCUAAAUGUCAUGUUUAUUAUAUGGGCUAGGGUUGGACGAAUUUUAGGAGUAUUUUUUCAUUUAAAGAAGUCUUUUAAUAGUUCAAAAUCUUAUUUUAAGUUAUUCUUUUAGUUUAGGUGUGACACCUGUAAAGGAUGUCAAACAUAUAUUGUAUGCAAAGACUGAUAUAUAAUAUAUUUCUUAACUACUAACUUUUAACUUACAAAUUAAUAUGUAUAACAAAAUCUAUUUAUAUGAGUCAUACAUAUCACACACCAAAAAGCUCACAACAUCAAAUAGCACACUUUUUUUUAUAUACACAUAAAAUACUCCAGAUUUAUACAUGAUAAUGAAAUCCACUAGACAUGUCACGUCCAAGAAAGAAAAAUUAAGGUCGACCUCCUGCUGACCUACCUGACACAAUGCUAGUGCAACAGAUGUAAAUGUUCGUCAAAACCAAUUAUAAUUCUUCUAAUCCUGAAAAAGAAAUAAUGCAGAGGAGUGAGCCUACAACUCAGCAAAAGAAUAACAUAAUUUCCUAUGAAAAAAAACACAAUCAAACGUGUAGUAUUAUCAAACAUCAAACCAUUCGAUAUUUAAUUAUGACUUUAUAGUGUGUACAUAAACCUUGUCAUAGUAUUUUCUUUAGGACAACAAUGAACUUGUGAAUUACAUUUAAUUCCAUAAUAAUACAUAUAUAUUUUUAUUUUCAUGGAUCCCCAUACGCACACAGCCAACCAUAAUCUUAUGGGGAAUUCCAUAUCGUACACAGCCUUGCCUCAUUCACAAGUAGCAUUGCGUCUUUACAAUCAUCCAACCAUAAUUCUUAUAUAUAUAUAUAUAUAUAUACACACUACUUAAAUAACUAACAUCUCCAUAAUAUAUAACAAACUAUAAUAAUACCUAUGAUAUACCAAAAAAUACCAUAUUCCAACAUGGCAGAUUUAAUAGUGUGCAUUCAAAAAUACACCAAAAAUUUCACAUUAGGAAUUCCAAAACCAUAUUCUCCAGAUCAGUAAUAAUAUAAGUCUAGAUUAAUUUGAAACUGAUUUUAUAUCAAAUGGAUGUGUAUAGAAAGAGAAACAUUAAAAAAAUUCUACCAUGAUCAAGCUGUCAAUAAAAUUAAGCAACAGAAAGUAUGAUCCAGAUUGGCCAUCAAAACAGCAAAAUCAAGCUUCCUUUAUUUCUAUAACAUUUGUAAAUUACAUUUUAAAUUUUCUAUAGCAAUAAGUAGCACUCCAUUUAGAGUUAUAAAACUCCAAAUAUGGCUAAAUCAAAUAUACUAUUCAACUAUUCACAUUAUAACAGGACACUCGAAUUCACCAUUCAACAUUCAUAUAGAACAUUAAGUUAUUAACUUACCUUUGUUGCUCCCUUUCCUUUGCUUGAGCUUACUUGGGUGUCACCCUCAUUAAAAAUUGGUUUAGCUGAAAUAGAUCAUAAUUCACUUAUUUUUAAACACCCAAAGUUAAUAGAAUUUCAUAUAGCAUGAUAACAUCACUAAACUCUCUACAUAUGUGUGGCUGCCAACUAUGACAGAAUUAAUAGGGUGAAUUUAAAAAUCCACCAAAACUUCUAUACAAUAAAUUUCAUAAUAAAACUUUCCAGAUCACUAACCUUAUAUGUCUAAUAUAAUUUAAAACUAAUUUUAUUUCAAUUGGAGGUGUAUAGAGAAAUAUCUGUACAAAACAAUCCACCUUACUCAGACCAAAGAUGGAAACUGAACAAUAAAAUGUAUUCUCUUAUUAUACUAACAUAGAGCCUGAUUAAGAUCGAGCUAAAAUAAAAAGUUUUAGAUGACUAUUUAAUAUUUCUAUAUCAUUAAAGAACACUUAAUUUAAAGCUUCCUAGCUCAAGAUAUGAUCAAAAUAAUAAGACUGAAAAACUAGGUCUUUAGAACUCGAAUUCUAUGUCUUCUAAACCCUAACUCAAUUCAACAAAAUAUUAAAAUUACUUACCAAAGAAACCUCUAAAGUCUUUGUAGAUAAAGAUUAAGAUAAAAAAAUAGAUUCUAAACCUUCAAAUUCUACUUGAAAAUUCAGUUUUCUUUUUUUGAAGAAGAAGAAGGAGAAAGAAAGAAGAAGAAGAAGAAGGAAGAAGAACUACCACCUUUUCUUUCUUCUUCCCCUUUUCUAUCAUAUUAAUAAUUCUUUUUAGGUUUAAUUAACCCCUUAAUUUUUUGCCAUUAAUCAACUCAAUCCCUUAACUUUCUAACUCUUAUUAUGGACUUAAUUGUAACAUUUAUAAUAUUCUUUUAUUUAACAUUAGCACUAAUACCAUACAUAUCUCAUGCAUUUCUCAUAUCUAUAUGAUAUGCAUGUUAUAAAAAUAAAUGCAAAUGCAUUAGGUGGGCAUUACAUUUUCUUCCCACCUUGAAGAAUUUCAUCCCCGAAAUUAAAGUGACUCACCAUUCUCAGAAAAUAAGUAAGGGUAUUGAACUCUCAUAUCUUUUUCCACUUCCCAUGUAGCUUCUUUUAGUGAAUGUCGACUCCACUUAACCUUUACUAUUGGAAUUUCUUUGUUACGUAACUUCUUUACCUGCCUAUCAAGAAUUCCAACAGGCUCUUUUUUAUAACUUAAAUCUUCAGUUAACUGUAUUUCUGACUCUUGUACUAUAUGGCUAGGAUCAUAUCUAAAUCUUCUUAACAUGGAAACAUGGAAACAUGGAACAUGUCAUGUAUCUGCGAUAAUUCCUGUGGAAGUGCUAACCGAUAAGCUAAGGGACCAACUCUUUCCAAUAUCUCAUAAGGGCCAAUAUACCUCGGACUUAAUUUUCCUUGCUUGCCAAACCGUAUAAUGCCCUUCCAUGGUGACACUCUCAAAAAUACUUUUUCACCCACUUCAAACUCCAUCUCUCUUCUAUGCUUGUCCACAUAACUCUUUUGUCUGUCUUGUGUAGCCUUUAAGCAUUUUUUGACUAUUUGAAUCUUGUCUAUAGUUUCUUGUAUCAAUUCAGGACCUUCUAAUUGUCGUAACCCAUCCAUAUCCCAACAAACAGGACUUCUACAUCUUCUGCCAUAUAGAGCUUCAUAUGGAGCCAUACCGAUACUAGAAUGAUAACUGUUAUUAUAAGCAAAUUCAAUCAAUGGUAAGUGCUUAUCCCAAUUCCCUUUAAAUUCAAGCAUACAAGCUCUUAACAUAUCUUAUAAUGUUUGAAUUGUCCUUUUCGAUUGUCCAUCUGUCUGGGGGUGAAAUGCUGUACUGAAAUGUAAUUUUGUCCCUAAAGCUCUUUACAAACUUCCCCAAAAAUGAGAUGUAAACCGUGGAUCUCUGUCAGACCCAAUUGAUGUUGGCACUCCAUGUAAUCUUACAAUUUUUGACACAUAUAUUCCUGCCAAUUUGUCUAGUGAAUCACUUUGUUGCACAGGUAGAAAAUGAGCUGAUUUCGUAAGUCGAUCAACAAUUACCCAUAUGGCAUCACGCUUCCUGAAGGUUGGAGGCAAUCCCAGAACAAAAUCCAUCGUUAUUUUUUCCCAUUUCCACUCUGGAAUAGACAAUGGAUGAAGCUUACCAGCUGGUGCCUGAUGUUCAGCUUUUACUUAUUGACAUGUCAAACAUUUUGCUACACAUUUAGCUGUAUCUUUCUUCAUUGUAGGCCACCAAUAAAAAGAUCGUAAAUCCCUGUACAUUUUAGUACUUCCCGGAUGCAUUGCGUAUGGUGCAUAAUGGGCUUUAUUUAGAAUUUCUUCUUUCAAUUCUCUUAUAUUUGGAACACAAUACAUCCAUUAAUCAACAACAUCCCAUCGUUUCUCAACGCAAACUGUUCAUUCAUUCCUUGUUGUACUUUAUCCUUCAUUUUUCUUAAAUAUGGAUCACUCAUCUGCCUUUCUUGAAUUUUACUGUCCAAUAAAGGCUUGACAUGCAUACUUACAAGAAUUAUAUCAUCCCAAAGUGCAAUUUCUACAUGCAAUGUUCUAAGCUCUAUUAAUGAUUGUACUGCAUGACAAGUCAUUCAACACUUCUCUCAAUGGUUUUCUUACUCAAAGCAUCAGCAACUUUGUUGGCUUUUCCCGGAUGGUAAUCUAUAGUACAAUCAUAAUCCUUUAACAACUCCAUCCACCUUCUUUGUCUUAAGUUUAACUCUUUUUGUGUUGGGAUAUAUUUCAGACUUUUAUGGUCAGUGAAAAUCUGAAAUGUUUCUCCAUACAAAUAAUGCCUCCAGAUUUUUAGAGCAUGCACAAUUGCUGCCAAUUCUAGAUCAUGAGUCGGAUAAUUCAGUUCAUGACUCCUUAAUUGUCGAGAAGCAUAAGCAAUGACUUUUCCAUUUUGCAUUAACACACACCCCAAUCCCUAUCGUGAUGCAUCUGUAAAUAUUACAUAUUCACCACUUCCUGAUGGUAAGGUUAGAACCGGUGCAGAAAUAAGUCUUUUCUUCAAUUCUUCAAAACUUUUCUCACAUUUAGAAUCCCAUUUAAAUAUGACAUUCUUCUUCAGCAAGUUUGUUAAUGGUUUAGCAAUGAUUGAAAAUCCUUCAACAAAUCUCCUAUAAUAUCCAGCUAAUCCUAAAAAACUUCAUACCUCUGAUACAUUUUUAGGGGAUUCCCACUCCUUUACGGCUGCGAUCUUCGAAGAAUCAGGUUGUAGAUCAUUUUCGGAAAUAAUAUGCCCCAAAAAUGCAAUUUCUUCUAGCCAGAACUCACAUUUAUUAAAUUUUGCAUAAAGCUGCUUUUCUCUCAAAAUUUGCAACACUAUUCUCAAAUGUUCUUCAUGCUGUUCUCGAGUUUCAGAAUAAAUCAAUAUAUCAUCGAUAAACACAAUGACAAAACGAUCUAGAUACCUCUGAAAUAUUUUGUUCAUUAAAGACAUAAAAGCAGCAGGUGCAUUUGUUAGUCCAAAUGGCAUCACAAUAAAUUCAUAAUGCCCAUAUCGUGUUCUAAAUGCAGUCUUUGGUAUGUGUGCCUCUGCAAUUCUCAAUUGCCAAUAUCCAGACCUUAAAUCAAUCUUGGAGAAUACAAUUGCUCCUUUUAACUGGUCUAAUAAGUCAUCAAUCCGUGGCAAAGGAUAUUUGUUCUUUAUGGUAAAACGAUUUAACUGCCUGUAAUCAAUACACAAUCUUAAACUGCCAUCCUUUUUCUUUACAAACAAUACUGGAACUCCCUAGGGUGAUGUACUUGGUCUAAUAAACCCUUUUUCUAAUAAUUCUUCCAGUUUCUUCUUUAAUUCUUUCAACUACAAGGGUGCCAUUCUAUAUGGUGCAGUUGAUAUUGGUGCUCCUCCAGGUAUAGUUUCUACCUCAAAGUCUGUCUCUCGAUGUGGAGGUAAACCCGGUAGUUCUUUUGGAAAUACAUCUGCAAAUUCCUUCACUACUGGAAUAUUCAUUACUCCUGGACUAACUUUGGAUACAUCCACCACAUUAGCCAAAUAAGCUUCACAACACUUUUUGAUUAAAUGGAAAGCAGCAGUAGCCGAAAUUAAACAAGUUGAAACAAUAUUUCUUUCACACACAGAAACUAUUUUUCUCUGUUUUGAGGUCUCAAUAACCACUUCUUUUGUGUGACAAUCUACUAUAGCAUGAUUCUUAGAUAGCCAAUCCAUUCCUAAAAUAACAUCAAAUUCCUUAAGUUUUAUCACUACUAGAUCUGCAUACAGUGUGUUCCCAUUUAUGAUCACAGGACAAGUUUUGACAAUCUUAUCUACAAUUACAGUACCCCUAGCAGGCAUUGAUACACAAAUGUUAUACCCCAAGGUUUCUAUAUCGUUGUGGUUUUUCAAAGCAAAUUCAUAUAAAAUGAAUGAACAUGUUGAUCCUGGAUCAAUUAACGUAUAAGCAUUAAAACCAUAAAUAGAGAUUUUACUAGUCACAAUAUCAGUUGCAGAAGGUGCUUCCUGUCUUGUCACUGCAAACACUCUAGCUUGGGGCACUGAUUGCUAAGGUUGGCCUAUUUGUCCAGCCUAUACCAUGUUAGAACCCCUCGUCCCAUUCCUCUACCUCUUCCUCUACUUACUCCUCCCUGAGUCAUAUUUUCACCUAUGCUGCUCUGUCCUGAAACUUGACUUUCACUAGCUCGAUUUUUACUCCAACAAUCUCUGGCUAUAUGCCCCUGCUUACCACAGUAAAAACAAAGUAUCUGCCUUGGUCCCCAACACUCCCCACUGUGAAACCUAUUACAUCUAGGACAUGGUGAACUAUAUCCUCGACUAACUGAAACACCUCCCUCACCUCUCUUACUCUCUACCCUACUCUGGCUGUAACCACUUCGUCCGCCUCUACCCGAUAUCACUGUAGUAGACUUACUGAUAUUUUCCUGGCUAACCCCUCUCCCAUAAUAUCUACUCCUUUGAGACCCAGAACCUCUAAAAGAAAUGUCUCUUCCUUUCCUUUCUGGACCACCAUAUUCAUUUAUCAUCUUUUUUUUCUUAGCUGUCAUUGCAUCUUUCUCAAUCAAACAUUCUUCAACCCUCAAUGCAGCCUCUAAUAAAGUACUGUAACUUGGUGGCUUCAAGAAAAUCUUUUCCCGAAUAUCCAUUCUCAAUCCUUUUUCAAACCGUCUUUGUUUUGCAUCCUUUGUAGCCACUUCUUCUAACGCAUAUUUUGAUAAUCGAGAGAAUUGCAUUUCAUAUUCUGAUACUGUCAUGUAUCCCUAUGCCAAGCUCAAAAACUCCAUUUUCUUUCGAUCUCUAUACAUUGGUGGUGUGUAUUUAUUUGCAAAUUCCCUAAGGAAGUCAUCCCAAGUUAAGGUCAUAGGUCUAUUUUUACUUCCUAGAAUCAGAUCCCACCAAUCUAAAGCUGAUCUUCUUAACAAAGAUACAACAUAUUUCAACUUUUGCUCUGGUGUGCAAUCUAGCCUGUUCAGCACCCUGUCUGUCUCCCGUAACCAUUCUUCUGCUAUCUCAGGAUCAGUGAUCCCCUCAAAUUUUGUAGCUCCUUGUUUUCUCAGCUUAUCGUAAGUUUUAUCUUUAGCCUCUGUUUCUCUAAUUUCUACCACCGGUUGCAUUAUUGGUUGUUGGAUUGGCUGACUGGCUACCCAAUUAACUAUUAAAAAUAUAAACACUUAUUUUUAAUUUUUACAUUCAUAUGCAUCCCUAACAUGUAUAUGCAUUCAUGCUUUUACAAUUCUAUCCUAAUGAAUUUUAAACCGUGCUCUGAUACCACUAAAUGUGACACAUGUAAAGGAUGUCAGACAUACAUUGUAUGCAAAGAUUGAUACAUAACAUAUUUCUUAACUACUAACUUUUAACUCACAAAUUAAUAUGUACAACAAAAACUAUUUAUGAGUCAUACAUAUCACACACCAAAAAGCUCACAACAUCAAAUAGUACACUUUUUUUUAUAUACACAUAAAAUGCUCCAGAUUUAUACAUGAUAAUGAAAUCCACUAGACAUGUCACGUCCAAGAAAGAAAAACUGAGGGCGACCUCCUGCUGACCUGCCUGACACAAUGCUAGUGCGGCAGAUGUAAAUGUUUCGUCAAAACCAAUUAUAAUUCUCCUAAUCCUAAAAAAGAAAUAAUGCAGAGGAGUGAGCCUGCAACUCAGCAAAAGAAUAACAUAAUUUCCUAUGAAAAACAACACAAUCAAACGUGUAGUAUUAUCAAACAUCAAACAAUUCGAUAUUUAAUUAUGACUUUAUAGUCUGUACAUAAACCUUGUCAUAGUGUUUUCUUUAGGACAAUAAUGAACUUGUGAAUUACAUUUAAUUCCAUAAUAAUAUAUAUAUAUUUUUAUUUUCAUGGAUCCCUAUACGCACACAGCCAACCAUAAUCUUAUGGGGAAUUCCAUAUCGCACACAGCCUUGCCUCAUUCACAAGUAGCAUUGCGUCCUUACAAUCAUCCAACCAUAAUUCUUAUAUAUAUAUACAUAUACUAUUUAAAUAACUAACAUCUCCAUAAUAUAUAAGAAACCAUAAUAAUACCUAUGAUAUACCAAAAACAUACCAUAUUCCGACAUGGCAGAUUUAAUAGUGUGCAUUCAAAAAUACACCACAAAUUCCACAUUAGGACUUCCAAAACUAUAUUCUUCAGAUCAGUAAUACUAUAAGUCUAGAUUAAUUUAAAACUGAUUUUACAUCAAAUGGAUGCGUAUAGAAAGAGAAACAUCAAAAACAUUCUACCAUGGUCAAUCUGUCAAUAAAAUUAAGCAACAGAAAGUAUGAUCCAGAUUGGCCAUCAAAACAGCAAAAUCAAUUUUCAUCUAUUUCUAUAACAUUUGUAAAUUACAUUUCAAAUUUUCUAUAGUAAUAAGUAGCACUCCAUUGGGAGUUAUAAAGCUCCAGAUAUGGCUAAAUCAAAUAUACUGUUCAUAUUAUAACAGGACACUCGAAUUCACCAUUCAACAUUCAUAUAGAACAUUAAGUUAUUCACUUACCUUUGUUGCUCCCUUCCCUUUGCUUGAGCUUACUUGGGUGUCACCCUCAUUCCAAAUUGGUUUAGCUGAAAUAGAUCAUAAUUCACUUAUUUUUAAACACCCAAAGUUAAUAGAAUUUCAUAUAGCAUGAUAACAUCACUAAACUCUUUACAUAUGUGUGGCAGCCAACUAUAAUAGAAUUAAUAAGGUGAAUUUAAAAAUCCACCAAAACUUUUAUACAACAAAUUUCAUAAUAAAACUUUUCAGAUCACUAACCUUAUGUGUCUAAUAUAAUUUAAAACUGAUUUUGUUUCAAUUGGAGGUGUAUAGAGAAAUAUCCGUACAAAACAAUCCACCUUACUCAGACCAAAGAUGGAAACUGAACAAUAAAAUGUAUUCUCUUAUUAUACUAACAUAGAGCCUGAUUUAGAUCAAGCUAAAGAAAUAAAAGUUUUAGAUGACUCUUUAAAGUUUCCAUAUCAUUAAAGAACACUCAAUUUUAAGCUUUCUAGCUCAAGAUAUGAUCAAACAAAUAAGACUGAAAAACUAGGUCUUUAGAACUCGAAUUCUAUGUCUUCUAAACCCUAACUCAAUUCAACAAAAUAUUAAAAUUACUUACCAAAUAAACCUCUAAAGCCUUUGUAGAUGAAUAUUAAGAUAAAAAAGGAUUCUAAACCUCCAAAUUCCACUUGAAAAUUCAGUUUUCUUUUUUUGAAGAAGAAGAAGAAGAAAGAAAGAAGNNNAGGUUAGUGCAGGUUUAGGAAUCCAGUAAGCUCGAGAGAGGAGCCGGGAUUCAAUUCAGGAUUUAGGCACGGGUAAGCAAGAUCGACAAUCCAUAAAAUUCAUCUUUAGAAUUCCAUCACUUAGGCUCCCUUUUAGAUUUAUUUCUCUCUUUACAAUUGUCUUUUAAUUGUCCAUUGUUGUCCUUCAUUUACUUAAUUGCACUCAUAACCAUUAGCUGGUAUGUUAGAACUUUCACACCCUAUUUCAGACUAGAUAACAUAGCAAGCAGUAGUAACUCUAGGUUCACCCGAUCUCCAGGGAUACGACCUUGAUACUCACUAGUGCUAGGCUGCAUCGGUAGGUUCACUGCCUUAGGUGUAGGUUGCAUAAAGAGCCCAUCAGCUACCCAAUUAACUAUUUGCUGCAACAACUCAAGAAAUUGUUGCAUUACCAGUGGUAAUUCCUGAGCUGGUUGUUGUGGUGCAUUUAUAUACUCAACUCCAUGCAUAGACUCAGACUCACUUAGGUCAGCAGGAUUCUCGGUCGGCCCCUCUCUACUCAUCCUAUUAAAAAUAUAAACACUUAUUUUUAAUUCUUACAUUCAUAUGCAUCCCUAACAUGUAUAUGCAUUCAUGCUUUUAAAUGCUUUUACAAUUCUAUCCUAAUGAAUUUUAAACCGUGCUCUGAUACCACUAAAUGUGACACAUGUAAAGGAUGUCAGACAUACAUUGUAUGCAAAGAUUGAUACAUAACAUAUUUCUUAACUACUAACUUUUAACUCACAAAUUAAUAUGUAUAACAAAAACUAUUUAUAUGAGUCAUACAUAUCACACACCAAAAAGCUCACAAAAUCAAAUAGUACACUUUUUUUUAUAUACACAUAAAAUGCUCCAGAUUUAUACAUGAUAAUGAAAUCCACUAGACAUGUCAUGUCCAAGAAAGAAAAACUAAAGGCGACCUCCUGCUGACCUACCUGACACAAUGCUAGUGCGGCAGAUGUAAAUGUUUCGUCAAAACCAAUUAUAAUUCUUCUAAUCCUGAAAAAGAAAUAAUGCAGAGGAGUGAGCCUGCAACUCAGCAAAAGAAUAACAUAAUUUCCUAUGAAAAACAACAUAAUCAAACGUGUAGUAUUAUCAAACAUCAAACCAUUCGAUAUUUAAUUAUGACUUUAUAGUGUGUACAUAAACCUUGUCAUAGUAUUUCUUUAGGACAUCAAUGAACUUGUGAAUUACAUUUAAUUCCAUAAUAAUAUAUAUAUAUUUUUAUUUUCAUGGAUCCCCAUACGCACACAGCCAACCAUAAUCUUAUGGGGAAUUCCAUAUCGCACACAGCCUUGCCUCAUUUACAAGUAGCAUUGUGUCCUUACAAUCAUCCAACCAUAAUUCUUAUAUAUAUAUAAAUAUACCAUUUAAAUAACUAACAUCUCCAUAAUAUAUAAGAAACCAUAAUAAUACCUAUGAUAUACCAAAAACAUACCAUAUUCCGACAUGGCAGAUUUAAUAGUGUGCAUUCACAAAUACACCAAAACUUCCACAUUAGGACUUCCAAAACUAUAUUCUCCAGAUCAGUAAUACUAUAAGUCUAGAUUAAUUUAAAACUGAUUUUACAUCAAAUGGAUGUGUAUAGAAAGAGAAACAUCAAAAACAUUCUACCAUGGUCAAGCUAUCAAUAAAAUUAAGCAACAGAAAGUAUGAUCCAGAUUGGCCAUCAAAACAGCAAAAUCAAGUUUCCUCUAUUUCUAUAACAUUUGUAAAUUACAUUUCAAAUUUUCUAUAGCAAUAAGUAGCACUCCAUUGGGAGUUAUAAAGCUCCAGAUAUGGCUAAAUCAAAUAUACUGUUCAUAUUAUAACAGGACACUCGAAUUCACCAUUCAAUAUUCAUAUAGAACAUUAAGUUAUUCACUUACCUUUGUUGCUCCCUUCCCUUUGCUUGAGCUUACUUGGGUGUCACCCUCAUUCCAAAUUGGUUUAGGUUAAAUAGAUCAUAAUUCACUUAUUUUUAAACACCCAAAGUUAAUAGAAUUUCAUAUAGCAUGAUAACAUCACUAGACUCUCUACAUAUGUGUGGCAGCCAACUAUGACAGAAUUAAUAGGGUGAAUUUAAAAAUCCACCAAAACCUUUAUACAACAAAUUUCAUAAUAAAACUUUUUAGAUCACUAACCUUAUGUGUCUAAUAUAAUUUAAAACUGAUUUUGUUUCAAUUGGAGGUGUAUAGAGAAAUAUCCAUACAAAACAAUCCACCUUACUCAGACCAAAGAUGGAAACUGAACAAUAAAAUGUAUUCUCUUAUUAUACUAACGUAGAGCCUGAUUCAGAUCGAGCUAAAGAAAUAAAAAUUUUUAGAUGACUCUUUAAAGUUUCUAUAUCAUUAAAGAACACUCAAUUUAAAGCUUCCUAGCUCAAGAUAUGAUAAAAAAAAUAAGACUGAAAAACUAGGUCUUUAGAACUCGAAUUCUAUGUCUUCUAAACCCUAACUCAAUUCAAUAAAAUAUUAAAAUUACUUACCAAAUAAACCUCUAAAGCCUUUGUAGAUGAACAUUAAGAUAAAAAAUGGAUUCUAAACCUCCAAAUUCCACUUGAAAAUUCAGUUUUCUUUUUUUGAAGAAGAAGAAGAAGAAAGAAAGAAGAAGAAGAAGGAAGAAGAACUACUACCUUUUCUUUCUUCUUCCCCUUUUCUAUCAUAUUAAUAAUUUUUUUUAGGUUCAAUUAACCCCUUCAUUUUUUGCCAUUAAUCAACUCAAUUCCUUAACUUUCUAAUUCUUAUUAUGUACUUAAUUGUAACAUUUAUAAUAUUCUUUUAUUUAACAUUAGCACUAAUACUAUACAUAUCUCAUACAUUUCUCAUAUCUAUAUGAUAUGCAUGUUAUAAACUAAAUGCAAAUGCAUUAGGUGGGCAUUACAUUAGGAGUUCUAUUCUUAGUUGUUAUUGUUAUUGGCUUCCUUAUUAUUAUAGAAUUAGGUUUUUCUAAGGCCUAUAUAAGCUAGUACGAAUUUCUAUGUAAAGUUUGGUUGAAUAUUGUUUAUUUUAGAGUUAAUUAUCUUAUUUUGUUUGUUAUAAACCUGGUGAAUUUGUGAAUUUAUCAAGUGAAUGCUUGAUAUUUUACAAAUUUAGUUUAAUCUAAACUUUUAUUUAUUUUAAACCGCCUUUAAUUCUUUAUAAUUAAGGUUCUUAAGUACAAGUUAUUUAAGGGUCUGGUUGGGAGUUAUAGUUUCUUUGCUUAAUUAGGUGAACGAUCCUUAGUAAAGACAUCAAUAUUGAAUAUAGGUUAGGCAUAAGUUAGCCAUUUUUAUAUCAAUUCUAUUCUUCUUAGGACUUUAGAAAUGUCUUUAAAACAUAUCAAAUUGGUAUGCCAUUUUUCAAAUUAUGAUCAAUUAAAUUUUUUACUUUUUUUCAAGCAAAAAUUGCUUGUAUCUUAUGUUCUUGUUUGAAUGCAAAACUUACUUAUCAAGGAGUUGAUCUAUCCUUGUGUUAUACUUGGAAUUGGGGUUUAAGGAACUUAACUUUCCUUAGCUUCUAAUUCUUGAUCAUCUUACAUGUUGAUUAGAUGGUCCUAGGGUUUAAUUUCAAGUUGCUCUUUGGAUUUUCAAGUUAGUGAUUCACAGAUUUAUAAGGAUUAGAGUUCUUGGAGGUUCUUUAACUUUUGGUAUCAGAGCUUUUAGCUCUUGAAUCAGGUUACUUAUCCUUCUUUAAUGUUAUUUCAUUGUGUUUUUUAAGUUUCCAAGUGGUUUUAUUCGUUUCUUGAUAACAAUCUUGAUUGCCGCUUCCACGCGCUUUCUCUCAAUAGUGGUGUUUAUGCUCUCCAAAUAAAACCAAACCAUCAUACUAGACAAAAAGGAGUUGACUUGUUAACAACUCUCGUAGUCCUAAAUUUAAUGAGCCAGAAUAAUAAAAACAAGGAAAAAUUCAUGUGGGCAACACUUAAUUAAACCCCGGCCCAAAUUAUAUAAUUAUAUGCAUCCCAAACACUAAAACGCGUGCAUUCCCUAUUAGAUUAAUCUAAAACAAUAUUAUUUCUCCUUUAAGCAUGUAGAUUUGUGUCUCAUCCUGCUAGAUCAUCACACCACACCCUAUUUAUUUACUAUUUAGAUAUCCCAAGUUUUUAUUUAGUGUAUUAAUACAAUCAUAUCAUAGUGAAACGAAGUCAACAUACUAUUUAAGCAUAUAAAAGAUCAUAAAGUUUUUAUUCAUAUAAUACAUGUGAAGUACAUUUACAAAUAUAACACAAAACAUAUGUCUUUAUCAUGUGGAUGCUUAUGAUACAAGGAGAGAGAGAGAGUAAGGAUUCGGCCGGUGACCUUUGCUUUAUACUUUAUUUAUAAUGCUAUAUGCUUCAAAUAGUCACACCUCAAGCUUCAUUAUCUCGGAAAAAUAAUUGCAAUUUGGUGAGUGAUGACUCAAUGAAUAUUUAUAUAAAUAUCAAUUAAAUUCUAAAGGCACAAAAACAAACAAUUGAUGUCAAAUGAAUACAAAAAUAUGAUUCAUUCAAAUGCAAGUGCUAAUAUAUUGUUCAUUUAUUUUUUUGUUGUGGCCUGGGAAGACAAAUAUUGCUCCCGGGAUUCAUGUGAAACAAUUGCCAUUUGAUUUUGCUGGACUGCAUAUAACAUGUGAAUCAUGUGAUUUCCUUUGAUCAUUUGCAUUUUCCAUAUGAUUUUGCAAAUAUUUGCCAAGCCGGUCACAACAUCCUUUUAUAUCCGUAUGCAAGUGCUCAAAUGUAGAAUUUGCAUUGAACUUAUAAACACUUGUAUAUAAACAUAACCAUCAAUAAACAAACUACAUACAUUUAAAUAAUCAAAAAAAUUCACCUCAAUCACAUAAUUUCACCAUAUGUUCACACUAAUCUCAAUCACACAAUUUCACCUAAGAAGUCGAUCAAUAUUUAUACUCACUUUUUAGAUAUUAAUUACGUUAUGGACAACCUGUAUUUCCUUCUCGAACUUCAUGGAUGCCUUGAGAUCCUAAAAUAUAACAUAUAUUUGGUAAAAAACAUACCUACAAUAGUGUUUACACUUGGUAUAUGAUUAGUAUAUUUUCAGGAUAUGCUAUUUAUAUGUGUAAGCUUAACAUUUAUGCACAAUUCUUUCCUAUUUGACAGCUUAACCUUGCUAGACCUGAGAGUAAGUAACUUUCACCACACAAUUCUAAAUUAGUUGACUCCAUUUUUUUAUAAAACUAGACACACAAGACUAUAACAUAUCCAAAAGUUAUCACAAUAUAAGCUCUUCAUAAUUAAUGGUGAAUUUUUGAAUCCAAAUCUAUGCUCUGCACAAAAACAUUUUGAGCAAGUCUCAUUUAGUUUAGAACUUCUCAAGUUACACAAGUCCAAUUGAAAAAUCCUAUUCUAAAAACUUCAAUAACAUAUAAAGGAACAACUUUCAUGUUUUAAACUUCAUCUAGUUUAGCCUCUAAAGUCCUCAUAGUAUUUGGGAAACACCAUACUGCCUGCAGACAAAGCAAACAGAACCAACCUCACUCCAAGGGCGAUUUCUCAUUACACACAUAUUAUUUCAUUAAACUGCAUCAGAUGGUUUUAGAUAACAUAAAAAGGAACAAAACUCAUGGUUAACAAUUUGUCUAAUUCAGCCCCUAAAGGUCUCAUAUUUUAUUAAAUAAAGGAAAAUCCCAUGUAGUAGAUACAAUUUAACCAGUCCCAAUCAAAGAAGAAUUUCUCAUCACACACAGCAAAUAUCGUGAAAAAAUUUUAUUGGCAUGAAGAUGAGACAUAAAUUUACAAGUUUCAUGUUUUAUGUUUCUCCUAAUUCUUCUUCUACGGCUAUGAAAACAGGGGUACAAAAUUCUUCUCUGAAAUAGAAUUUAAGGACUAUGAAAUCACUUCACACCAUAAUCAUAUAAUUGCAAUUAUAAUAUAGAAUAAAAAUAAGUAACUUGCCCAAAUCAAUAGUGAAAUUAACAAGAUUUAGGUUUAGGAAUUUGAGAGAAGAAAGGAAAGAAAUUAGAUAUCGAUUUUUUUUUAUACCAGAGUUAUAGCUUAAUGAGGAGAUAAACUAGAGUUUUCUAGUUUUUUUUCACAAGAUAAGGACACUCCCAUACACAUCCACUACCUCCAUAUACAUCCUUUAUCUUAUAUUUAUUAUUAUUAUUAUUAUUAUUAUUAUUAUUAUUAUUAUUAUUAUUAUUAUCAUUAUCAUCAAUCUUUUUGUUAUAUUUUAAUCAAUUAUCAAAUAGAAGUCUAAAUCAAUCUAUAUAAAUAAGUCAACUAGAUUCAAUUUCUUACAUAUUUAUUUAUUGACUCAAAUUUCAAUUUUAUAAUUCCUCAAAUACAUCCUAUAUUACACAUGCUAAAAUAUUCCAUUGCAAUGCACUUUGACAAAUACAAAACAAAUAAAAGAUGUGGAAUUCACAUAAUGAAAUGGAAUAAUUUGAGAUGCAUAUGUUUAAGUUAUUUUAUGCAAUACAUGCAAAUUUAAAUGAAAUGCUUGUGGUUAAAGUCAAUGAGGUUACAUUCAAUACCUGCGAAUAAAUAGGGAUAUUUUCGCUUCAUAUUCUCCUCAGUUUCCCAAAUAGCUUCUUCCUAUGAAUGGUUCCUCCACAACACUUUACUCAAGAAAAUUUCUUGAUUCCGUAACUGUGUUGUCUUAUAACCAAUGAUCUUUACCGGUUCUUCAACAUAAUUCAAAUUAUCGGUAAUUUCCACUUCUUGAUCAGAUCGAUAUCUUCUAAGCAUUGGUCGCUUAUUACAUGAUCAAUUAAAUUGUUUUAUGUUUCUCCUAAUUCUUCUUCUACGGCUAUGAAAAUAGGGGUACAAAAUUCUGCUCUGAAAUAGAAUUUAAGGACUAUGAAAUCACUUCACACCAUUAUCAUAUAAUUACAAUUAUAAUAUAGAAUAAAAAUAAGUAACUUGCCCAAAUCAAUAGUGAAAUUAACAAGAUUUAGGUUUAGAAAUUUGAGAGAAGAAAGGAAAGAAAUUAGAUAUAGAUAUUUUUUUUGAUACUGGAGUUAUAGCUUAAUGAGGAGAUAAACUAGAGUUUUCUAGUUUUUUUUCACAAGAUAAGGACACUCCCAUACACAUCCACUACCUCCAUAUACAUCCUUUAUCUUAUAUUUAUUAUUAUUAUUAUUAUUAUUAUUAUUAUUAUUAUCAUUAUCAUCAAUCUUUUUGUUAUAUUUUAAUCAAUUAUCAAAUAGAAGUCCAAAUCAAUCUAUAUAAAUAAGUCAACUAGAUUCAAUUUCUUACAUAUUUAUUUAUUGACUCAAAUUUCAAUUUUAUAAUACCUCAAAUACAUCCUAUAUUACACAUACUAAAAUAUGCCACUACAAUGCACUUUGACAAAUACAAAACAAAUGAAAGAUGUGGAAUUCACAUAAUGAAAUGGAAUGAUUUGAGAUGCAUAUGUUUAAGUUAUUUUAUGCAAUACAUGCAAAUUUAAAUGAAAUGCUUGUGGUUAAAGUCAAUGAAGUUACAUUCAAUACCUGCGAAUAAAUAGGGAUAUUGUCGCUUCAUAUUCUCCUCAGUUUCCCAAAUAGCUUCUUCCUAUGAAUGGUUCCUCCACAACACUUUACUCAAGAAAAUUUCUUGGUUCCGUAACUGUGUUGUCUUAUAACCAAUGAUCUUUACUGGUUCUUCAACAUAAUUCAAAUUAUCGGCAAUUUCCACUUCUUGAUUUUUAAGUAUAUAUGUAGGAUCAGAUCGAUAUCUUCUAAGCAUACUCACGUGAAACACAUCAUGGAUCUGGGCCAAUUCUAGUGGUAGUGCUAACCUAUAAGCUAAUGGACCAAUUAUUUCAAGAAUUUCAUAUGGCCCUAUAUAUUGAGGACUCGACUUGCCUUUUUUGCCAAAUAUGUUUGCUCCUUUCCAUGGUGAAACUCAAAGAAACACUUUAUCACCCACUUAAUAUUCCAUUUCUCUCCUAUGCUGGUCUGCAUAGCUUUUUUUGUCUAUCUUAUGCUGCUUUGAGUCUACUUCUGAUUAGUUUUACUUUAUCCACUAUAUCUUACACUAUUUUAGGGUCUUCUAAUAGACGCAUACCUUCUUCAUUCUAAGAAAUAGGACUAUGACACUUUCUUCCAUAUAAUGCCUCGUAUGGUGCCAUUUUGAUACUGUUGUGGUACUGAUUGUAAAUCGUGGAUCCCUGUUUGAUACAAUGGACACUGGAACUCCAUGCCAUCUAAAAAUUUCAUUCACAUAUUGUUUGGCUAAAAAUUCAAGUGAACUACUCUAUUUGAUAGGCAAAAAGUGAGCUGACUUAGAUAAUCGAUCACUGAUCACCCAUAUAGCAUCAUUCUUUCUUGGAGUUUUUGGUAAUCCAUAUACAAAAUCCAUCGUUAUUCUUUCCCAUUUCCAUACCGGAAUUGACAAAGCUAUCAACUUUCCAACUGGAGCUUGGUUUUCUGCUUUAACUUGUUGACAUGUUAAACAUUUUGAAACAUACUCUGCCACAUCUUUCUUCAUUUUAGGCCACCAAUAAUGGGGUCGUAAGGUGUUGUACAUUUUGGUCAUCCCUAGGUGCAUAGCAUAUGGAGCAUUAUGUGCCUCCUCCAAAAUUUCUCGGCGUAGGUUAUCAACAUCAGGUACAUAAAUACGAGAUCCUAUCAUCAAGGUAUCAUUCUGAACAUUAAACUCUUUAUUUUCCCCUUGCUUCACUUUGUCAAUCUUUUCUUGUAAUUGUGGAUCCUUGCUCUGUUCUUCCUUAAUUCUGUUAUGCAAUAUUGGUCUAACUUGCAAAGUAGCAAUCAACACUCCAUUUUCUUGUAAAUUUAAUUUGACAUUCAUAGCUCGCAACUGAACCGAAGAAGAGAAUGGAAAUACUUGUAAAUAAGCUACACUGCUUCUUGUCUUCCUACUUAAAGCAUCAGCUACUACAUUUGCUUUUCCUGGAUGAUACUCAAUUGUGCAGUCAUAAUCCUUCAACAAUUCUUUUGUCUCAUAUUUAACUCUCUUUGGCUCAAUAAGUACCUCAGACUCUUGUGAUUAGUAAAUAUUUGAAAUAUUUCUCCAUAUAAAUAAUGUCGUCAUAUUUUCAAAGCGAACACAAUAACAUCAAGUUCUAGAUCAUGUAUUGGAUAAGAUAACUCAUAUGGCCUUAGCUGUCUAGAUGCAUAUGCAAUCACCUACCAUGUUGCAUUAAUACACAUCCCAAACCCUGAUGAGAAGCAUCACUAUAAACUACAAAUCCUCCAUUACCUGUAGGAAUUGUUAACACUGGAGUGUUGUCAACUUGGUUUUCAAUUCAUUGAAACUCUUCUAACAUGCUUCAGACUAUUCAAAUACAACAUUUUUUUGAAUUAACUUUGUCAAAGGGCUGACUAUCAGUGAAAAUGCCUCAACAAACUGGCGAUAAUACCCAGCUAAUCUUAAGAAACUUCAAACUUCUACAACAUUCUGUCACUACUGCUUCUAUUUUCUUUGGAUCCACUUCUAUGCCCUGUCUAAAAAUAACAUGUCCCAAAAAUACUACCUCAUCUACCCAAAACUCACAUUUACUCAAUUUAGCAUACAAUUGUUUCUCUCUCAAGGUUUGUAACACAAUUCUUAAGUGAUGUUCAUGUUCCUCCCUACUUCUUGAAUAGACAAGUAUGUCAUCAAUGAACAAAAUCACAAAUUUUUCUAAGUAGCACUGUAACACUUGCUCAUGAGAGCUAUAAAUGCAAUUGGUGCAUUAGUUAAACCAAACGGCAUCACUAAAAAUUCAUAGUGCCCGUACUUGGUUCGAAAAGCAGUCUUUGGUACGUCUGGGUCUGAAAUUUUAAGCUGAUAGUAGCCUGAUUUCAAAUCAAUCUUGGAAAACACUUGAGGUCCCUACAAUUGACCGAACAAAUCAUCUAUUCUGGGCAAAGAAUAUUUGUUCUUCACAGUGACCUGAUUUAACUGCCUAUAAUCGAUACACAACCUCAUUGUCCUAUCUUUCUUUUUCACAAAUAGCACUAGGGCACCCCAAGGUGACACACUGGGCCUAAUGAACCCCCUGUCAAAUAGUUCCUGCAACUGAGUUUUCAAUUCUUUCAAUUCAACUCGUGCCAUCCUAUAAAGUGAAAUAGUUAUUGGUGCUACUCUUGGUACUAGUUCAAUUAUGAAUUCCACUUCUCUAAUAGGUGGCACACCCGGUAAAUCAUCUGGAAACAUAUUUGGAUACUCAUUUACCACUAGGAUAUUUUCAAUUGUAUUAUUUGUAGUUCUAGUAUCUAUCACAUGUGCUAGAUAAGCUUCGAAACUGCUUUUAACCAUUCGGAGAGCCUUUACAGCAUAAACUAAACAUGCAGGCACAAUUUGUCUUUCCUCUAGAAACAUAACCCUCAGUUGAUUUGGAGAUUCUAAAAUAACCUCCUUGGUAAAACAAUUCAUUAUGGCAUGAUGUUUGGCCAACCAAUCCACUCGGGACGAUGGCAAAGCCACAUUUAGGCGAACUCGCUUACAAAAAGGGAAAGCUGUACUACCACCAUCGGAAGCCGAAUUGACUAGGUUUUUGAAAUUCACUACCAAAGCCCGAAAGGACAGGUAUGCAGAUUUAUGAACGCGAGCGAUUAACCCAGGUAAGUAUGUCGAUACUUAUUCUCUAGAAAAACUAGAUAUAAAGGAAGAUUUCGAUGCUAUGAUAACUAGUCUGUGGUGGAAAACCUUAGUGACUAUUAGAUACCCCACAUUUGUUGAGUUGAUUAGAGAAUUCUACAAAACCUUUCAGUUUGAAAUACCCAAGAAUUUCACAUUUGAUAGUCCUGGAGUUGUGUGAUAUCGACUCCUAGGCAAUGAAUUUAAGCAAUCAAUCACUGAAUUCAAUUUGGCCCUAGGAUUUGUUGACACUGAAUUUUCUCUAAUCAAUCAAUACAAGAGCUCUGCUAUAGAUUUUGUUGAUAAUCUUGAUCAGGCAAAGCUCUGGAAGACCAUGUCUUCUGACCCCAUGCAUUACGAUCCUAGCAACUCUAAAGGUGUGUAUCUUAAUAAAUCUGAAUGGGUUUACAUGCAAUGAUUUUUAGCAUUCAGCUUCUCUAGUAGAAAAGACACAGCAAAUGUAUGUACAAAAGCUUAACUUUAUUUUAUUUGGUCCAUGUUGCAUGAAAACACAAUCAAUUUGGGUGUUUGGUUGGUUUGCAAUUCAAAUUUGUGUUGACUCGUAAAAAGCAUUUAUGUUUAGGCUUUUUAAUUACUCAUUUGGCUGUUCGCCUUCGAUUACUCGAUCUCGAUAAUACUAACUUACAUAUUGCUUGUGAGAUGGAACCAUUGGACAUUGCCUAUUUAAUGAAGAUGCACGUGCUUGUGGAGAAUAAUGGGUUGUACUCUUUCUAAAAGCCUUCUCUGCACGGCCAAGGCGACCACCCAAGAUCUAGGAAACGAUCUUGCCCAACAAGCAAUCUUUGUGAUCCAGAGGACUCAACUAAACCAGAUUUUAAAGCUCGUUUGGAAAAGAUGGAAUGAAAAAUUUCAAAGAUGGAGAGAAAUUUAGACGCCUUGAUGAAACACUGGGGAGUUCUACCCCCUUGGCCACCGAUACCAUGGACUACUCAAUUUAAGUGGCUCAUAAAACAGAGGAGAAUCACAUCUCUUUUCAUUUAUUUUAAGAGCCAAUUUCUUUUUGAUACAUCGAGGACAAUGUAUAGUAGAGGUGUGGGGAGGAUAAUUACAUGAUUUCUUUUUAAAAAUAUCUUUUUAUGCUUAUAAUUAUGUAUGCUUUAAUUCAUAUGUGCUACUUUUUCUUUUGCAACCUUGAGUUUUAUUUUGAUAACCUAGAAUACCAUGUAAGUUAGAAAUACAUUUGUGGUUUGAAUUUUAAUGCAUGAAAGGGAUAAGCAUGAUUAGUGUUUCUUUAAAAUUAUCUGAUGGUAUCUCAUUAGUUUAUUGAUCGAAAAAUGCAGAAGACUUGAUACAAAUUUGAACAUUCAAGUGAACUUUUGAGCCUAAGAAUAGUUUAUUAUAUUUUACUCUAAUUGUUUUUUAUGAGUGUUAUCAAACUAGUAUGAUUAUUCUAUAACUUGCUUCUGAAUGCAUGUUGAGAACACAUCCUUGGAUUGAUGCUUUAAUAUGAAAAGGGCAACUAGGAUUAACCUAUUCUUAGACUCUUAAAAUACCUACCCUGUUGAUUUCCCUUUUAGUUAGCCACUUUGAGCCUAUUUUCCAUUUUUUUAACACUUGUUGUUUAACCCAAGACCUUUCAUUUGCUACCUCUAUUUUUUUACCCUUGUCAAGACAAGAAGGGAAGUGUUGCAUGGUACAAAUGAAACACAAAGAAAAGAGACAAAAAAAAUAGAAGAAAAAGAGAAGGGGAAAGAAAAGGAAAAGAGAAAAAGAAAGUUGAUAUCUAUUCCUUUCAUGAAAGAGGAGAAUUGAAGAAGUAUUUAUCAAAUAUACUGAAUUAAAUUGUUACUCUUCACAAGUUCUUAGUAUUCAUAUAAAAUGUGAGAAUAAACAUCAAAUUUUAAAAUUUUUUGUAGUAUGUUUCAUGGCGAUGUGGCAUAAGUUAUCAUGCAAGAAUCUAACCUUUUUGUCUUGAUAAGGAAACAUUUUAGUUCUUUCUUUUAUCACACCCUUUCCUAAACCCAGUUACAACCCUCGUGAAGUCCCUUUGAUUUUUGCGUCUAAUUCAUAUGUAGUGGUGGAGACUUGAUUCAUUAGCAACCUUAUGGUAAUAACAUGCUAUGUUUUGAUCCUGAGAGCAAAUGUACCCUAAACACUUUGAUGAAUUAUUGAGAUGCCUGUUCUUUUUACAAAAUUUAUCCUAUAAGUUCUAAUCUCUUGAUUGUCAUUAUUACUCAGCUCAUUGAUGUAUGUUUAACUUAUUUGAUAUUUGAGGAGAUUAAAAGAGAUAAAAGGAAGGUUAAAAGGAGAAUUGGUAUGUUGAAUUGAGGUAUGCUUGAGGACAAGCAUAAAUUAGGUGUGGAGGAAUUUGAUAGGUCAUAAAUAGUUAUACUUAUUGUGUUUAAUUCCCUUAUAAUUUGAUUGAAUAAUGUACUUAAUUAUGUAAAUUCUGUUUAUUCUGACUUAGGUGAUGAAAUAUCAAGGAUUGAGCAAAAUUCAGCCUAAAGACAUAUUUUAAGUCAUCACUUGUUAAAAACCAAGUCUUUCGGAGGAAAUGCAGAAAUCUGUACAGAAGAUCAUUGUCGAUAAGGCGUGACCACGCCUUACAACUCAUGAGCUCCGCAGAAAUCUGUACAGAAGACCAUUGUCGAUAAGGGGUGACCAUGCCUUACAACCCAUGAGCUCAGCAGAAAUCUGUACAGAAGACCAUUGUUGAUAAGGCAUGACCACGCCUUGCAACCCAUGAGCUGCUGAAACUUGCAAAAGAGAGCUUCAAAUUUUUCAGAGAUAAAUUUGUGGUGGACCCAUCUUUAGUUACUUUUCUUUAUUUUUAGAAGUGUUGGAUAAAGAGAACUUUCUCCUAUGUAUUUAGGAUUUUAAUUUGUUUAGAUUACUCUUUAUCUUAUCCUUCCUUCUGGGGAUAAGAUCAUAUAAGAAGCUUAUUUUUUUUUUAUAAGGAUUCUCUUAUUAGGGUUUAGGGUUUUACUUCCUAUAUAAGGACGGCUGGAAGUACUUUUAAUUAUUCUUAUUAUUCUUCUUCUUCUAUUCGCUACAAUUAUUUUCUUGUGAAUUCUUACUCUACCAUGUGUGGCUAAGUUUCUAGUUUCUAAUUCAAGAGUGAAUAAAUUCCAAUUGUGAUUUUGUGAGGCUUUGUGCUUAACAGAAUUCUUCUUUAAUUCAAGUAUUCUUUAUUUCUUGUUUUUAUUAUUUAUGAAUUAUUGAUAUUGAUUGAACUGACGACUCAACUUUGAUAUUGAUUUUUCUAUUGCUGAACUUUGAGUUUAUGAUUCGUAAUUAUCAUGAACGAUUGACACAAGUAGCAAGGAGCUGGCUCAUGUGUGUGCGAUUGCGGCUUAUUCGAAUUACAUAGCUUGCAUGAUAGGCUCUAGGGAAAUAAAGGAACAAGGUUAAUUCAAUUGCAGUUAUCUCAAUUAAUUAAUGUUGGUUUAGUCAUUCUCAUUAUUUUUAAUGCUAUCAUUAAGUUGAUAUGGAAAGCUAUCGUGCCCAGUUGACUAAUGGUAAGUUUUGAAUUGGAUGUUGGGUUUGAGUCAAUUAUAUUAGGAGAAUUACACCUGUUGCGGCUUUUUCGAAUAAGUAGACUAAGUAUUUGAAUAGAAGAAUUGAUAUUUUAGCCUAUGAUCAUGAUUAGAAUUGGAUGGAAUUAGCACUCUUGAAUUGGGAAUUUGUUAAGAUUGAUUUUUAUUUACUUUAAUAUUCAACCUUUAUCAUUUUCUAUUUAUUCAUAAUUUUGAUUCAAACAUUCAAAAUCCCCCUAUUUUUAUUUUACCUUGAGAAGCUAUCCACAUUGGUUCCCUUGGGAUUCGACUUGGUUUCACUAUUUUUACGAGUUAGUUUAGAAAAAUCAGUAAUUUAUUUUGAAGAGCUUCGACAACCUGUUCACUAUCACUUGUCAAAUUUGGUAGAUAAUUUUCUUGUCAUAGUGACCCAAAUUAUAAUCUCAGUCCAUCCUUUUUCACAGAAUUGAGUCCUGAGGAGUCUGAAGAUGUUCUUUUCAAGGAGGUAGUAGCAUUGCUUCUUCAUUAUCAAUAUUCUGUUCUUAAUUAUUUUUUACUAUUUUUAUAAAAUCCUUUGCAAUGGUUGAACCUGCUCAAUGAAAUUUGUGAUAUUUUCUGCAUAUGUUGUGGUUCUGGACCUUAAGAUUGAAGCUUGUGGUGGAUUGCUAAUGAAUUCGACCUAGAUCAUCCCGAAUAUAUUUACUAUCACUAGGCUGUUAUAUGUACCUUGUGUUAAAUCUCAACUAGUGAUGACCUUCUAUAAAUGCAAUUGGAUCACCUUUAGACAAUGAUUUCUCCCCUCUCAAAUCCUUAAAAUUAUUUCGUAAUUUUAACUUUUCUCACAAAAAAUAUUGAAUCUUUAAUCUUUAUUUAUUAAUUCUAUAUAUUCAUCCGGUCUAACUAUAUUUUUUACUUUUCUUCUUAAACUUUAUUAUUUUUAUACAAAUAAAAUUUUAUUUAUGGAUUAUACUUUUUGGAAAAAGAAUUCAGAUUUUUAGAUUCGAUUUUAAAUAAGUAAAAAUAGAUAAUAACCUCUAGACCGAUCAACCGACCCAUUGAGACUCCUAAUACAAGCAAAAGUCUUCCCUCCUCUUUUCCCUGAAUUUGAUCAGGAAAUUGUCACGUCCGGUCGCAUCAGUCUUUGGAUUCUCAUCUCUAAUCAAGAGUCGAUAGUUGAAAGAUGAAUAAGCUGAACCAACACAUGUAUUUCUUUAACUAUCCAAAAAGGAAGCAACAUAAUGAUCUAAGUGCUAAUUAAUGCCAAAGUUCCUUUUGUAGGUGGUUAGUUGCCGCUUGCCUGCUAGUUGUUUCAGCCUUUCAGGUUUUCUAUGUAAAAUUAAAAUGUAUCCAAGUUAGGUUUAAUAUAUAUCUUAUUAUUUUAAUGUGACUAUUAACUUCUCGGAAAUAAAAAUGUGAAUUUUAAGAGAGAAUCUUCAAAUUAACUUAAAAGGAAAAAGAACCACCAAUAGGAUUUGGCCUUUAAUUUGAGGUUAAAAGGUGAGCCAAUUGUAUACUAUAGAAUUAGGCAAAACCAAGUUUGAAGGGCAAAGUGUUUUUGUAGUUUGGAAGUGAAGACUCGUUUAAAGUGGUUAGGAGUCAUCCAUAUAUUUUUAUAUGUAUAUGUAAGCGUAUCUCACUUUUGGCUACACCUUGAAAAGUUGUAGCUUUUACAUGGUAUUGGUGUGUGAAUGUGCAUGGAAUCGGUAAUUAUAGGCACCGAUCUAAUGCUUCAACGAAUGUGAAGAAAGAAAAUUAGUUGAUCGUGUAUUGAUAUCAUUCUCUGACUAAUUGCGAAGGAAUCUUUUAGAUGAAAGAAGGAACACUGAAAAUCGAGGCAUGCCCAAAUAUUUUGACUCAGGCUUUGCACCAUUAGGAUCUCCAUCCUUCUUUGUUGCUCUGGGCACGAGGACUCCUGAUGAUGCAAGGUUGGUCAUAAGGACAUGGGAACGCAAUUAAUAAGCUUGAUUAGUGGCUUUGGGCUUAGUUUGAAGAUCAAGCAGGAGAGACGUAACUCCACACGUGUAUGGAGAAAUAAGGUUGUUUUCGAUUAAUUCAAGCAUAAUACAAGCCGAAAUUCGAGUACUUUAAUGUUUGAUAUGCAUAUAAUGAAGUAGUUUGGGUAGGAGUGUUUUUAGGUAGGCUUACCUGAAUUUACCCUUAUUUUUAUUAAGUUGGCACAUAAAAUUUAGGGCUACGACAGUUAUUGCCUAGUUAACUCCUCUCUAGUUCUUAAUUUGACUUUAGUUUAUUAAUAUCUAUUUAUUUAUAUAUUCAUAUUUAGCUUCUAGUCUCUUCUUAUAGAAUGAGGGCUUUUGCACUAUAAAAACCGCACGCAACUGAAUACUUGAAGCUAAUGAGGAUAAUAUUUCAGUUUUGUACUUUGUAAGAAAUCAAGUUAUGUGUUCUUUUAAGAAACUUGUGGACUUAUCAACAUUCGAACUAGCAAGCAUAAACUUAUCCCUCAUGUCCUUCCUUUCCCUUGUGUUCUUUGUCUACGCUUGUGUUUAAAUCAAUUCGAUUUGAUCCUUACACUUAGCCUUAUGGAAGAGAAUAAAGAACUUGUGAUUUCUUUCCUUAUUAGAUCAGAAAUCCUACUUAUAUUUUGUUUGUCUCUUUUGUGUCUCUCUUUCUAAUCUCUAUGUAGUAUGUUAGUUUGGUUUUAUAUAGGGAGAACAAACACGACUGUUGGGUGAAAGGGCAUGGACGCGGCAAUCAUAGACACCGACCUAAUGCUUAGAGGAAUCUGGAGAAAUAAAAUUAGUUAAUCGAAGGUUGAAAUCAUUCUCCAAAUGAUCAUAGAUGAAUCUUUUGGAGGAAAGAGGGAAAGAUAAAAAUCGAGUCAUGAACAAAUAAUCUGAUUUAGGAUUUACACCAUUAGGAUCUCCAUCAUUCCUUAUUCCUCUAGGCACGACGACACAUGAUGACACAGGGAUUGGCAUAAGGAAUCAUGGAAAUGCAAUUGAUAAGCUUUCCUGGUGGCAUUAGGACUUAGCUUUAAGAUAAAGUAGGAUAAGAUAUAAAUCCACUUGCAUAAGGGAGAAAUAAUAAUCUUAUCAAUGAACCGAAGCAUAAUAUAAUCAGGAUUGCGAGCCUUUUUAUCUUUAGUAUACAUAUAAUUAAGUAAUUUGGUUUGGAGUAUCCUUAUGUAGGCCCACAUGAAUUUCUCCUUCUUUCUGUUAAAUUGGUUCAUAAAAUCUGGGAUCUCCAUCAUUCCUUGUUCCUCACAUGAGGACUCCUGAUGACAUAAGGAUUACUGUAAGGAUUGGUUAACCACUCUCGUAGUCCCAAAUUUUAUGAGUCGGCUUAAUAAAAAUAAGGAGAAAUUCGUGUUGAGCUACCUAAUAACACUCUGACCCAGACUACUUGAUUAUAUGUGUCCUAAACAUCAAAACACUUACAUUUCCACUUGUAUUAUGCUUAGAUUUAUUGAAAACAACAUGAUUUCUUCCUUACGCACUUGGAUUUACAUCUUGUCCUACUUGAUCAUCAAACCAAUCCCCACGCCACUAGUUAGGCUUUUUAAUUGCAGUCGCAUGAUUCCUUUUGCCAAUCCUUGUGUCAUGAGGAGUUCUCGUGCAUAGAGGAACAAGGAAUGAUGUAGAUCCUAUUGGUGUAAACCAUGAAUCAGAAUACCUGGGCAUGUCUCAAUUCUCAAUGUUCCAUCUUUCCCCCAAAAGAUUCAUUUUCAAUCAUUUGAAGAAUGAUAUCAAUGCUCGAUCAACUAAUUUUCUUUCAUUGCAUUUGUCCAAACAAUAGAUUAGUGCCUAUGAUUUUUGCUUCCACGUGAUUUAACUUAACACUCCUAUUUAUGCUCGCCAAAUAAAACCAGACCAUCAUAUAAGACAUCGAUUAGAAAGAAACGAACAAAAGAAAAAAAAACAAAUGAGAACAUAGGCAGGAUUUCAUAUCCGAUAAGGAAAAAAAACACAAUUUCUUUAUUCUCUUCUAUGGCUAAGCGUAAGUAUCAAAUUGAAUUGAUCUAAACACAAGGGUAGACAAAGAACACAAGAAAAAGGAUGGACAUGAGGAAUAAGUCUAGGUUCGCUGUUGCGGAUCUUCAUAAGUAUGCAAGUUCUUGAAAGUACCCAUACCUUAAUUCUUUACAAGGUAACAAAUUGAAAUAAUAUGAUCACUAGCCACAAAUAUUCGAUUCCAUGCAAUUUUUAUAGUGUGAAAUCCCUCAUUCCAUAAGAAGAAGAAACUAGAAGCUAAAUAUGAGUAAAUAAAUAAAGAAAGAGGAAUAAACUAAAGUCAAAUCAAGAACUAGAGAGGAGUUGACUGGUUACCAACUCUCAUAGUCCUAAAUUUUAUGAGCCAGCUUAACGAAAACAAGAAAAAAUUCACGUGAGGGUACCUAAUAACACUCCGACCAAAAAUACUUCAUUUUAUCCAUCCCAAACAUUAAAGCGCUUGAAUUUUCGCUCAUAUUACACUUGGAUUAAUCGAAAACAACAUAAUGUCUCCCUUACGCGCAUGGAUUUAUAUCUCAUCCUAUUUGACCAUCAAGCAAAGACUCAAUGCCACCGAUCAACCUUGUCAAUUGCACUCCCAUGAUUCCUUACGCCAAUCCUUGUGUCAUCAGGAGUCCUCAUCCUUAGUGGAGCCAGUAAUAAAGGAGAUCCCAAUGGUGCAAAUCAUGAAUAAGAAUAUCUAGGCGUGCCUCGAUUCUCAUCCUUUCUCUUGUGUUCUUUGUCUAUCCUUGUGUUUACAUCAAUUUGAUUUAAGCCUUACGCUUAGCCGUAUGGAAGAGGACAAAGAACUUGUGAUUUCUUUCCUUAUCGGAUAUGAAAUCCUACCUAUAUUCUCAUUUUGUUUGUUUCUUUUAUGUCUCUCAUUCUAAUCUCUGUCUACUAUGAUGGUUUAGUUUUAUUUGGGGAGUAUAAACACGACUGUUGAGUGAGAGCACAUGAAAACGGUAAUCUUAGGCACCGAUCUAAUGCUUCGAUGAACGCGAAGGAAGAAAAUUAGUUGAUCGAGUGUUGAUAUCAUUAGCUGAUGAUCAAGCAGGACGAGAUGUAAAACCAUGCUCGUAAGGGAGAAAUCAUUUCUUUUUUUAUUAAUCCAAGCAUGAAUGAGCGUGUUUUGAUGUUUUGGAGACAUAUAAUGAUGUAUAUUGGGUUGAAAUGUUAUUAUGUACGUCCAUACAAUUUCCUCUUAUUUUCAUUAAGGAAUCAUAGGAAAGUAAUUGAUAAUCUUAACUGGCGGCAUUGGAGCAUGACUUGAUGAUUAAGUAGCAUGAGACACAAAUCGACAAGUGUAAAGGAGAAACUAUAUUGCUUUAGAUUAAUACAAGUUGGAAUGCAGACAUUUUGAUAUUUGGGAUGCAUAUAAUGAAUAAUUUGGGUCGGAGUGUGAUUAGGUAUACUCACAGGAAUUUUCCUUUGUUUUUGUUUAGCUGGCUCAUAAAAUUUAGAAAUAUCACAGUUAUUGUCCACUCAACUCCUCUCUAUUUCUUGAUUUGACCUUAGUUUAUUCAUCUUUCUCUAUUUAUUUAUUCAAAUUUAGCUUCUUAUUUCUUCUUUUUAUGAAAUGAGGGCUUUCACACUAUGUAAACCGCAUGCAAUUGAAUAUUUGGGUCUAGUGUGCAUAUUAUUUCAGUUUUCUACCUUGCGGAGAAUUAAGUUGUAGGUUCUUUCAUGAACUUUGUGGAUUUAUAAGAACCCGCACUAGCGAACUUAGACUUAUCGCUCAUGUCCUUCCUUCCAUUUAUGUUCUUUUGUUCGUCUCUUUCUAAUAUAUGUCUUGUAUAAUUAUUUGAUUUUAUUUGGCGAGCAUAAACAAGAGUGUUGAGUUAAAGCGUGUGAAAGCGACAAUCAUAGGGACUGAUCCAAUGCUUAGACAAAUGCAUAGAAAGAAAAUUAGUUGAUCGAGUAUUGACAUCAUUCUUUGAAUGAUCGCGGAUGAAUCUUUUGAAGGAGAGAGGGAAUGAUGUAAAUUGAGGCACACCAAAAUAUUUACGAUUCAGGAUUUUCACCAUUAGGAUCUCUGUCAUUCCAUGUUUCUCUAGGCACGAGGACUCCGUGAUGACACAAGGAUUGGCAUAAUGGAAAAUUGGAAUGCAAUUGACAAGCUUGACUAGUGACAUUGGGACUUAGCUUGAUGACCAAGCAAGAUGAGAUGUGAAUCCAUUCGUGUAAGGGAGAAAUCAUGUUAUUUUCGAUUAAUCCAAGCAUAAUACAAGCAGCAAUUUAACCAUUUUGAUGUUUAUGAUGCAUAUAAUGAAUUAAUUUUGGUCGGAGUGUUGUUAUAUUGGCCAUUGCAAAUUUUCAAUUAUUUUUAUGAAGCUCCCUCACAGAAUUUGGGCACCAGAGUUGUUGACCAGUCCACUACUAUCUGCUUCUUAAUUUAACUUUGGUUUAUUCAUCCUUUUUUAUUAUGUAUUCAUAUUUAGCUUCAAGUUUCUUCUUCUAAUAGAAUAAGGGCUUUCACACUAUACAAACUGCAUGCAACUGAAUACUUCAGGCUACUGAGCAUAUUGUUCUAGUUUUCUACAGUGCAGGAAAUCAAGUUGUGGGUUCUUUCAAGAACUUUUUUGGACUUAUCAAGACUCAUGCUAGCAAACUUUGACUUAUUACUUUUGUCCUUCCCUUCUUUUAUGUUCUCUAUCUACCCGUGUGUUUAAAUGUAUUAGAUUUGAUCCUUACACUUAGUCAUAUGGAAGAGAACAAAAAAAUUGUGAUCUUUUCCUUAUCAGAUCCAAAAUUCUACUUAUGUUCUCAUUUUUUUCAUCUCAUUGGUGCCUCUCUUUCUAAUUUUUGUUUUAUUUGAGGGUCUAGUUUUACUUGGGGAGUAUAAACAUUAGUGUUGAGAGAAAACUCGUUGAAGCGGCAAUCAUAGGCACUGAUCCAAUGCUUGGACAAAUGCAAAUAAAGAAAAUUAGUUGAUCGAGUAUUGAUAUCAUUCUCAGAAUGAUCCGGACAAAUCUUUUGGAGGAGAUAGGGAAUAGCGAGAAUCGAGCCAUGCCCAAAUAUUCCAAUUAAGGAUUUGCACCAUUGGGAUCUUCGUCAUUCCUUAUUUUUAUAGGCACGAGGACUCCUUAUGACACAAGGAUUUGAAAUAAAAUCAAUUUGAUCCUUAUGCUUAGCCGUUUGGAAGAGUACAAAGAAGUUUUGAUUUCUUUCCUUAUCAAACUCAAAAUCCCACCUAUGUAAUUAUUUUGUUCUUUUCUUUUUGCCCCGCUUUCUAAUCUCUGCCUAGUAUGAUGGUUUGGUUUGAUAUGGGGAGUAUAAACACAAGUGUAGAGUGAAAGUGCGUGGAAGCAACAAUCAUAGGCACUGAUCUAAUGCUUGGACAAAUGCCAAGAAAGAAAAUUAGUUGAUCGAGUACAGGCACCAUUGAGGUCUCCAUCAUUCAUUAUUCCUCUAACUCCCGAUGACAUAAGAAUUGGCUUAAGGAAUCAUGGGAAUGCAAUUCACAAGCUUGACUGGUGGCAUUGGAGUGUGACUUGAUGAUUAAGUAGGACGAGGUACAAAUCCAAGUGCGAGUUUUGAUGUUUGGGAUGCAUAUAAUGAUGUAAUUUCUGCCGAAUUGAUAAUAGGUAGGCCCUUGCAAAUUCUCCCUUAUUUUGUUAGGCUGGCUCAUAAAAUUUGGAACUACAAAUGUUGUUGACUAGUCAACUCCUCUCCGGUUCUUGAUUUGACUUUAGUUUAUUCAUCUUUCUUUAUUUAUUUAUUCAUAUUUAGCUUGUAGUUUCUUCUUUUUAUUGAAUGAGGGUUUUCGCACCAUGAAAAUGCAUGCAACUAAAUAUUUAAGGCUAUUUUGAGCAUAUUAUUUCAGUCUUCUAUAUUUCAGGACAUCGAGUUAUGGGUUCUUUCAAGAACUUUGUAGACUUGUGAAGACUCGUGGCGAACCUAGACUUAUCUCCCAUGUCCUUUCUUUUAUGUUCUUUAUCUACCAUUGUCUUUAAAUCAUUUUGAUUUGAUCCUUACAUUUGCCAUAUGGAAGAGAAUAAAGAACUGGUGAUUUCUUUGAUUUGAUCCUUAUAUUCUCAUUUUGUUCAUUUAUUUUUUCUCUUUUGAGUCAUAAAUCCACAUGAAUAAUGGAGUAGUCAUGUUGUUUUUUAUCAAUCCAAGCAUAAUACAAGUGGAAAUGCAAGUAUUUUGAUGUUUAGGACGCAUAUAAUGAAGUAAUUUGGGUCGAAGUGCUAUUAGUUAGGCCAAACAAGAUUUCUCUUAUUUUCGUUAAGCUGGCUCUUAAAAUUUAGGACUGUGAGAGUGUUUGACCAGUCAACUCAUGUCUGGUCCUUGAUAUGACUUUAGUUUAUUCAUCUUUCUUUAUUUAUAUAAUUAUAUUUAGCUUCUAGUUUUUUCUUCUUAUGUAAUAAGGGCCUUCCCACUAUAGAAACAACAUGCAGCCAAAUACUUGAGGCUAGUGAGCAUAUUAUUUUAUUUUUAUACCUUGUGGAAAAUCAAGUUAUUGAUUCUUUCAAGAACUUCGCGGACUUAUCAAGACAUAUACUUGUGAACAGAGACUUAUUCCUCAAGUCCUUCCUUUCUUUUAUAUCCUUUGUCUACCUUUGUGUUUACAGAAGUUUUAUUUGAUCCUUACGCUUAGCCGCAUGGAAAAGAAUAAAAAACUUGUGAUUUCUUUGUUGGAAAAACACACGCAGUGGCGCAGCAGAAGCUCUUAAAAAUUUCAUAUCUCAUAGAAAUUUAGAUUACAAGCUGCAAUUGAGGAUUUAAGUUGAAAAAGUAAAUAACUUUCUUUUAUGAACAUGAAGAACACAACUUUUCUUAAUUGUUGAUGAUAUUUAUGUUAGAGAAUUAAAUAGAGAUUCACAAUUGCGAACCCUUUAGAUUAUCUCACAUAAUCAAUUUUAAGGAAAGCUACUGAAUCAUUAAAGGUGAAGAACUCCUCUUCUUUCAAGUUUUCUACUAUGAUAACCUUAUUAUAAUCAUAAGUAUGUCGAAUUAUAUCACUAUAUAUGAUAAUGGGAGUAAGAAACUCUCUUAUAUAGUGUUAAGGAUUUAUAAUCCUUAACACAGUUGUACAAACACAUGUCACUAUAAAACUCUUUUGUGAUGACAUGUGUCAAGCAGUAUUAACACAUGUCAUCAUAAAACUCUUUUAUGAUGACAAAUGUCAAGCUAUAUUAACACAUGUUAUUAUAAAACUCUUUUGUAAUGACACAUAUCAGGUUGCUUUCUUGACAUAUGUCAUUAUAAAACCAUCUUAGUGAUGAUACUUAUCUAGUUGCUUUCUCUACAUAUGUCACCAUAAAUGCUUUUAUGAUGACACAUCUCAAGCUACUUUCUUAAUACAUGUCAUCAUAAACCCUUCUAUGAUGACACGUGUCAAGCUACUGUAUAAAUACAUGUCACUAUAAACUCUUUAUGAUGACAUGUGUCGAGCUUCUUCAAUAUAUAACACUUAUAUAUUAUACAUUAUUUAGACAUUUACGGACUUUACUUCGGAAGAUACUAGUGUCCCUACUUGAGGUACAAGCUAAGUCUAUCGCUGUGCUUGAGUUGAUCUUAACGUAUGUGACUUUCUAGGUUCAUUAUUAAUUAGUAAUGGGAGUUUAAUAUUAAACUCUUUAAUUUUAAUUAGAACACUUUAACCAACUAAUGGAACAAUCAAUUGUCCCUUAAUCAUUCCCAUAAAUUAUAAGUGACCUCUAGCAACAUAAAGGAAGGACGCGAGUCAUAAGUCUAGGUUCGCUAGUACGGGUCUUCAAAAGUCCGCAAAGUUCUUGAAAUAACCCAUAAAUUGAUUUUUCGCAAGGUAGAGAACUAAAAUAAUCUACCCACUAGCCUCAAGUAUUCAGUUGCAUGCAGUUUUUAUAGUGCGAAAGCCCUCUUUCCAUAAAAAGAAGGAACUAGAGGCUAAAUAUGAAUAGAUAAACAAAGAAAGAUGAAUAAAUUGAAGUCAAAUUAAGAACGAGAGAGGGAUUGAUUGGUCAACAACUCUCGUGGUUCCAAAUUUUAUGAGCCAGCUUAAUAAAAAUAAGGUGAAAUUCGUAUGAACCUACCUAAUAACACUUCGACUCAAAUUACUUUAAAUGAAUUUGAUUUGAUCCUUACACUUAGUUGUAUAGGAGAGAACAACAAACUGGUGAUUCUUUCAUUAUUGGAUCCAAAAUCUUACCUAUGUUAUCAUUUUGCUCGUUUGUUUUGUGCCUCUCUUUCUAAUCUCUAUCUACUAUGAUGGUUUGGUUUUAUCUAGGGAGCAUAAACACGAGUGUUAAGUGAAAGCGGCAAUCAUAGGCAUCGAUCCAAUGCUCAGACAAAUGCAAAUAAAUAAAAUUAGUUGAUGGAUCAUUUAGGCUUGGAACUUGAUCUCCUCAACUUAGUUAGCUAUUUGGCUCCUUAGGCUUGGGUUUGCAUCAGUUCCUCAAGGCACGAUGACUUUUAAUGGCACAAGCAUUAGAGUAAGGAAUCAUAGAAACUCAACUGACAAGCUUGACCGGUGGCAUUGAGGCUUAGCUUGAUGAUGAAACAAGAUAAGACAUAAAUCCACACGCGUAAAGGAGAAGUCAUGUUGCUUUUUAUUAAUCCAAGCGUAACAACAAGCAGCAAUGGGAGCAUUUUAAUGUUUGGAAGGCAUACAAUGAAGUAAUUUAUAUCGAAGUAUUAUUAGGUAGGUACACACAAAAAUGAAAUAGUGAAAUGGAGUAUAAUGAACAUCAAUGAGGCUAUGGAGAAGAUGCACUUAUAUAUGGUAGCCAACCAAAAGCCAUAUUAGAGCAAAUCAAAGCUAAUGCUAGUGCAGGAAACAAUAGGCAGAACUUGGUAGGCAAUGAGAAAGAUUUAGACUUGGUCUAUGAUGAUGAUGAUAAUGCCACAACUGUGGAUGUUGGCCGUGGCAUGGGUUGAGGAGCUAAAGGAGGCUGAAACAAUGCAAUAGGUAGAGGGAAUAGUGGAGGUGAGUUUGGUGGUUACUAUUGGUAUAAUGAUGAUGUCGAUAGAAACUUGGAUAGCAUCAAACUUAGGAUUCCUACUUUUUAGGAAAAUCAUAUCCGGAGGCAUAUUUGGAGUGUGAAAAGCAAGUAAACCUUAUCUUUGAUUGUCCUAAUUUUUGUGAGGAAAAGAAGGUAAAGUUAGUGGUUACUAAAUUUUCUGAGUAUGCGAUAGUGUGGUGUGAUCAAUUGGUGGCGAGUAGGAGAAGAAACAUGGAAGCGCCUAUUGAUACUUGGCAUGCUCUCAAAACCAUCAUGAAAAGACAUUUUGUACCUAGACAUUACCAUAGAGAAUUACAUCAAAGACUCCAAGCUUUAAAGAAAGGUAUUAGGAAGGUAGAGGAUUAUUAUAAGGAAAUGGAGAUGCUCAUGACAAGGACUGAUUUUGAUGAACCCAUAGGAAAUGGCAUGUUUUAUUAUUGGGCUUAAUAAGGAGAUUGCGAAUAGGGUCGAAUUACAACAUUAUGUAGAACUUGAGGAGUUAGUUCAUCUUGCAAUUAAGAUUGAAAAGUAAUUAAAACCAAGGGGCGCAACAAGGUUGGAACAAAAAGGCACUUCAAGCAAUAGGCCUAAUUGGUCUAAUCAAUAGAAAGAAAAUAAAAGAGGAGAUGAUAUGGUUGUUUUUUAUGGGAAAAGAGUAAGAAUGUUUUAGGCAACAAGGUGAUAUGGAACCUCCAUGAAGCUUGAGGACUCCUUUUGAAUUGCGGAUCCCCAACAGAUUAACACGAAAACUCAAAGAACCAAUUCGGUUCAACCCCUAAGAAAGGUUAGAAAACAUAUUACUUAGAAAGAUGAUCAAGAAUUAGAACCUAAGGAAAACUAAGUCCUUUAAACCCUAAUUCCAAGUACACCACAAGGAUAGAUUUACUCCUUGAUAAGUAAGAUUUUCAUUCAAAUAAGACCACAAAGACAAAGCAAAAGCUUUAAGGUUUACAAACCAAUUAUCAUUCAACUUCAACUUCAACUUAAUUUUUUUUUAAAUCAAAAUUCGUACUAGCCUUAUAUAGGCCUUAGAAAAUCCUAAAUCAUAAGUUAUAAGAAUUUACAUCUCAUAUAGGAUAAAGAUAACCUUCAUAACUAAAAGAGAUAACUUAAACAAAGUCCUAAUUAGGUUAAAAAAACAUGUGUAGCCGCCCAUAAUAAGCCAUAAAACCCUAAUUUACAUAAGUCAUGUAGAUGGGACUCAUAACAUAAGCCAAGUUAGGCCUAGAGUCUUCAUAUGAUCCAAUUUAACUUCUUUAGUUUUCUUAACCCCAAUUAGAUUCAUUCAAGCCUAAUAAACUGAAUUAGAUUAAUGAGCCUUGAACCAUUGUAAGUGAUAGGGAUGUUAAAUUCUUAAGUCAUUUUUUUGGCGUGUGUUAUGGGUAAGUUAGGCACUAAAUUAUUAUUUUAUACUACUUGCCAUUCAUAAACAUAUGGACAAAUCAAAGUUGUUAAUAGAACUUUGGUUCAACUCCUUUGUUCUUUAAUUUCUAGGAAUUUUAAAUCUUGGCAGGAUCUUUUGCCAUAUGUGGAGUUUUCAUACAAUAGGGUUAUUCAUAGCAUUACACAUUGUUCUCCAUUUGAAAUUGUUUAUGGUUUUAACCCAUUAACUCCUAUUGAUCUAGUUCCUUUGCCUCUUAACAAGCUUGUUAAUGUUGAUGGUUCUUCUAAGGUAGAUUUGGUUAAAAGGCUACAUGAACAAAUUUAAGAGAGGAUUGAGUAGCAAAAUACUAGAGUAAUCGAAAGACUUAACAAAGGAAGAAGGCCAAUGGUGUUCCAACCUAGUGAUUGGAACUAAGGUUUUUGCAAGGAAAAGUUCCCAAAUCAAUGAAAGCCAAAGCUAAGUCCAAGGGAUGAUGGACCAUUUCAAGUACUUGAGAGGAUAUACGACAAUGCUUACAAAAUUGAUUUAUAAGGUAAGUAUAAUGUGAGUGGCAGAUUUAAUGUUGCUGAUUUGAGUCCUUAUGAUAUAGGUGAUAAGUUUGAUUCAAGGACGAAUCAUCCUAAAGAAGGAGGGAAUGAUAUAGAUCGGCCAAGGCUUAAAUAUGUUGAUUUGGUUGGGCUUGAUGAUAAGGGCAGCAAGAAAGAAUCAAGGAAGGAUCCAUUAAGUUUAUCAUAAAGUCCAAUUAUAAGAUCAAAGGCCAAGAAGCUUCAAAAGCCCUUAAAUAGCUAUAUGCAAGAGUGGGCUAACAAUGGAAGUCCAAUAGAAAAACGCCCAAAUGAAAUUCAUAAAGAAUGGACUUUGUUUAAUGUUCUUAAAGUCCAAGUUUAUGAAGGAUUUGUUUAGCUCGUAGUAUCCUAUUUGGUUAAAUGUUAAAGUUUCCUAAGUUUGUGAAGAAACUUAUAUUAGAUCAUAUUAGUUAAGUAAGAGUUCUUGAUGCGAAUCCUACAAGCACAAGGAAUCCUACUCCGACUAGGAAUCCUACUCUAACUAGGAAUCCUACUUGAAUUAGGAGUCCUAAUCCCACGAGGAGUCCUACUCGAACUAAAAGUCCUACUUCCACUAGGAAUCUUAGUCUGAUGAGGAGUCCUACUCCAGUUAGAAAUCCUAAUCCAACUAGGAUUAUACACGAGCCACUCAAAUAUGAUGGACCAAUUACUAGAGCUCAUAUGAAGAAGUUCAAGGAUGCUUUAGGAAUGUUCCUGAAGCAAGAGUUGAAGCUUAGGUUGGAGAUCCAAAGUCCAAGUGAGAUUGGGCUUAAUUAAGACAAUUGGCCUCAAGAUACUCAUAUAAACUUAGUUCUAUAUAUGGAGGCUUGAACUAGUCAAAAUAGGCCCAAAAUAAACAAGUCAAGCUAAUACUCAAGAAUUGGUCGCUUAUUACAUGUUACUUAAGCCCAAAUGUCAUGUUUAUUAUAUGGGCUAGGGUUGGACGAAUUUCAGGAGUAUUUUUUCAUUUAAAGAAGUCUUUUAAUAGUUCAGAAUCUUAUUUUAAGUUAUUCUUUUAGUUUAGGAGUUCUAUUCCUAGUUGUUAUUGUUAUUGGCUUCCUUAUUAUUAUAGAAUUAGGUUUUUCUAAGGCCUAUAUAAGCUUGUACGAAUUUCUAUGUAAAGUUUGGUUGAAUAUUGUUUAUUUUAGAGUUAAUUCUCUUAUUCUGUUCUUUAUAAACCUGGUGAAUUUGUGAAUUUAUCUAGUGAAUGCUUGAUAUUUUACAAAUUUAGUUUAAUCUAAACUUUUAUUUAUAUUAAACAACCUUUAAUUCUUUAUAAUUAAGGUUCUUAAGUACAAGUUAUUUAAGGCUCUGGUUGGGAGUUAUAGUUUCUUUGCUUAAUUAAGUGAACGAUCCUUAGUAAAGACAUCAAUAUUGAAUAUAGGUUAGGCAUAAGUUAGCCAUGUUUAUAUCAAUUCUAUUCUUCUUAGGAUUUUAGAAAUGUCUUUAAAACAUAUCAAAUUGGUAUGCCAUUUUUCAAAUUAUGAUCAAGAAUUGGUCGCUUAUUACAUGAUCAAUUAAAUUGUUUUAUGUUUCUCCUAAUUCUUCUUCUACGGCUAUGAAAACAGGGGUAUAAAAUUCUGCUCUGAAAUAGAAUUUAAGGACUAUGAAAUCACUUCACACCAUUAAUAUAUAAUUGCAAUUAUAAUAUAGAAUAAAAAUAAGUAACUUGCCCAAAUCAAUAGUGAAAUUAACAAGAUUUAGGUUUAGGAAUUUGAGAGAAGAAAGGAAAGAAAUUAGAUAUAGAUAUUUUUUUUGAUACCGGAGUUAUAGCUUAAUGAGGAGAUAAACUAGAGUUUUCUAGUUUUUUUUCACAAGAUAAGGACACUCCCAUACACAUCCACUACCUCCAUAUACAUCCUUUAUCUUAUAUUUAUUAUUAUUAUUAUUAUUAUUAUUAUUAUUAUUAUUAUUAUCAUUAUCAUCAAUCUUUUUGUUAUAUUUUAAUCAAUUAUCAAAUAGAAGUCCAAAUCAAUCUAUAUAAAUAAGUCAACUAGAUUCAAUUUCUUACAUAUUUAUUUAUUGACUCAAAUUUCAAUUUUAUAAUACCUCAAAUACAUCCUAUAUUACACAUACUAAAAUAUGCCACUACAAUGCACUUUGACAAAUAUAAAACAAAUGAAAGAUGUGGAAUUCACAUAAUGAAAUGGAAUGAUUUGAGAUGCAUAUGUUUAAGUUAUUUUAUGCAAUACAUGCAAAUUUAAAUGAAAUGCUUAUGGUUAAAGUCAAUGAAGUUAUAUUCAAUACCUGCGAAUAAAUAGGGAUAUUGUCGCUUCAUAUUCUCCUCAGUUUCCCAAAUAGCUUCUUCCUAUGAAUGGUUCCUCCACAACACUUUACUCAAGAAAAUUUCUUGGUUCCGUAACUGCGUUGUCUUAUAACCAAUGAUCUUUACCGGUUCUUCAACAUAAUUCAAAUUAUCGGCAAUUUCCACUUCUUGAUUUUUAAGUAUAUAUGUAGGAUCAUAUCGAUAUCUUCUAAGCAUACUCACGUGAAACACAUCAUGGAUCUGGGCCAAUUUUGGUGGUAGUGCUAACCUAUAAGCUAAUGGACCAAUUAUUUCAAGAAUUUCAUAUGGCCCUAUAUAUCGAGGACUCGACUUGCCUUUUUUGCCAAAUAUGAUUGCUCCUUUCCAUGGUAAAACUCAAAGAAACACUUUAUCACCCAUUUCAUAUUCCAUUUCUCUCUUAUGCUGGUCUGCAUAGCUUUUUUUGUUUAUCUUGUGCUGCUUUGAGUCUACUUCUGAUUAGUUUUACUUUAUCCACUGUAUCUUACACUAUUUUAGGGUCUUCUAAUACACGCAUACCUUCUUCAUUCCAAGAAAUGGGACUAUGACACUUUCUUCCAUAUAAUGCCUCGUAUGGUGCCAUUUGGAUACUGUUGUUGAUAGGAAAUCAUCAUCUUAGCAACCACACACCCCAAUAACUAAUGAGUUAUGAUCCAUAUGGAGUGCAAGAAAACACCCUCCAAUCAAGAUGAUUCCAAAACCCAAGGAUCUCCUCAAGUGAAGUUAGGAAAAACUAGUUCCAACGAUGAAACUAGCACUUGAAUUCAACUCCAAACGCCACAAACCAAGUAUGAUUUGAUAAGUUAUGAAUCAAACACAAGAUUUUGGUUAAAGAACGCCAUAAACUAAAAAUAGUUUGAUAAGUUCAAAGUUCAUGCAAGAACUUAAGUAAAAACACUCACAAAGAGCAAACAAAGAUUAUCAUUCAAAAUUCUAUAUUUACAAAUGAAUUUGGCUUUGGUAUUUAUAGCCAAAACAAGACAAAGAAAACCUAAAUGGAUGUCUUUUGAACUUUCCCACGUUUUCCCCUUUAAUUCCCCUUAAAACUCAUCAAAAUGGUUGUUUUUUUAAAUUGAUAGCACUCAUUUUAUAACUCCCAAAUGACAACUAAACAUGUGCACUCAUUUGUAACUCCACACAACACACAUAUAACUCACACCUAAUAAAAUAAUCAUUAAUUAAAUAAAAAUAAACUAAAAUAAUUACUUAAGCUAAAACCCAAAAGAUAAAAACCCAUAUAAAUAUGAAUUAAGUCCAAAGGCCUAAUCAUAGCCAAAUGGCUUUUAUUCUUCAAAAUGGACUGAAUGCUUCAUUAUAAGGUUGGACUCUUGUUUUCAUACAUGAGUUGCAUUUCCAUUUUGGACCUUUUGGUACAUGCCUUUGCAAUGGAAUUUCAUGGCAGCCUUGAUUCAUAUCAUUCCCCCUUUCUUGAAAGAAAAUUCGUCCUCGAAGUUUGCCCAAAUAUUGCGAAAGAAAUAAACAUAUAAUAUCAAACGAUAAUAGAAUGCCAUCAUCAACCUGAAAUUCCUUUGCAAUAGUGAUUAGAGGAUCUUUAAAACAAUUAAUAUUUUUAGUACCAAUAAAUCCAACAUGCUCAAAAGGUUUAACAGCUUCAUUAUUCACUAAUUGAAUCUUUGCUUCUUCAUUAACAAUAAACUCUUCAUUGUUGAAUUUAUUUAGAGGUAGCAAAUCAUUGUCUUCCUCGCCAUCUUCAAUUAUCACGUCUUCAGAAUCUAUAUUGACUUCAGUAGAGCAAUUUACCUCAUCUACUCCAUUGAUGUUAGUCUUCAAUGAUGACUUAGAAUCUUCUUUAUCUAUAAGAUGCUUAAGAAAGGUGUUAGUCAACAUAUUGAACUCUUCAAGCCCAUGCUUAAAUGCUUCAAAACUUAUUCUUAAAGAUUUGUUCUCCUUUGAAAAUUCAUCAAUAAAAACUUGACUUGGUUGUCUAUCUAACCUCUUAGGUUUAGGCUUAGAAGAAUAAAAAUUUUGUCUACACUCUUCAUAAUGAUUAUUUCUUUGACCCCACAUCUUAUCAUAAGAUUGAUAACGAAGAUUUCGACAUUGUCUAAUGAACUCAGCUUCAUGAAACAUUCUUUUUUUUUGUGUCUAUGGAUGAAAUAAAGAUAAAAAUAAAGAACCACAAAGAAGUUUGAAGGAAAGAACAAAAGAUAUAAUACGAAAUUCAAAGGAAAAGAAAAGAAAAACUACAUAAAGAGAUUGACAAGAAGGGAAAACAAAAAUUUAUUUAGUGAACACAAAGGUGUAAACUUUAAAACAGAGAGUACUUAAAAGGAAAAAUUGAAAUAAGAAGAAUUCGGCACUAAAAAAAAGCAAAGAAGAUGAGAAACUCCAAUAACACACAAAACACAAAGAUAAGCAAACCUCAACUUGAAGCAAGCUCUGAUACCAAAUGAUAGGAAAUCAUCAUCUUAGCAACCACACACCCCAAUAACUAAUGAGUUAUGAUCCAUAUGGAAUGCAAGAAACACUCUCCAAUCAAGAUAAUUCCAAAACCCAAGGAUCUCCUCAAGUGAAGUUAAGAAAAACUAGUUCCAACAAUGAAACUAGCACUUGAAUUCAACUCCAAACGCCACAAACCAAGUAUGAUUUGAUAAGUUAUGAAUCAAACACAAGAUUUUGUUUAGAGAACGCCACAAACUAAAAAUAGUUUGAUAAGUUCAAAGUUCAUACAAGAACUUAAGCAAAAACACUCACAAAGAGCAAACAAAGAUUAUCAUUCAAAAUUCUAUAUUUACAAAUGAAUUUGGCUUUAAUAUUUAUAGCCAAAACAAGACAAAGAAAACCUAUAUGGAUGUCUUUUGAACUUUCUCACGUUUUCCCCUUUAAUUCCCCUUAAAACUCAUUAAAAUGGCUGUUUUUUUAUAUUGAUAGCACUGAUUUUGUAACUUCCAAAUGACAACUAAACAUAUGUACUCAUUUGUAACUCCACACAACACACAUAUAACUCACACCUAAUAAAAUAAUCCUUAAUUAAAUAAAAAUAAACUAAAAUAAUUACUUAAGCUAAAACCCAAAAGAUAAAAACCCAUAUAAAUAUGAAUUAAGCCCAAAGGCCUAAUCAUAGCCAAAUGGCUUUUAUUCUUCAAAAUGGACUGAAUGCUUCAUUAUAAGGUUGGACUCUUGUUAUCAUACAUGAGUUGCAUUUCCAUUUUGGACCUUUUGGUGCAUGCCUUUGCAAUGGAAUCUCAUGGCAGCCUUGAUUCAUAUCAGUUGUGAUACUGAUUGUUAUAAGCAAACUCCAUUAAACCAAUAUGCUCAUCCCAUGCACCUUUAAAUUCUAAUACACAAGCUCGGAGCAUAUCUUCAAGUGUUUGAAUUGUUCUUUCUGAUUGCCCAUCUGUCUGAGGAUGAAAAGCAGUGCUGGAAUUUAAUUUAGUACCCAAAGCCUCAUUUAAACUCUCACAAAAGCGAGAUGUAAACCAUGGAUCCUUGUUUGAUACAAUGGAAACUAGAAGUCCAUGCCAUCUAAAAAUUUCAUUCACAUAUUGUUUGGCUAAAAAUUCAAGUGAACUACUCCAUUUGAUAGGCAAAAGGUGAGCUGACUUAGUUAAUUGAUCGACAAUCACCCAUAUAGCAUCAUUCUUUCUUGGAGUUUUUGGUAAUCCACAUACAAAAUCCAUCGUUAUUCUUUCCUAUUUCCAUACCGGAAUUGACAAAGGUAUCAACUUUCCAACUGGAGCUUGGUUUUCUGCUUUAACUUGUUGACAUGUUAAACAUUUUGAAACAUACUCUGCCACAUCUUUCUUCAUUUUAGGCCACCAAUAAUGGGGUCGUAAGGUGUUGUACAUUUUGGUCAUCCCCGGGUGCAUAGCAUAUGGAGCAUUAUGUGCCUCCUCUAAAAUUUCUCGGUGUAGGUUAUCAACAUCAGGUACACAAAUACGAGAUCCCAUCAUCAAGGUAUCAUUCUGAACAUUAAACUCUUUAUUUUCCCCUUACUUUACUUUGUUAAUCUUUUCUUGCAAUUGUGGAUCCUUGCUUUGUGCUUCCUUAAUUCUGUUAUGCAAUAUUGGUCUAACUUGCAAAGUAGCAAUCAACACUCCAUUUUCUUGCAAAUUUAAUUUGACAUUCAUAGCUCGCAACUGAACCAAAGAAAAGAAUGGAAAUACUUGUAAAUAAGCUACACUACUUCUUGUCUUCCUACUCAAAGCAUCAGCUACUACAUUUGCUUUUCCUAGAUGAUACUCAAUUGUGCAGUCAUAAUCCUUCAACAAUUCUCUUGUCUCAUAUUUAACUCUCUUUGGCUCAAUAAGUAUCUCAGACUCUUAUGAUUAGUAAAUAUCUGAAAUAUUUCUCCAUAUAAAUAAUGCCGUCAUAUUUUCAAAGCAAACACAACAGCAGCAAGUUCUAGAUCAUGUAUUGGAUAAGAUAACUCAUAUGGCCUUAGCUGUCUAGAUGCAUAUGCAAUCACCUUACCAUGUUGCAUUAACACAAAUCCCAAACCCUGAUGAGAAGCAUCACUAUAAACUAUAAAUCCUCCAUUACCUGUGGGAAUUGUUAACACUAGAAUAGUUGUCAACUUGGUUUUCAAGUCAUCGAAACUCUUCUGACAUGCUUCAGACUAUUCAAUACAACAUUUUUUCGAAGUAAAUUUGUCAAAGGGUUGGCUAUCAGUGAAAAUCCCUCAACAAACCGGCGAUAAUACCCAGCUAAUCUUAAGAAACUUCGAACUUCUACAACAUUCUAUCACUAUUGCUUCUAUUUUCUUUGGAUCCACUUCUAUGCCCCGUCUAAAAAUAACAUGUCCCAAAAAUACUACCUCAUCUAUCCAAGACUCACAUUUACUCAACUUAGCAUACAAUUAUUUCUCUCUCAAGGUUUGUAACACAAUUCUUAAAUGAUGUUCAUGUUCCUACCUACUUCUUGAAUAGACAAGUAUGUCAUCAAUGAACAAAAUCACAAAUUUGUCUAAGUAGCACUGAAACACCUUGCUCAUGAGAGCCAUAAAUGCAAUUGGUGCAUUAGUUAAACCAAACGGUAUCACUAAAAAUUCAUAGUGCCUGUACUCGGUUCGAAAAGCAGUCUUUGGUACAUCAGGGUCUGAAAUUUUAAGCUGAUAGUAGCCUGAUUUCAAUCAAUCUUGNNNAUGAUUUUGCAAAUAUUUGCCAAGCCGGUCACAACAUCCUUUUAUAUCCGUAAGCAAGUGCUCAAAUGUAGAAUUUGCAUUGAACUUAUAAACACUUGUAUAUAAACAUAACCAUCAAUAAACAAACUACAUACAUUUAAAUAAUCAAAACAAUUCACCUCAAUCACAUAAUUUCACCAUAUGUUCACACUAAUCUCAAUCACACAAUUUCACCCAAGAAGUCGAUCAAUAUUUAUACUCACUUUUUAGAUAUUAAUUACGUUAUGGACAACCUGUAUUUCCGUCUCGAACUUCAUCGAUGCCUUGAGAUCCUAAAAUAUAACAUAUAUUUGGUCAAAAACAUACCUACAAUAGUGUUUACACUUGGUAUAUGAUUAGUAUAUUUUCAGGAUAUGCUAUUUAUAUGUGUAAGCUUAACAUUUAUGCACAAUUCUUUCCUAUUUGACAGCUUAACCUUGCUAGACCUGAGAGUGAGUAACUUUCACCACACAAUUCUAAAUUAGUUGACUCAUUUUUUUUAUAAAACUAGACACACAAGACUAUAACAUAUCCAAAAGUUAUCACAAUAUAAGCUCUUCAUAAUUAAUGGUGAAUUUUUGAAUCCAAAUCUGUGCUCUGCACAAUAACAUUUUGAGCAAGUCUCAUUCAGUUUAGAAUUUCUCAAGUUACACAAGUCCAAUUGAAAAAUCCUAUUCUAAAAACUUCAAUAACAUAUAAAGGAACAACUUUCAUGUUUUAAACUUCAUCUAGUUUAGCCUCUAAAGUCCUCAUAGUAUUUGGGAAACACCAUACUGCCUGCAGACAAAGCAAACAGAACCAACCUCACUCCAAGGGCGAUUUCUCAUUACACAUAUAUUAUUUCAUUAAACUGCAUCAGAUGGUUUUAGAUAACAUAAAAGGAACAAAACUCAUGGUUAAUAAUUUGUCUAAUUCAGCCCCUAAGGGUCUUAUAUUUUAUUAAAUAAAGGAAAACCCCAUGUAGUAGAUACAAUUGAACCAGUCCCAAUCAAAGAAGAAUUUCUCAUCACACACAGCAAAUCUCGUGAAAAAAUUUUAUUGGCAUGAAGAUGAGACAUAAAUUUACAAGUUUCACGUUUUAUGUUUCUCCUAAUUCUUCUUCUACGGCUAUGAAAAUAGGGGUACAAAAUUCUGCUCUGAAAUAGAAUUUAAGGACUAUGAAAUCACUUCACACCAUAAUCAUAUAAUUGCAAUUAUAAUAUAGAAUAAAAAUAAGUAACUUGCCCAAAUCAAUAGUGAAAUUAACAAGAUUUAGGUUUAGGAAUUUGAGAGAAGAAAGGAAAGAAAUUAGAUAUCGAUUUUUUUUUGAUAUCGGAGUUAUAGCUUAAUGAGGAGAUACAUUAGAGUUUUCUAGUUUUUUUUCACAAGAUAAGGACACUCCCAUACACAUCUACUACCUCCAUAUACAUCCUUUAUCUUAUAUUUAUUAUUAUUAUUAUUAUUAUCAUUAUCAUCAUUCUUUUUGUAAUAUUUUAAUCAAUUAUCAAAUAGAAGUCCAAAUCAAUCUAUAUAAAUAAGUCAACUAGAUUCAAUUUCAUACAUAUUUAUUUAUUGACUCAAAUUUCAAUUUUAUAAUACCUCAAAUACAUCCUAUAUUACACAUGCUAAAAUAUGCCAUUGCAAUGCACUUUGACAAAUACAAAACAAAUCAAAAAUGUGGAAUUCACAUAAUGAAAUGGAAUAAUUUGAGAUGCAUAUGUUUAAGUUAUUUUAUGCAAUACAUGCAAAUUUAAAUGAAAUGCUUGUGGUUAAAGUCAAUGAGGUUACAUUCAAUACCUGCGAAUAAAUAGGGAUAUUUUCGCUUCAUAUUCUCCUCAGUUUCCCAAAUAGCUUCUUCCUAUGAAUGGUUCCUCCACAACACUUUACUCAAGAAAAUUUCUUGAUUCUGUAACUUUGUUGUCUUAUAACCAAUGAUCUUUACCGGUUCUUCAACAUAAUUCAAAUUAUCGGCAAUUUCCAUUUCUUGAUCAGAUUGAUAUCUUCUAAGCAUACUUACUUGAAACACAUCAUGGAUCUGGGCCAAUUCUGGUGGUAGUGCUAACCUAUAAGCUAAUGGACCAAUUAUUUCAAGAAUUUCAUUUGGCCCUAUAUAUUGAGGACUCGACUUGCCUUUUUUGCCAAAUAUGAUUGCUCCUUUCCAUGGUGAAACUCAAAGAAACACUUUAUCACCCACUUCAUAUUCCAUUUCUCUUCUAUGCUGGUCUGCAUAGCUUUUUUUGUCUAUCUUGUGCUGCUUUGAAUCUACUUUUGAUUAGUUUUACUUUAUCCACUAUAUCUUACACUAUUUUAGGGUCUUCUAAUACACGCAUACCUUCUUCAUUCCAAGAAAUAGGACUAUGACACUUUCUUCCAUAUAAUGCCUCGUAUGGUGCCAUUUGGAUACUGUUGUGGUUCUGAUUGUAAAUCGUGGAUCCCUGUUUGAUACAAUGGACACUGGAACUCUAUGCCAUCUAAAAAUUUCAUUCACAUAUUGUUUAGCUAAAAAUUCAAGUGAACUACUCUAUUUGAUAGGCAAAAAGUGAGCCGACUUAGUUAAUCGAUUGCCGAUCACCCAUAUAGCAUCAUUCUUUCUUGGAGUUUUUGGUAAUCCACAUACAAAAUCCAUCGUUAUUCUUUCCCAUUUCCAUACUGGAAUUGACAAAGGUAUCAGCUUUCCAACUGGAGCUUGGUUUUCUGCUUUAACUUGUUGACAUGUUAAACAUUUUGAAACAUACUCUGCCACAUCUUUCUUCAUUUUAGGCCACCAAUAAUGGGGUCGUAAGGUGUUGUACAUUUUGGUCAUCCCUAGGUGCAUAGCAUAUGGAGCAUUAUGUGCCUCCUCCAAAAGUUCUCGGCAUAGGUUAUCAACAUCAGGUACACAAAUACGAGAUCCUAUCAUCAAGGUAUCAUUCUGAACAUUAAACUCUUUAUUUUCCCCUUGCUUCACUUUGUCAAUCUUUUCUUGUAAUUGUGGAUCCUUGCUCUGUGCUUCCUUAAUUUUGUUAUGCAAUAUUGGUCUAACUUGCAAAUUAGCAAUCAACACUCCAUUUUCUUGUAAAUUUAAUUUGACAUUCAUAGCUCGCAACUGAACCAAAGAAGAGAAUGGAAAUACUUGUAAAUAAGCUACACUGCUUCUUGUCUUCCUACUCAAAGCAUCAGCUACUACAUUUGCUUUUCCUGGAUGAUACUCAAUUGUGCAGUCAUAAUCCUUCAACAAUUCUUUUGUCUCAUAUUUAACUCUCUUUGGCUCAAUAAGUACCUCAGACUCUUAUGAUUAGUAAAUAUCUGAAAUAUUUCUCCAUAUAAAUAAUGUCAUCAUAUUUUCAAAGCGAACACAAUAACAGCAAGUUCUAGAUCAUGUAUUGGAUAAGAUAACUCAUAUGGCCUUAGCUGUCUAGAUGCAUAUGCAAUCACCUACCAUGUUGCAUUAAUACACAUCCCAAACCCUGAUGAGAAGCAUCACUAUAAACUACAAAUCCUCCAUUACCUGUAGGAAUUGUUAACAUUGGAGUGUUGUCAACUUGGUUUUUAAUUCAUCGAAACUCUUCUGACAUGCUUCAGACUAUUCAAAUACAAUAUAUUUUUGAAGUAACUUUGUCAAAGGGUUGACUAUCAGUGAAAAUGCCUCAACAACCCGGCGAUAAUACCCAGCUAAUCUUAAGAAACUUUGAACUUCUACAACAUUCUGUCACUACUGCUUCUAUUUUCUUUGGAUCCACUUCUAUGCCCUGUCUAAAAAUAACAUGUCCCAAAAAUACUACCUAAUCUACCCAAAACUCACAUUUACUCAAUUUAGCAUACAAUUGUUUCUCUCUCAAGGUUUGUAACACAAUUCUUAAAUGAUGUUCAUGUUCCUCCCUACUUCUUGAAUAGACAAGUAUGUCAUCAAUGAACAAAAUCAUAAAUUUUUCUAAGUAGCACUGAAACACCUUGCUCAUGAGAGCUAUAAAUGCAAUUGGUGCAUUAGUUAAACCAAACGGCAUCACUAAAAAUUUAUAGUGCCCGUACUUAGUUCGAAAAGCAGUCUUUGGUACGUCUGGGUCUAAAAUUUUAAGCUGAUAGUAGCCUGAUUUCAAAUCAAUCUUGGAAAACACUUGAGGUCCCUGCAAUUGACCGAACAGAUCAUCUAUUCUGGACAAAGAAUAUUUGUUCUUCACGGUGACCUAAUUUAACUGCCUAUAAUCGAUACACAACCUCAUUGUCCCAUCUUUCUUUUUCAUAAAUAGCACUAGGGCACCCCAAGGUGACACACUGGGCCUAGUGAACCCCCUGUCAAAUAGUUCGUGCAACUGAGUUUUCAAUUCUUUCAAUUCAACUCAUGCCAUCCUAUAAGGUGAAAUAGUUAUUGGUGCUACUCUUGGUACUAGUUCAAUUGUGAAUUCCACUUCUCUAUCAGGUGGCACACCCGGUAAAUCAUCUGGAAACAUAUCUAGAUAUUCAUUUACCACUGGGAUAUUUUCAAUUGUAUUAUUUGUAGUUCUGGUAUCUAUCACAUGUGCUAGAUAAGCUUCACAACUGCUUUUAACCAUUCGGAGAGCCUUUACAACAUAAAUUAAACAUGCAGGCACAAUUUGUCUUUCCUUUAGAAACAUAACCCUCGGUUGAUUUGGAGAUUCUAAAAUAACCUCCUUGGUAAAAAAAUUCAUUAUGGCAUGAUGUUUGGUCAACCAAUCCACUCGGGACGACAGCAAAACCACAUUUAGGCGAACUCGCUUACAAAAAGGGAAAGUUGUACUACCACCAUCGAAAGCCGAAUUGACUGGGUUUUUGAAAUUCACUACCAAAGCCCGAAAGGACAGGUAUGCAGAUGUACGAACGCGAGCGAUUAACCUAGGUAAGUAUGUCGAUACUCAUUCUCUAGAGAAAUGAGAUAUAAAGGAGGAUUUCGAUGCUAUGAUAACUAGUCUGUGGUGGAAAACCUUAGUGACUGUUAGAUACCCCACAUUUAUUGAGUUGAUUAGAGAAUUCUACAUAACCUUUCAGUUUGAAAUACCCGAGAAUUUCACAUUUGAUAGUCCUGGAGUUGUGCGAUAUCGACUCCUAGGCAAUGAAUUUAAGCAAUCAAUUACUGAAUUCAAUUUGGUCCUAGGAUUUGUUGACACUGAAUUUUCUCUAACCAAUCAAUACAAGAGCUCUGCUAUAGAUUUUGUUGAUAAUCUUGAUCAGGCAAAGCUCUGGAAGACCAUGUCUUCUGACCCCAUGCAUUACGAUCCUAGCAACUCUAAAGGUGUGUAUCUUAGUAAACCUGAAUGGGUUUACAUGCAACGAUUUUUAGCAUUCAGCUUCUCUAGUAGAAAAGACACAGCAAAUGUAUGUACAAAAACUUAACUUUAUUUUAUUUGGUCCAUGUUGCAUGAAAACACAAUCAAUUUGGGUUUUUGGUUGGUUCGCAAUUCAAAUUUGUGUUGACUCGUAAGAAGCAUUUAUAUUUAGGCUUUUUAAUUAAUCAUUUGGCUGUUCGCCUUUGAUUACUCGAUCUCGAUAAUACUAACUUACAUAUUGCUUGUGAGAUGGAACCAUUGGACAUUGCCUGUUCGAUGAAGAUGCACGUGCUUGUGGAGAAUAAUGGGGAGUACUCUUUCUAAAAGCCUUCUCCGCACGGCCAAGGCGAUCCCCCAAGAUCUAGGAAACGAUCUUGCCCAACAAGUAAUCUUCGUGAUCCAGAGGACUCAACUAAACCAGAUUUUGAAGCUCGUUUAGAAAAGAUGGAACAAAAAAUUUCAAAGAUGGAGAGAAAUUUAGACGCCUUGAUGAAACACUGGGGAGUUCUACCCCCUUGCCCACCGUCACCAUAGACUACUCAAUCCAAGUGGCUCACAAAACAAGGGAGAAUCACAUCUCUUUUCAUUUAUUUUGAGAGCCAUUUUCUUUUUAAUACAUCGAGGACAAUGUAUAGUAUAGGUGUGGGGAGGAUAAUUACAUGAUUUCUUUUUGAAAAUAUCUUUUUAUGCUUAUAAUUAUGUAUGCUUUAAUUCAUAUGUGUUACUUUUUCUUUUGCAAUCUUGAGUGUUAUUUUGAUAACCUAGAAUACCAUGUAAGUUAGAAAUACAUUUGUGGUUUGAAUUUUAAUGCAUGAAAGGGAUAAGCAUGAUUAGUGUUUCUUUAAAAUUAUCUGAUGGUAUCUCAUUAGUUUAUUGAUCGAAAAAUGCACAAGACUUGAUACAAAUUUGAACAUUCAAGUGAACUUUUGAGCCUAAGAACAAGUCAUUAUAUUUUGCUCUAAUUGUAUUUUAUGAGUGUUAUCAAACUAGUAUGAUUAUUCUAGAACUUGAUUCUGAAUGCAUGUUAAGACCACAUCCUUGGAUUGAUGCUUUAAUAUGAAAAGGGCAAUUAGGAUUAACCUAUUCUUAGACUCUUAAAAUACUUACCCUGUUGAUUUCCCUUUUAUUUAGCCACUUUGAGCCUAUUUUCUAUUUUUUUUAACACAUGUUGUUUAACCCAAGACCUUUCAUUUGCUACCUCUAUUUUUUUUACCCUUAUCAUGACAAGAAGGGAAGUGUUGCAUGGUACAAAUGAAACACACAAAAAAGAGACAAAACAAAAAAAAAAGAAAAAGAGAAGGGGGAAAGAAAAAGAAGAAAAAGAGAAAAAGAAAGUUGAUAUCUAUUCCUUUCAUGAAAGAGGAGAAUUGAAGAAGUACUUAUCAAAUAUAUUGAAUUAAAUUGUUACUCUUCACAAGUUCUUAGUAUUCAUAUAAAAUGUGAGAAUAAAUAUCAACUUUUAAAAUUUUUUGUAGUAUGUUUCAUGGCGAUGUGGCAUAAGUUAUCAUGCAAGAAUCUAACCUUUUUGUCUUGAUAAGGAAACAUCUCAGUUCUUCCUUUUAUCACACCCUUUCCUAAACCCAGUUACAACCUUCGUGAAGUCCCUUUGAUUUUUGCGUCUAAUUCAUGUGUAGUGGUGGAGACUUGAUUCAUUAGCAACCUUAUGGUAAUAACAUGCUAUGUUCUGAUCCUGAGAGCAAAUGCGCCCUAAAUACUUUGAGAGUAUUAAAUGAAACCAUGUUAGGGUGUUAAGUCUUGUUGCUUUGAUUUUGACAAAUUAUUGAGAUGCCUGUUCUUUUUACAAAAUUUAUCCUAUAAGUUCUAAUCUCUUGAUUGUCAUUAUUACUCAGCUCAUUGAUGUAUGUUUAACUUAUUUGGUAUUUGAGGAGAUUAAAAGAGAUAAAAGGAAGGUUAAAAGGAGAAUUGGUAUGUUGAAUUUAGGUAUGCUUGAGGACAAGCAUAAAUUAGGUGUGGAGAAAUUUGAUAGGUCAUAAAUAGUUAUACUUAUUGUGUUUAAUUCUCUUAUAAUUUGAUUGAAUAAUGUACUUAAUUAUGUAAAUUCUGUUUAUUCUGACUUAGGUGAUGAAAUAUCAAGGAUUGAGCAAAAUUCAGCCUAAAGACAUAUUUGAAGUCAUCACUUGUUAAAAACCAAUUCUUUUGAAGGAAAUGCAGAAAUCUGUACAUAAGAUCAUUGUCGAUAAGGCGUGACCACGCCUUACAACCCAUGAGCUCCGCAGAAAUCUGUACAGAAGACCAUUGUCGAUAAGGCGUGACCACGCCUUACAACCCAUGAGCUCUGUAGAAAUCUGUACAUAAGACCAUUGUUGAUAAGGCAUGACCAUGCCUUGCAACCCAUGAGCUGCUGAAACUUGCAAAAGAGAGCUUCAAAUUUUUUAGAGAUAAAUUUGUGGUGGACCCAUCUUUAGUUAAUUUUCUUUAUUUUUGGAAGUGUUGGAUAAAGAGAACUUUCUCCUAUGUAUUUAGGAUUUUAAUUUGUUUAGAUUACUCUUUAUCUUAUCCUUCCUUGUGGGGAUAAGAUCAUAUAGGAAGCUUAUUUCUUUUUUAUAAGAAUUCUCUUAUUAGGGUUUAGGGUUUUACUUCCUAUAUAAGGACGGCUGAAAGUACUUUUAAUUAUUCUUAUUAUUCUUCUUCUUUUAUUUGCUACAAUUAUUUUCUUGUGAAUUCAUACUCCACUAUGUAUGGCUAAGUUUCUAGUUUCUAACUAAAUGGUGAAUAAAUUCCAAUUGUGAUUUUGUGAGGCUUUGUGCUUAACAGAAUUUUUCUUUAAUUCAAGUAUUCUUUAUUUCUUGUUUUUAUUAUUUAUGAAUUAUUAAUAUUGAUUGAACUGACGACUCAACUUUGAUUUUGAUUUUUCUAUAGCUGAACUUUGAGUUUGUGAUCCGUAAUUGUCAUGAACGACUGACACAAGUAGCAAGAAGCUGGCUCAUGUGUGUGCGAUUGCGGCUUAUUCGAAUUACAUAGCUUGCAUGAUAGGCUCUAGGGAAAUAAAGGAACAAGGUUAAUUCAAUUGCAGUUAUCUCAAUUAAUUAAUGUUGGUUUAGUCAUUCUCAUUAUUCUUAAUGCUAUCAUUAAGUUGAUAUGGAACGCUAUCGUGCCCAAUUGACUAAUGGUAAGUUUUGAAUUAGAUGUUGGGUUUGAGUCAAUUAUAUUAGGAGAAUUACACUUGUUGCGGCUUUUUCGAAUAAGUAGACUAAGUAUUUGAAUAGAAGAAUUGAUAUUUUAGCCUAUGAUCAUUAUUACAAUUGGAUGGAAUUAGCACUCUUGAAUUGGAAAUUUGUUAAGAUUGAUUUUUAUUUACUUUAAUAUUCAACCUUUAUAAUUUUCUGUUUAUUUAUAAUUUUGAUUCAAACAUUCAAAAUCCCCCUAUUUUUAUUUUACCUUGAGAAGCUAUCCACAUUAGUUCCCUUGGGAUUCGACCUGGUUUCACUAUCUCUACAAGUUAGUUUAGAAAAAUCAGUAAUUUAUUUUGAAGGGCUUCGACAACCCGUUCACUAUCACUUGUCAAAUUUGGUAGACAAUUUUCUUGUCAUAGCGACCCAAAUUAUAAUCUCAAUCCAUCUUUUCUCACAUAAUUGAGUCUUGAGGAGUCUGAAGAUGUUCUUUUCAAGGAGGUAGUUGCAUUUCUUCUUCAUUAUCAAUAUUCUGUUCUUAAUUAUUUUUUACUAUUUUUAUAAAAUCCUUUGCAAUGGUUGAACCUGCUCAAUGAAAUUUGUGAUAUUUUCUGCAUAUGUUGUGGUUCUGGACCUUAAGAUUGAAGCUUAUGGUGGAUUGCUAAUGAAUUCGACCUAGAUCAUCCCGAAUAUAUUUACUAUCACUAGGUUGUUAUAUGUACCUUGUGUUAAAUCUCAACUAGUGAUGACCUUCUAUAAAUGCAAUUGGAUCAGCUUCCAGGCUUGUGAGAGAAUUUUGUAGUUGUUCUUCAUACCAUUUAAUUUUUUCAUUUUCUUAUUUCAUCUUUGACUUAAUUUACCUCCUUCAAGAGACUAGGCUGUGCCAGUUGGUAAUGAGCAGGUGCUUUUGUCAUGCUGAAACCAAUUUAUUUUGGGUAUUUUACUCCCACAGGCUUGGCUUACAUAUUUUUGGAGCAUAGCCAAAGCUAAUGGUAUAGAGGAGGCCAUUGCUAAAGAACGACUGCAGUUUUGGAUUAACCGCCGGGGGCACUUGCCGAGUUCCUAUGAUCCUGUUGAUGGUAAACUUCAUAAUUUCCUGCUGCCAAGAUUUUCAAAAACCAUAAUAUGGUCAGUGUUUACUAGAUAACCACUUGGUGCAAUUCCAGUAAAUGUCCACUCAGCAACUCUUGUGGGUUUUGUUAUCUUCAAACGAAUGCAAAUUUUUUUGAAUAAGGAUUUAAUAAUGAUAUUGCGCUUGGAUGUCUGCUGUUUAGUCGAGCAAGGUCUGAUAGAGCUGAGGGAGCUAAGGAUAGAACAUCGGUUAUGGGAAGCAUGUCGCAAAGAAAUUGAGCAAGACUCUUCCACUAACAUCACACGAAAAUCUGCUGUAUAAUAAGGGCUCAGGCCCUGAGAUGUCUAUAUUUGCUUAGUACAAAUUUUUUCUUCUGUUUGGAAGAUGUGAGAAUCUAUACUUAAAAUUCUUUUAGUGAUGUAUGGCCUCUGAUUUUAUAGUCCAGAACAGUAAUACGAUACAAAACCAAACCAAGGAGUAGGCGCCCUCCCUUCCCUGUGAGGGACAAAUAUAGAUGUCAAUUUUAACUGACAGUUGAAAUUGCAUGUUUUAGAUUAAAGAUUCAUACAAUUCUGAUUAGAGGCGAGGCGAUUGGUCUUUCAUGGAUGUACAAGCAAUAGCUAUUGUUUUGUUCUGUUUGUUCCUCGUCUAUGCUUAAUACUACAAGCGAGCCUUUAACUUUUAAUUAAUUAUAAUGGGGCAGUUGCACUUGCAAGUGCGGCUUCAAUUAGAAACCAACAAGUUAUGUCUUAUGUAAAAAUGUAGAGAAGAAAAUUUUGUGAUAUAUUAAGUGAUAAUUCGCCCUCUUAUCAAAUUACAGGAUUGCAAAUGAGCCAUCUUCAUUUUAAUCCCAAAGGAGUUGGCAAUAGCAUUAGAAUUAAAGGAAGAUUUGUCCAGCCCAUAAUAACUCAAUUAACAUAGUAGCCAAACCACAAUAAACACUUUUUUUAUGUUUGGAGGAGAAUAUAAACAUCCGAUUCUGAUGGUUGUAUCUAGCGAAAAAUCACUUCACUUGGGGCCAAAGGAUCAUUUAGGAAACGACGUCGGUUACCAAGGUGCAGCAGCUACGUUUUCAAAUUCAUGCUCCAUAUUCAAAAUAUCUUCAUUCACAGCAUUAGCGUUCACCUGCAGAGUGAUGAGUUCAGAAUCUUUCAUCAUCUUCAUCGACACUUUCAUUGCCCGUUGCUCUUCUAACUGCCUUAUCCGCUUCUCAAUUUUAUCAAUAUCCUCUUCCAAUUUUAUUUUCUCAUUCUUACCCUCUGCCAUCCCAAUGUGGACCUUCUUCGCCUCAUCCUCUAGCCGUUUGCACCUAUCUUUGAUUGACAGCAACUUCUCAAGGCGCUCCGCUAUUGCCUUAACCUCAAAUCCAUGCAUUUCAAGCUCAGCAAGGACUUCCAUAUAGCUCUCGAAAACUUCUCUACCAUCAUCAACUCGCAACUUGGACAUCUUCUCUAUCAGAACUGCAAAGCUCAACAUAUGACCCAUAGCCAUUCCUUCGCGGCUCGCCUCUUUAUGUCCAAUCAGAGGACUGAAAUGUGGUUUUUGUGGCAGGACUUGGAAAACUUCUAGAGAUUCAAUGUUUUUCCAUAUAAGUGAGCUCUUAAGAAAUGGCAUCUCUAGAUUCUCCACAAGCUCAGUGGCUUCCGGAACAUUUAUCACUGAAGAUUGCUUGAAAUUUUCUACUUUUCUUUCUCUUUUACCUGGACAAUGAGCAUAUUCAAUCGGAAUAGUCGACAAAAUAGAUAAUGCAACCAAUCUUAUACUUCACUCAAGACAAACUCAGAGUGUACCUGGAAAGCAUGUUGAUAGAGCUUGAGUGUUACAGGAUUCCAUCACAGCAGCCAUGCUAACUUCUUUUGCCAUGUGAUUUUCCAAAGAAACUAUGGCUGACGAUCCGGUCAAGACAUCUUGGAAUUAUACAAAUCAAAUAAAGGGUUCAUAUAAAGACAAUAUUGAUCAAAUGAUAGAAUAAAACUUAAGUGCCAUUAGUUAUUCCAUUUCCAUUAGAGAACUUGUUUCAAGUGUAUAAUGCAACCAAUCUUAUACUUCACUCAAGACAAGCUCAGAGUGUACCUGGAAAGCAUGUUGAUAGAGCUUGAGUGUUACAGGAUUCCAUCACAGCAGCCAUGCUAACUUCUUUUGCCAUGUGAUUUUCCAAAGAAACUAUGGCUGACGAUCCGGUCAAGACAUCUUGGAAUUAUACAAAUCGAAUAAAGGGUUCAUAUAAAGACAAUAUUGAUCAAAUGAUAGAAUAAAACUUAAGUGCCAUUAGUUAUUCCAUUUCCAUUAGAGAACUUGUUUCAAGUGUAUAAUGCAACCAAUCUUAUACUUCACUCAAGACAAGCUCAGAGUGUACCUGGAAAGCAUGUUGAUAGAGCUUGAGUGUUACAGGAUUCCAUCACAGCAGCCAUGCUAACUUCUUUUGCCAUGUGAUUUUCCAAAGAAACUAUGGCUGACGAUCCGGUCAAGACAUCUUGGAAUUAUACAAAUCGAAUAAAGGGUUCAUAUAAAGACAAUAUUGAUCAAAUGAUAGAAUAAAACUUAAGUGCCAUUAGUUAUUCCAUUUCCAUUAGAAAACUUGUUUCAAGUGUAUGUUCAUCCUUCACCUUCCAUCUUAUAAUAAAAGCCAAUCAUUAGGGAUCAGAUUUUCUUUGAACAAGGACUUCCACAUUAAUUUUUUUUUAAUGUGGUUUCAGAUUCUAUCAUCAGCAGACACUAAUUAAUAAAAACCAUAUCAGAAACUUCUACGCUACAGAGAAAAAUAUUGCAUUUGGAGAAAAGGCAACCAGAACAGAAUAGGUUGAAUUGGCACUAAAGUAUUUUUCCCUGUUUUGCAACUUCUGAAUUGUUAAAAGAGGUCAACAGUAAAACAAUAUGUCCAUGCACUUCUAAGUUGGUAUGAUCAGCAUGUAUCUUAUAAAAUACAUGUUCACCAAACAAAUAAUCCUGGGCAUUCCUCACAGCACAGGCUGAGAUCAAACCAAAAUCAAGAUUCAUAAAUUGACAUUAACUUUCUAUCUUCUAUUUACCUCACUAUUUUUUUUGGGUUCUUUUUCUGUUAUUCACCUAUUUUUAAGGCUCCUAAAUGCAGAGGACAUUCAAGUUUCCAUAUGUACCUAAAUGCUCCAUGCUGAUUACUGUAGACAAUUCAGCCUCUUCAGUUGCACAAUCUUGAAAGUCAAUUUCACUAGUACCAUUUCCAGCUAAAUUGCUCUGUUCACCUACAUGGAACAAAUUAAUUAGAUUUUCUGUCUGUAUAAAUUAUUCAGCCAUUACUAAGGUAACAUCCUGCACCUUCCUUCUGCUGCCCGAUCACACUACUUUCUUUCUUCUGAUUAAUCACCUGUAUAAGAACUAGCACCAAUUAGGUUCAGUAGAUAAAAAAAGUAGAUGGACAAGUUGAUUAAAUGCAUUUAUAAUUGAAUUAGCCACAUUUUAUUCUCAAAAUANNNUAGAGAGAAACUGAAAUUGUUCGGGUGGGUUUUCAAAAACAACAGUGUACUUCUUUGAGUUGGUCUUAUCAUCCUCAAAAACAUCAACUUUAGUGACGAUACCCUUCCACCAGCCAUCACGGUGAAAGGCGUCAACGACAUCAAGUGGUUCAAAGGCAGGGAUAGUACUAGGAACCGGAGGCAAAGGCCUAAUGA